UUUUUUUUGUUUUUCUUAAGGUUUAUCAAACACACAAGAAGAAAGCUAGAAAAAGAAAAUUAAACUAGCAUGGAUAAUACAAUGAAAGAGUAUGAGCACCGACAGCUAGAAUAGUGUGUGAGCAUGAAUGUAAAGUCGGUGAGAAAUACGUACUCCCCCAAGCUUAGGCUUUUGGCCUAAGUCGGUCUAAUGCCAAGGGUAGCCUGGCUGAUAUCCGUAGUUGUAACUAGGGUCGUACUGAGAUGCAGCAGCAAAUGCCUCCUGAGCUGCAGCAUGUUGGCGAGCCACCUCCGCUCUCCCCUCGUGUUCAGCUGCCUCCUCCCUAGUAACAACAUAUCUUCGUUUUGCCUGGUAAUCAAAAAGGAAAGGAGCAGGGAGAGUAACAUGGACAGAGCUAUGUAUGUCAAAGAUUAGUCGAUACUGGAGGAAUUGUUCAUUCCUCAAAAGAAAAUGAUGUUUGACCAUUGCAUCAUAAUCUAAAUAAGCAGGAGGCAACACCAUAUCCCCCUCUCGUGGAGCUAUACCAAGAUAAUUAGCAACACGAGUCGCAUAAAUACCUCCAAAUAAAUCUCCAAACAUACCAUUAUUAUGCAACCUACGUGCAACUAUUGCCCCCAAGUUGUAAUCUUUAUUACCUAACACAGCACUCUUGAGGACACAAAGAUCAGGGACACACAUGUGACAUGCUUCAUCUUUACCGUUAAUGCAUCUACCAAUGAAGAGAGCAAAAUAAUGUAUAGCAGGAAAAUGAAUAUUCCCUAUGGUAGCUUGUGCUAUAUCCCUAGAUUCUCCCACAGUAAUACUAGCAAGAAAGUCUUUAUAUUCAGAUUUGUGGGGGUCAUUAACAUUGCCCCACUGCGGGAGUUUGCAAGCAGUUGUAAAAUCUUCUAAGUUCAUGGUAUAAGAUUUAUCAUAAAUAUCAAACAUGACACUCUGAGAAUUACGUGAACAUUUAUAUUUAAACCUUCUAACAAAUGAAUCAGUCAAUUGAUAGUACUGAGGACACUAAUCUUGUAAGAAGUCCUCAAGAUCGACAUUACGCACAUAUGCGUCAAAUUCAUCCUUAAUGCCUGCAUUGACCAUAAAAUUGUAUGAUGGCCACUCACAACCUCACACUUCUGCGUCCCUCGGUGGUUCAUCGUCUUGCUCAUUCAUAGCCCGCCUGGGUCCUUUCUUUAUUGAGGAACCACCUUGAUACAUUCUCCUAGACAUAUUUCUUUUUCUGAAAAAUUUCUGAAAUUUUAGUAACUUCAAAAUAAAAGUGAAUAAAACUAAACAAGAUUGGUAGCAACUACUCCUACAAGUGCCUAGAGCCUAUAUCAUGCAUUAGAAUUACUUGGGACCUCAUAAAUUUGACAUGCAAGCUCAAGAACAGGGUCACCUAUGCAGCAAAAAUUUGCAAUGAAUAAAGCACUAGAACAAAAACUAAUUGGACCAAUGGAGGAGUCACAUACCAAGCAACAAUCUCCCAAAGCAGUUUUGUGAAUGGAGCUUUGAGCAAGGAGAUCGAAAAUCGCAGCAAAAUGAGCUAGAACUCGUGCUUCACCUGGAUGGGGAUUUUUUGGGAAUAAGAUGGAGUGUGUGGGUGUAGGAAUAAGUGGAGGGGGGCCACCAUGGGCCCACGAGAUAGGGGGGCGUGCCCAGGGGGUGUGGGCGCGCCCUCCACCCUCGUGGCCAGGUGCUUGCCCCUCCUGUAGUGUUUUCAGUGCCUAAAAUCCUCAAGUAUUCCAUAAAAAAUCAUACUAAAUUUGCAGGGCAUUUGGAGCGCUUUUAUUUUCGAGAUAUUUUUUAUUGCACGGAUAAUUCAGAAAACGGACAGAUAAUACUAUUUUUGCUUUAUUUAUUUUAGAUAACAAAAAGUAAAAAGAGGGUACAGAAGGUUGUGCCUUCUAGUUUCAUCCAUAUCAUGAUCAUCAAAAUGAAUCCACUAACAAGGUUGAUCAAGUCUUAUUAAGAAACUCAUUCCGAAUAACACGGAACCAGAGAAAUUUCGAAUAACACUAAAUUACCUCAACGGAGAUAUGCACAUCCCCAACAAUAAGAAUAUCAUAUUUUUUCUUGACAUUAGGAAGAGGAAAUUCAAAACCUCCAAUUAUGAUAGUUGGAACUUUUCCAAUAGAAUUGAUGCUAUGAAUUUGAGAUUGUUUCCUCGGAAAGUGUACCGUAUGCUCAUUACCAUUAACAUGAAAAGUGACAUGGCCUUUGUUGCAAUCAAUAACAGCCCCUGCAGUAUUCAAAAAGGGUCUACCAAGGAUAAUCGACAUACUAUCGUCCUCGGGAAUAUCAAGAAUAACAAAGUCCGUUAAGAUAGUGACAUUUGCAACCACAACAGGCACAUCCUCACAAAUACUGACAGGUAUAGCAGUUGAUUUAUCAGCCAUUUGCAAAUAUAUUUCAGUAGGUGUCAACUUAUUCAAUUCAAGUCUACGAUAUAAAGAGAGAGGCAUAACACUAACACCGGAUCCAAGAUCACAUAAAGCAGUUUUAACAUAAUUUCUUUUAAUGGAGCAUGGUAUAGUUGGAACCCCUGGAUCUCCAAGUUUCUUUGUUAUUCCACCCUUAAAAGUAUAAUUAGCAAGCAUGGUGGAAAUUUCAGCUUCCGGUAUCUUUCUUUUAUUUGUAAUGAUAUCCUUCAUAUAUUUAGCAUAAGGAUUUAAUUUAAGCAUAUUAGUCAAGCACAUACGUAAGAAGAUAGGUCUAAUCAUUUCAGCAAAGCGCUCGAAAUCCUCAUCAUCCUUUGUCUUGGAUGGUUUAGGAGGAAAGGGCAUGGGUUUCUGAAUCCAUGGUUCUCUUUCUCUACCCUGUUUCCUAGCAACAAAAUCUCUCUUAUCAUAACGUUGAUUCUUUGAUUGUGGGUUAUCAAGAUCAACAGCAGGUUCAAUCUCUACAUCAUUAUUUUUGCUAGGUUGAGCAUCAGCAUGAACAUUAUCAUUAACAUUAUCACUAGGUUCAUGUUCAUCACCUGAUUGUGUUUCAGCAUCAGAAAUAGAAAUAUCAUUGGGAUUCCCAGGUGUGUCUACAAUAGGUUCACUAGAAGCAUGCAAUGUCCUAUCGUCUUUCUUUUUCUUCUUUUUAGAAGAACUAGGUGCCUCUAAAUUAUUUCUCUGAGAAUCCUGCUCGAUUCUCUUGGGGUGGCCUUCAGGAUACAAAGGUUCCUGAGUCAUUCUACCAGUUCUAGUAGCCACUCUAACAGCAAAGUCAUGUUUAUUAUUUAAUUCAUCGAGCAAAUCACUUUGACCUUUAAGUACUUGCUCAGCUUGAGUGGUAACCAUAGAAGCAUAUUUGCUAAUGAGUUUAAGUUCACCUUUAACUCUAGCCAUAUAAUCACUCAAGCAUCCUAUCUCGGAAGAAUUAUUCUUUAAUUUUCUACCAACAUAAGAAUUAAAACUUUCUUGUCUAGCCAUAAAGUCAUCAAAUUCAUCUAAGCAUGGGCUAUGAAAUUUACUAGACGGGAUUUCAACUUUAUCAUAUCUAUAGAGAGAAUUUACCUUUACUACUUGUGUCGGGUUAUCAAGACAAUGUGUUUCUUCAACGGGCGGUAUAUUAAGACCAUGUAUUUCUUCAAUAGGAGGUAAAUUCUUAACAUCUUCAGCUUUUAUACCUUUUUCUUUCAUUGAUUUCUUUGCCUCUUGCAUAUCUUCAGGACUCAGAAAUAGAACUCCCCUCUUCUUCGGAGUAGGUUUGGGGAUAGGCUCAGUAGUUAGCUUAAUUGGUUCAGGAAUUGCCUCAGGAAUUGGCUCAGGGUGAGUCCAAUUAUUUUCAUUAGUCAACAUAUUAUUCAAUAGUAAUUCAGCUUGGUCGACUGUUCUUUCCUUGAAAACACAACCAGCACAACUAUCCAAGUAGUCCUUGGAAGCAUCGGUUAGUCCAUUAUAAAAGAUAUCAAGUAUUUCAUUUUUCUUAAGAGGAUGAUCAGGCAAAGCAUUAAGUAAUCGGAGAAGCCUCACCCAAGCUUGUGGGAGACUCUCUUCUUUGAUUUGCACAAAAUUACAUAUUUCUCGCAAGGCAGCUUGUUUCUUAUGAGCAGGAAGAUAUUUAGCAGAGAAGUAAUAAAUCAUAUCCUGGGGACUACACACACAACCAGGAUCAAGAGAAUUAAACCAAGUCUUAGCAUCACCCUUUAAUGAGAACGGAGAUAUCUUAAGGAUAUAAUAAUAGCGAGACUUCUCAUCAUUAGUAAACAGGGUGGCUAUAUCAUUUAACUUGGUAAGAUGUGCCACAACAGUUUCAGAUUCAAGGCCAUAAAAAGGAUCAGAUUCAACCAAAGUAAUUAUUUCAGGAUCAACAGAGAAUUCAUAAUCCUUAUCAGUAACACAGAUAGGUGAAGUAGCAAAAGCAGGGUCAGGUUUCAUUCUAGCAUUAAGAGAUUGCUGCUUCCAUUUAGCUAAUAACUUCUUAAGAUCAUAUCUAUCUUUGCAAGCAAAAAUAGCUCUAGCAGCUUCUUCAUUCAUAACAUAACCCUGAGGAACAAGAGGUAAUUCAUAAUCAGGGGGAGAACUUUCAUCAUCACUAUCAUCAAUAAUAGCUUCUUCAAUAAUUUCAUUCUCUCUAACCCUAGCAAGUUGUUAAUCAAGAAAUUCACCUAAUGGCACAGUAGUAUCACACAUAGAAGUAGUUUCAUCAUAAGUAUCAUGCAUAGCAGAAGUGGAAUCAUCAAUAACAUGCGACAUAUCAGAAUUCAAAGCAGUUGCAGGUUUAGGUGUCGCAAGCUUACUAAUAAUGAAAGAAGAAUCUAGUGCAGAGCUAGAUGGCAGUUCCUUACCUCCCCUCAUAGUUGAGGGCAAAAUCUUAGUUCUUUCGUCUUUCAAGUUCCUCAUAGUGAUCAACAGAUAUAAAUCCCAAGUGACUCAAAGAAUAGAACUAUGCUCCCCGGCAACGGCGCCAGAAAUUAGUCUUGAUAACCCACAAGUGUAGGGGAUCACAACAGCUUUCGAGGGUAGAGUAUUCAACCCAAAUUUAUUUAUUCGACACAAGGGGAGCCAAAGAAUAUUCUUAAGUAUUAGCAGUUGAGUUGUCAAUUCAACCACACCUGGAUAACUUAGUAUAUGCAGCAAAGUAUUUAGUAGCAAAGUAGUAUGAUAGUAAUGGUAACAGUGGCAAAAGUAAAGAUAAUAGUUUUGUAGUAGUUGCAACAGUAGCAACGGAAAAGUAAAUAAGCGAAACACAAUAUGUGAAAAUUUCAUAGGCAUUGGAUCAGUGAUGGAUGAUUAUGUCGGAUGUGAUUCCUCAUGUAAUAGCUAUAACAUAGGGUGACACAGAACUAGCUCCAAUUCAUCAAUGUAAUGUAGGCAUGUAUUCCGAAUAUAGUCAUAUGUGCUUAUGGAAAAGAACUUGCAUGACAUCUUUUGUCCUACCCUCCCGUGACAGCGGGAUCCUAGUGGAAACUAAGGGAUAUUAAGGCCUCCUUUUAAUAGAGAACUGGAACAAAGCAUUAGCACAUAGUGAAUACAUGAACUCCUCAAACUAUGGUCAUCACCGAGAAGUAUCCCGAUUAUUGUCACUUCGGGGUUGUCGGAUCAUAACACAUAAUAGGUGACUAUAUACUUGUAAGAUAGGAUCAAGAACUCACAUAUAUUCAUGAAAACAUAAUAGGUUCAGAUCUAAAAUCAUGGCACUCGGGCCCUAGUGACAAGCAUUAAGCAUAGCAAAGUCAUAGCAACAUCAAUCUCGGAACAUAGUGGAUACUAGGGAUCAAACCCUAACAAAACUAACUUGAUUACAUGGUAAAUCUCAUCCAACCCAUCACUGUCCAGCAAGCCUACGAUGGAAUUACUCACGCACGACGGUGAGCAUCAUGAAAUUGGUGAUGGAGGAUGGUUAAUGAUGACAACGGCGGCGAAACCCCUCUCUGGAGCCCCGGACGGACUCAAGAUCAGCCCUCCCGAGAGAGAUUAGGGCUUGGCGGCGGCUUCGUAUCAUAAAACGCAAUGAAACUUUCUCUCUAAUUUUUCUCUCUGCGAAACAGAAUAUAUGGAGUUGGAGUUGAGGUCGGCGGAGCAACAGGGGGCCCAUGAGACAGGGGGGCGUGCCCAGGGGGAGGGCGCGCCCCCACCCUCGUGGACAGGGUGUGGCCCCCCUGGCCUUGAUUCUUUUGCCAGUAUUUUUUAUAUUUUCCAAAAGUUAUCUCCGUGGAUUUUCAGGUCAUUCCGAGAACUUUUGUUUUCUGCACAAUAAACAACACCCUGGCAGUUAUGCUGAAAACAACGUCAGUCCGGGUUAGUUUCAUUCAAAUCAUGCAAGUUAGAGUCCAAAACAAGGGCAAAAGUGUUUGGAAAAGUAGAUACAUUGGAGACGUAUCACUUAGCUUUGGGUUCAAUCUUGCGGUGUCCUUUCCCAGUGACAGCAGGGGCAACAAGGCACGUAUUGUAUUAUUGCCAUCAAGGAUAAAAAGAUGGGGUUUAUAUCAUAUUGCUUGAGUUUAUCCCUCUACAUCAUGUCAUCUUGCCUAAUGUUUUACUCUGUUCUUAUGAACUUAAUACUCUAGAUGCAUGCUGGAUAGCGGUCGAUGUGUGGAGUAAUAGUAGUAGAUGCAGAAUCGUUUCGGUCUACUUGUCACAGACGUGAUGCCUAUAUACAUGAUCAUGCCUAGAUAUUCUUAUAGCUAUGCGCUUUUCUAUCAAUUGCUCGACAGUAAUUUGUUCACCCACCGUAGAAUAAGCUAUCUUGAGAGAAGCCACUAGUGAAACCUAUGGCCCCCGGGUCUAUUUUCCAUCAUAUUAAUCUCUCGUCAACUAGCUAUUUUUGUCGCUGUUUAUUUUGCAAUCUUUAAUUUUCAAUCUAUACAACAAAAAUACCAAAAAUAUUUAUUUUAUUAUCUUUAUCAGAUCUCACUUUUGCAAGUGGACGUGAAGGGAUUGACAACCCCUUUAUCGCAUUGGUUGCAAGGUUCUUGAUUGUUUGUGCAGGUACGAGGGAUUUGCGUGUAGUCUCCUACUGGAUUGAUACCUUGGUUCUCAAAAACUGAGGGAAAUACUUAUGAUACUUUGCUGCAUGACCCUUUCCUCUUCAAGGGAAAACCAACGCAUGCUCAAGAGGUAGCAAGAAGGAUUUCUGGCGUCGUUGCCGGGGAGGUUUAUGCCAAGUCAAAUCAAGAUUUGAUCUCCCGUCAAUGUGCCGAUUUCUGGUGCCGUUACCGAGGAGAUCAACGCACAAGUCAAGAUAUACCGAGUACCCAUCACAAACUCUUAUCCCUCCCAUUACAUUAUUUUCCAUUUGCCUCUUGUUUUCCUCUCCCCCACUUCACCUUUUCCGUUUUAUUCGCCCUUUUUCGUUCACCUUUUUCUCGUUAGAUCUUUUGUUUGCUUGUGUUGCCAUGUGCCUUCUAUAUGCUUGCAUCUUUGCUUGCUGAAAACCUAUUGUUAUGGAUCCUCAUCCUCUUGCUAAUCUUUUUAAAAGAUCCAAUUAUGAUGAACAUAUUGCUAGUGAGUUUUGUGCACUAUAUUAUCUUUAUGAGGUUUUUCUUGAAAUUCGUGAAUCUGAAAAUUGUGAUGAAGUGUUGAAAGAAGAAACUUAUGAAGUGAUUCACGAUAGCUCCUUGAAUGAAAAGCAUGAUUGCAAUGAUAUUAUUAUAAAUUCUAUUAAUGUCAAUUGUGUUAAUGAUAUGCAGAACCGUAGGCUUGGGGAUGCUAGUUUGCUAUGUCCACUACUUGUUGCAAUGAUCAUGAUUGGGGUGAUUCUUCUUACAAUCUUGAAAAUUUAUUUAAGACCCAUGAUGAUUAUGAGAUUGAUAAUAAUGUUUACAAUAAUACUGAAAGUGGGUUUGGAAGAGUGUCAAAUUUAGAUCCCACAUAUUUGGAUAAUGAUCAAUCUUAUGAAGUUUUUGAGAAAAGUGGGUUUCGAGAGGUCACGACUUUAGUUAAUGAUAUUCCCACUAUUUUGGAAGAGUGUCAACUUUGCAUACAUGUGGAUCGUGUUAAGAAUAUGUUUUGUGAUAGCUAUAUUGCUGAAUUUUCUUAUGAUCAUACAUGUAAUUAUUAUGAGAGAGGAAAAUAUGGUUGUAGAAAUUUUCAUGUUACUAAGUUACCUCUCGUCAUGUUGAGAUUGCUUUUGUUUCUUUCUUCUUCCUUGCAUAUGCUAGUUUUUGCUUGUCUUGAUAAUUUGUUUGCCUAUAAGAUGCCUAUGCAUAGGAAGUAUGUUAGACUUAGAUGUGUUUUUCACGUACUUUAUGAUGCUCUCUUUGUGCUUCAAUUCUUGUCUUUCAUUUGAGCAUCAUCGAAAUUAUCAAUGCCUAGCUAGGGGCGUUAAACGAUAGCGCUUGUUGGGAGGCAACCCAAUUUUAUUUUUCUUUCUUGCUUUUUGUUUCUGUUUAGUAAUAAAUAAUUCAUAUAGCCUCUUUUUAGAUGUGGUUUUAUGUUUUAAUUAGUGUUUGUGCCAAAUAUAACCUUUGGGAAGACUUGGGUGAAGUCUUUGUGAUCUUGCUGUGAAAAACAGAAACUUUAGCGCUCACGAGAUUAGCUGCCAUUUUUUACUGGAGAGUGAUUUUAGGUUGAAUCUUUUUUAAUAUGAUUAAUAGACAAAUUCCUCAUGGCCACCAAUUUAUUUAAGAAUUUUUUUAGUUACAGAAGCAUACGUUUUAUACAGAUUGCUACAGACUCUUCUGUUUUUGACAGAUUCUGUUUUUCGUGUGUUUUUGCUUAUUUUGAUGAAUCUAUGGCUAGUAUCGGGGGGUAUGAACUAUAGAGAAGUUGGAAUAAAGUAGGUUUAACACCAAUAUAAAUAAAUAAUGAGUUCAUUACAUUACCCUAAAGUGGUGAUUUUUUUUCUUAUACUAACGGAGCUCAUGAGAUUUUUUGUUGAGUUUUGUGUUGUGAAGUUCUCAAGUUUUGGGUAAAGAUUUGAUGGAUUUUGGAAUAAGGAGUGGCAAGAGACUAAGCUUGGGGAUUCCCAGGUCACCACAAGGUAAAAUUCAAGGACAACCAAAAGCCUGAGCUUGGGGAUGCCCCGGAAGGCAUCCCCUCUUUCGUCUUCGUCUAUCGGUAACUUUACUUGAGGCAAUAUUUUUAUUCACCGCAUGAUAUGUGUUUUGCUUGGAGCGUCUUGUAUGAUUUGAGUCUUUGCUUUUUAGUUUACCACAAUCAUCCUUGUUGUACACACCUUUUGGAUAGACACACAUAAAUCAGAAUUUAUUAGAAUACUAUAUGUGCUUCACUUAUAUCUUUUGAGCUAGAUAGUUUUGCUCUAGUGCUUCACUUAUAUCUUUUAGAGCACGGUGGUGGUUUUAUUUUAUAGAAAUUAUUGAUCUAUCAUGCUUCACUUAUAUUAUUUUGAGAGUCUUUUAGAACAGCAUGGUAAUUUGCUUUGGCUAUAAAAUUUGUCCUAAUAUGAUGGGCAUCCAAGAUGGGUAUAAUAAAAACGUUCAUAUAAAGUGCAUUGAAUACUAUGAGAUGUUUGAUUCUUUAUGAUUGUUUUGAGAUAUGAAGAUAGUGAUAUUAGAGUCAUGCUAGUAGAGUAGUUGUGAACUUGAGAGAUACUUGUGUUAAAGUUUGUGAUUCCUGUAGCAUGCACGUAUGGUGAACCGUUAUGUGAUGAAGUUGGAGCAUGAUUUAUUUAUUGAUUGUCUUCCUUAUGAAUGGCAGCCGGGGACGAGCAAUGGUUUUUUCCUACCAAUCUAUCCCCCUAGGAGCAUGCACGUAGUACUUCGUUCCAAUAACUAAUGUAUUUUUGCAAUAAGUAUGUGAGUUCUUUAUGACUAAUGUUGAGUCCAUGGAUUAUACGCACUCUCACCCUUCCACCAUUGCUAGCCUAUCAAAUACCGUGCACCUUUCACCGGUAUCAUACACCCACCAUAUACCUUCCUCAAAACAGCCACCAUACCUACCUAUUAUGGCAUUUCCCUAGCCAUGCCGAGAUAUAUUGCCAUGCAACUUUUCACAGUUCCUUUUAUUAUGACACGCUCCAUCAUUGGCAUAUUGCUUUGCAUGAUCAUGUAGUUGACAUCGUAUUUGUGGAAAAUCCACCUUCAUAAUUGUUUCAUACAUGUCACUCUUUGCACAUCCCGGUACACCGCCGGAGGCAUUCACAUAGAGUCAUAUUUUGUUCUAAGUAUCGAGUUGUAAUUCUUGAGUUGUAAGUAAAUAAAAGUGUGAUGAUCAUCAUUAUUAGAGCAUUGUCCCAGUGAGGAAAGGAUGAUGGAGACUAUGAUUCCCCCACAAGUCGGGAUGAGACUCCGGACGAAAAAAUAAAAAAUAAAAAAGGAGGCCAUAAAAAAAGAGAAAAGGCCCAAAUAAAAUAAAUGAGAGAAAAAGAGAGAAGGGACAAUGCUACUAUCCUUUUAUCACACUUGUGCUUCAAAGUAGCACCAUGAUCUUCAUGAUAGAGAGUCUCCUAUGUUGUCACUUUUAUACUAGUGGGAAUUUUACAUUAUAAGAACUUGGCUUGUAUAUUCCAAUGAUGGGCUUCCUCAAAUUGCACUAGGUCUUCGUGAGCAAGCGAGUUGGAGCACACCCACUUAGAUUCAUUUGUUGAGCUUUCAUACACUUAUAGCUCUAGUGCAUCCGUUGCAUGGCAUCCCUACUCACUCUCAUUGAUAUCUAUUGAUGGGCAUCUCCAUAGCCCGUUGAUACGCCUAGUUGAUGUGAGACUAUCUUCUCCUUUUUGUCUUCUCCACAACCACCAUUCUAUUCCACCUAUAGUGCUAUGUCCAUGGCUCACGCUCAUGUAUUGCGUGAAAAUUGAAAAAGUUUGAGAACAUCAAAAGUAUGAAACAAGUGCUUGGCUUGUCAUCGGGGUUGUGCAUGAUUUAAAUAUUUUGUGUGAUGAAGAUAGAGCAUAGCCAGACUAUAUGAUUUUGUAGGGAUAACUUUCUCUCGCCAUGUUAUUUUGAGAGGACAUGAUUGCUUUAUUAGUAUGCUUGAAGUAUUAUUAUUUUUAUGUCAAUAUUAAACUUUUAUAUUGAAUCUUUUGGAUUUGAGCAUUCAUGCCACAAUAAAGAGAAUUACUUUGAAAAUUAUGUUAGGUAGCAUUCCACCUCAAAAAUUAUGUUUUUAACAUUUACCUACUCGAGGACGAGCAGGAAUUAAGCUUGGGGAUGCUUGAUACGUCUCCAACGUAUCUAUAAUUUUUUAUUGUUCCAUGCUAUUAUAUUAUCUGUUUUGGAUGUUUAAUGGGCUUUAUUAUGCACUUUUAUAUUAUUUUUGGGACUAACCUAUUAAUCGAAGGCCUAGUGCAAAUUGCUGUUUUUUUCCCUAUUUCAGUGUUUCGCAGAAAAGGAAUAUCAAAUGGAAUCCAAACGGAAUGAAACCUUCGCGAGGAUCGUUUCUGGAACAAACGCAAUCUAGGAGACUUGGAGUGGACGUCAAGGAAGCAACGAGGCGGCCAUGAGGUAGGAGGGCACGCCUAGGGGGGUAGGCACGCCUCCCACCCUCAUGGGCCCCUCGUGGCUCCACCGACCUACUUCUUUCACCUAUAUAUACUCAUAUACCCUGAAAACAUCUGAGGGCACCACGAAACCCUAUUUCCACCACCGCAACCUUCUGUACCUGUGAGAUCCCAUCUUGGGGCCUUUUCCGGUGCUCCGUCGGAGGGGGAAUCAAUCACGGAGGGCUUCUAUAUCAACACCAUAGCCUCUCUGAUGAUGUGUGAGUAGUUUACCACAGACCUUCGGGUCCAUAGUUAUUAGCUAGAUGGCUUCUUCUCUCUCUUUGGAUCUCAACACAAAGUCUCCUCAAUCUUCUUGGAGAUCUAUUCGAUGUAAUUCUUUUUGCGGUGUGUUUGUCGAGAUCCGUUGAAUUGUGGAUUUAUGAUCAAAAUUAUCUAUGAACAAUAUUUGAUUCUUCUCUGAAUUCUUUCAUGCAUGAUUUAAAUAUCUUUGCAAGUCUCUUAGAAUUAUCAGUUUGGUUUGGCCUACUAGAUUGAUCUUUCUUGCAAUGGGAGAAGUGCUUAGCUUUGGGUUCAGUCUUGCGGUGUCCUUUCCCAAUGACAGCUGGGGCAGCAAGGCACGUAUUGUAUUGUUGCCAUCGAGGAUAAAAAGAUGGGGUUUAUAUCAUAUUGCUUGAGUUUAUCCCUCUACAUCAUGUCAUCUUGCCUAAUGCGUUACUCUGUUCUUAUGAACUUAAUACUCUAGAUGCAUGCUGGAUAGCGGUCGAUGUGUGGAAUAAUAGUAGUAGAUGCAGGUCUACUUAUCACGGACGUGAUGCAUAUAUACAUGAUCAUGCCUAGAUAUUCUCAUAACUAUGCACUUUUCUAUCAAUUGCUCGACGCUUUUCUAUCAAUUGCUCGACAGUAAUUUGUUCACCCACCAUAGAAUAUGCUAUCUUGAUAGAAGCCACUAGUGAAACCUAUGGCCCCCGGGUCUAUUUUCCAUCAUAUUAAUCUCUUGUCAACUAGCUAUUUCUGUCGCUGUUUAUUUUGCAAUCUUUACUUUUCAAUCUAUACAACAAAAAUACCAAAAAUAUUUAUUUUAUUAUCUUUAUCAGAUAUCACUUUUGGAAGUGGCCGUGAAGGGAUUGAAAAUCCCUUUAUCGCAUUGGUUGCAAGGUUCUUGAUUGUUUGUGCAGGUACGAGGGAUUUCCGUGUAGUCUCCUACUGGAUUGAUACCUUGGUUCUCAAAAACUGUCGGAAAUACUUACGCUACUUUGCUGCAUCACCCUCCUCUUCAAGGGAAAACCAACGCAUGCUCAAGAGGUAGCAAGUAUGACGACCACGCGCAAUGGUGACCCCAAUGGCGCAGCGGCGCUGCGCUUCUCCCGUAGACGGCGACGGUGCCCAUCAGUGACUUCACACACACACACGCGCGCAGGGGUUGUACCGUGUCUGUGCUCCUGCUCGACGGUGCCGCAAGUUCCACUGCCUCAUGCGCUGACUGACGUGUGGUGGUGAAGAUGUCGCUGGGCGUGGAGGCAUCUUCCCAGUGGAGAGCUCCUCCCCCGUGCGCCCAUCAUUGGUGGCCAGCCGUGGAUCUCCUUGUCCACCGGUGCGGCUGCUCCUCCACGACUCGAGCAGAAGUGAGGGAUGGUGGCAAUCUUGUGGGGAGGAGGGAGGCGCAUAGGAGUGGAGAGAGCGAUGAGGGAGAAGCAGUGGCAGCACACGAGAGGUGCGGGGGAGAAAAAAAUGAGACCAACCCAAAGGCUAACCCUUGUUGGCAAUUCUUUUAUAGAAGAAAUUCCACGACCAUGAGCACCGCGCGUUCAAGUCGGGGCUCAAACUCGGGUGGAUUGGUAGCUACCCUAGCUUCCCAGGUCGACGCCCCGUCCUCAGGUGCAAGGGAGAAAGAGAUGUGAGAGGAGAGAGCCCAAACCUAGCAUCCGAUCCGAUUGGGAAGAGGGCAACGAAUUAGGGCAAUCCCUAUGGUGUCGGUUCAUCCAAAAUUCCGCAAGUGCCCUCAAUGGGCGGCCAAAAUUACAGGCGGUGGUAUGCCUUUUUUGCUGCAUACGAAGCCCACUGGGCACUCUUCUAUGUACAACCGCUGACGGGCGUGUCCCACAGGUGGCUGGCUCCCACGAAUCAGUGACCUACAACCAAUAUUCAGAGUGGGAAAUGAAAUGAGGACAAAAAUGAGAAACGGCUAGAACGAACGAGCGGUUAGGAUUGGGACACGACAUCGAGGAGGACCAGAUCAAACGGUCACCAUUGCAAUCGAUCUGGAAAGGCCCUUGUUCUAGCAUGAAUCAAGAAUUUAGAUUACACCCAAAGGUACAAAGGGGAGUCAUGGCCACCCAAUCGGUCACUUGCCUCAUCUCUUUAUAUUAAAGAAGGCGAAGUGAAGUUGCCGCUCCCUCGAGCGGUCCACCAGCACCUCCAAGGAGAGCUUAGAGCAUCUACUGGCAGACUUGGCAAAUCCGACUCCUCAAACGUUCGUGUGAGGGAAAAUCCGAUCACUUAAAUGUCCGUGUGGACAUUAACAGGUCACGUCUCAAGAAAUGCAUUCUACAUCCUGAUACCCCAAAUCCAUAUUAUUACAUGCAAAGCAGCGAUCUUUGAGCGGAGCUUCGUCCAGUUCCGCUCUGCUUGUCGAGCUCCGUUGUGGCCAUGUCCAGCGGCCGGCUGCGCCCCUCAGUGUUGGUCCGGUCGACGGCAAGGUGGAGUAGGGCAUGGGACUCGAGUCGACUCACGGGAAGGUGCCGCCAUGUCCCAUACCCUACUCUUCCUCGUCGGAGCCUGGAACCCAUUGGGUGCCGGUGGAUGUCAGAUCAAUGAUGGAUCCGUCCAGGGAUGAGCCGCCGAUAUCCAUCACGAAGCGGUUGCGACGGUCGGACUGGUGCACCGUACGGUGCACCGGAGAAUGCAACCCCGCCUCGCCAACAUCCACCGCAGCGAGCGCUGCCGCCGCGUCCCGUGACCACUGCCACGCACGAUGGACAUGCCGCACCAUGUUUGCGUCGGACGACGCCCACGAUGUGUCCAUGGCCUCCGUGCGUCAACAAAGGGGUUGCACGUCCACCACCGCGUUCGAAUGUCAGACGGACUGCACUGAAUCCAGUGAGGCAGCGAUUGCUACCCCAGCGCCAGAUCCAUGCGCCAUUUGGGCGGACGCAAUGGAUUUCCAACGGAAGGAGUCCGAGCACUGCCGUGCACGGGCCUCCUCCCGGGCGCGGCGGAGCGCAAGCCGGACGAUCAUCUCCUCAUCGGGGCCGCGUGGGAUGAGCUCAGGGUCUAAGGAUCUGGAGGUGAAGGACUCGGAUCCACUGCCCUCCAUGCCGAAGACUACCGGACGGUGUCGGGGAUGAGCUUCGGUGGCGAAGGGGAGUGGAGGGAAGUGGCUAGGGUUUGGUCUGGCGAGCGAAUGAGGAAGAAUUUAUGAGGGGUCCGGUGGGCAAGCGUGGGGCGGGUCUUGUUGAGUAUAUUGAUUAUUAGGAAAGACGAGAUAGACUAGGAUUUGUUCUGACUUGUCUUGUACUCCAAGUUGAUCAUUGUACUCCUAUAUAUAUGCCCACGAGGCUCACGCAAUACAACAACUAUUCCACCAAAUCACUCUCUCCCUUCUGACAUGGUAUCAGUUUCCGGGUUCUAAACCCUAGUCGCCGCCGCUUCCGCACCCGCGUGCCGCCCCUGGGGCGGUCGGCCUCCAUGACCGCCACCGGGGGCCGCGCCGCUCGUACCUAGGGUUCGUCUGCCGGUCGUAUGGACCGGCUGCCCUAGAGAGUCUUUUCCCCGAGCCCUUGCUCUCGGGUUUUCUCUCUCCCGCCGGUCAUCUUGAUCAGUGUUUUUUACUUUCCAAUCUAAUCUUGAUCAAUUUGCGUCGCCCGCCGCCGCCGUCGACCCCAUGCGCCUCUACUCCAACACCGGCGCGAUCGGUCGGCUUCUUCACCGACCCGGCGGCCUCGUGCAUCGUUCGCGCAUCUGCAGCCGGUUGCCCCGACCCGGCGGCCUCGUGCGCCGUCCGCGCAUCUGCCCGCCGGUCGCCCCGACCUGGAGGCCUCGCGUCAUGCAGCAGUUGUUGGGAUCUACGGUAGGGUGCGUCGACUGCAAAUUAAAAAUUCCUACACGUAGAACAACUAAGAACAUGCUAUGAGAGAUGGAUCACAGUUUGUAACCACUAGACGCACAGUGUCAUGCAGCGGAAGAAGAGUUGGGGCAGCGCUUCCGCGUGGAUCGUCUCCUCCUCGUCCGAUCUCCUUUGAACAGUCGGUCAUCCGAUCCCAUGUACAAGUUCGCCGGAGCGGCGCAAAUGCACCGCCUCUAACGGUAUCCGCGCAAGCAGGAACACCAUGCAGCGGACUGCUAGGUCCGAUCACACAGUCGGCAGCGAGUGGAGGUGGCUAUUCGCAACACAUGCAAACCCUAGUCGCAAUGCUGAAGCGAUCAACCGCAUGAGUGUGCCGCACCUCCACUUUAUAUAGGCGUCCAUCACGGGCUCAACACUUGGGCCUCGCACGUACCCUAAAGCCCAAAAUCUGUUCGGCCGGGAUCCGAGUCCGAGUAGGAUGAUAUCUGACUCGUGGAGUCCGAUCCGGCCUCACAGGUUCCUUCCCUUAAGCACGCGACCCCUUAGGUUCAAGUCAGCUUGGUCGCAGGCCGGAUCACCUCCGACCUGCUCGGCUAGUAGCGGCCUCUAGCAAGGCAUGCCGAGCACCAAGUAGACUAUGAAGCUGGUUAGGCGAACCUGUACAACAUGUCACACUUCUGUUCCCUUCGCCACAUGAUAUAUGUUGUCGGGCUCAAGGCGAGAUUGUCAUCCUUGUGCUAGCCCGAGCUCUUUCUCAUUCCAGUGAUACCAACCACAAACCAGAUUAUCUCAUAAUCCCUGUCGCAUGGCCAUGCUUAUCCUGGUCGGAUCACACGAGGGGCCCAGAGUAUAUCUCUCCUGAUCGGAGGGGCAAAUCCCAUCUUGCUCGACCAUGUCUCGCAGCAUGGGACUGGACAAACCCGAAACCUACCUUUGUAACUACCCAGUCACGGAGUAGCGUUUGGUCGGCCCAAAGCAAGUCUGUCACCAUCCCGAGUACAAGCGUCAGCUCAGGUCUUAGGACAUAGAACUUAUGUGAAAGGACAUUCGGUGCCCCCAUGUGUGGUUUUGGUAAUUGAUGACAUUCUUUAUGGACUAAUGGUUGCAUUGAGUUAUAUUUGAAGGAUUUGUCCAUAGGCAUUUCUUGAAGUCCAUGUGUUGGUUUCAAGGAGUUUAUGUGUUGACCAAGGUGCUAUUAAGGAAUUAUCCAAAGAUUGGUCAUGUGAGUGUUGAGCUUAUUGCAAGCAUGUCUUGAAGAAGAAGAUUGUGUGAUCAUUCAUGUUUACCUUCAAGACAUCAUCCAAACUAAGAGAUUUGGAAAGAUUCAAGGUUGAUCAAGACUAAGUCAAGAGUGAAUCAAGUUGAUCAACUCACAAAGCGUAAAAGAUGUACCGAGAGGGAUCAAGUGAUCCCAUGGUAUGGUAAGUAUUGUCCAUUGCACUUUGUGUACUAACCCAUGGUCUAUGUGAGAGUUCUAUGUGGGGUUAGGUACAAGUCCAUGGGCUUGCGUCAAGAGGAAGAUAUCAUACAACCCAUGGAAAGGAUGACAUCAAGUAGUGAUCGUCAUCAAGAUUGUCAUGUGCAAGUUCAAGUGUAGCAUCACGAAGAGAUCAAGUGCUUGAAGCUUGCCGUCCAUUGUGGUGUCAAUGGACUUGUGAAGAUGUGCCAAAGAGUGGCUCACCCAUAGUGGAGUAUGGGGGAGCAAUCAUCUAGUCUCCAUCGACCCAACGCAAUCAAGAAAGGUGGUCCAUCUUGCGGAGGACAAGAUCGUCAUCAUCUAGCUCAAGUGGAUCAUGUGCAAGGCAAAGGUUUGCCCUUGAUAGGUUUUCUAUUUUACUGGUCUCAUGGUGGUAGUUGGGAGACCGGGUUAUAGGAUCAAUAGUCGUACUAUCAAGGGGGGAUCUCAAGUGAGUAGCUUGAUCGUAUCGUUCGUCAAGAGGUCAAACCAUUGCAUCCUUGCAUCAUGUUUCUUGGUUCUUGUUUGGUUCUCUUUGUGAGUGUCGGUGUCAAAACCGGCGGAUCUCGGGUAGGGGGUCCCGAACUGUGCGUCUAGGCGGAUGGUAACAGGAGACGAGGGGCACGAUGUUUUUACCCAGGUUCGGGCCCUCUUGAUGGAGGUAAAACCCUACGUCCUGCUUGAUUAUUAUUGAUGAUGUGGGUUACAAGAGUAGAUCUACCACGAGAUCAAGGAGGCUAAACCCUAGAAGCUAGCCUAUGGUAUGAUUGUUGUCCGUCCUAUGGACUAAGGCCAUCCGGUUUAUAUAGACACCGGAGAGGGCUAGGGUUACACAGAGUCAGUUACAAUGGUAGGAGAUGUACAUAUCCGUAUCACCAAGCUUGCCUUCCACGCCAAGGAAAGUCCCAUCCGGACACGGGACGAAGUCUUCAAUCUUGUAUCUUCAUAGUCUUGGAGUCCGGCCGAUGAUGAUAGUUCGGCUAUCCGGACACCCCCUAGUCGGAACUCCCUCAGUAGCCCCUGAACCAGGCUUCAAUGACGACGAGUCCGGCGCGCAUGUUGUCUUCGGCAUUGCAAGGCGGGUUCCUCCUCCGAAUAAUUUAUAGAAGAUUGUGAACACCAGGAUAGUGUCCGACUCUGCAAAAUAAAUUCCACAUACAACCGUAGAGAGAAUAAUAUUACACAAGUUCAAUCUGCUGACUAUUUUGUGGCGUAACGUCGCACCACUACCAAGCCCUCGAAUUGUUUUUAUUGCUCCAUCUCGGCGCGUUUAGCGAGGUGGUUUCCUUGGCACGUCUUGUCGAAGCAGAGAUCGUGUUCCCCUUAUUCCAGGAUUCCCAUCACUACGGACGUGGGUAACCCAACCGCGCCCGUUGCCACGCCCCCUCCAUCGAAGGCGGGUUCCAAACGGUCACGGGGACGGCUCUUGGUAUUCUUCCUCUUUAUAAUGAGACCAAGGCCCGUUCUUUUUAUUCAAUCCUCUAUCGAAUCCGCCCCUCUCCCCGAGUUCCAACACCCAGGGCUCCGAAUUCAGGUACCUUCAAUCCUCGACAAUGUCCGGUCCUGAUCUAUGAGGCCGGUGGAUGCCCUCCUCCGUCACGGAGGAGGACGUGCUAAAGCUAAGAGAUGUCAGGUAUUUAACCUACGAGAUUUCGCAUAGGCUGCCUGCCCGAGGGCAAGUUAUCCCAACUCCCGAGCCUGGCGAGAUCGUCGUGUUCAUGUCUCACUUCCGUCGGGGUUUAGGCUUCCCGACGGAUCCCUUCAUGAGGGGGCUCAUGUUUUACUAUGGGCUGGAAUUCCACGACCUGGCUCCGGAGUCCAUCCUCCAUAUCUCAUCAUUCAUUGUCGUUUGUGAAGCCUUCCUCCGCACUACCCCUCACUUCAGCUUAUGGCUCAAAACCUUCACCGUGGAGCCGAAGAUGAUUGAGGGGCGUCAGGCAGAGUGCGGCGGGGUGGUUAUAAGCAAGAGGGCCGAAGCUCCAUGGCCCAAGGGCUCUUUCCAAGAGGAGCUCGGCUUGUGGCAACAGGAGUGGUUUUAUAUCACCGCUCCCCGGGGCAGCAGGCAGAAGCCGCCGCCCGUCUUUCGCUCGGGCCCUCCACAACAGCUGACAUCAUGGGUCAACAAGGGGCGUGACUGGGGGCCGCCCAAAGACGUCCCCCUGUUGCAGGACCGGAUUCGAGUCCUCCAAGAAAGGGAGAUCAAUCUGGUCGCAGUGGUGCAGGUCAUGUUGAUCCGACGCCUACUGCCCUGCAAGCGUCGCCCCCUCCGCCUGUGGGAAUUUAAUCCGGAGGGGCCGCGAGCUCUUCAACACUUCAUGGGUUUGACUCCCCUGGAGAUGUAUAAACUGUUCUUUGGAUCGCAAGAGACGCAUCCAGAAUUGACCGAGGACGCUGGCCUAAGCUGCAAUCGCCCGGAUACUCAAGUAGCCCUGUGUCCGGACACACCAUUCAUUUAUUUAUCAUGAGCUUGCCUUUUAACCAGCUAUCCCUGGACAGGAGUGGAUAGCGCAAGCAAAACUGAUACGGUGUCCGACCCCCCUCCCUGAGACCACGCAGGAUCCCGUGUUAAUCAAAAUGUUGGAGGUUGCACCUUCAAAUGAGGGUGAAGGGGGGCACGGGGAAACUGUCACCUCUGCCAAGGAGGCGUUUAGUAAGGGAGGAAUCGAGAGUCCCUCCUUUCAGGGGGAGAAGCGGAACGCUUCCGAAGACCCGGAGGCCAAGGCCUCAAAGCGGGGAAAGAAAUCUGUACCGGAAGGUCCUGCACCAGAAAGCGCCCCGGCCGUACUGUCUCCUCGGAGGAAUCAUCCCUCUAAUGAGCCGUAAGUAAAAAGGGGGAUUUUAUAAUUAUUAGACACCCCUGCUUAAUGUCUAAAGGUAACCGAAGUUUUUACCUUGUAGUUCGGAUCUCAGCCCAUCUCAGCACAGCUCAUCUUCGGGAGACCUUCGUCCGGAGAUGAUGGAGAGCGAAACGCCUCCAUCUGCCGCCCCAUCGCACGGGGCGGACGACCCUGAGGUGUCGUCGCGGAGGGUCUCCCUGAGUCCGGCGGGGCCGGAGAGUUCGGCACCCAUUGGAGUACGGCCGGUGGAGCUGCAGGAUUUGCUUAAGAGGGCGUCCAUCUCAGAAGAUCACCACACAUUAAUGGGUAAUGUGAUUGAGAGGAUCUCGUCUGCCGAAAGCGGGUUGUAUGAGGCCGUCAGAAGUUUACUGACAGGAUUUGAGGUACGCAAAAAAUGACAUACCUGUUGACAGUUUUGCACAUGAAGUGCGCCCUGUAUAGUAGCCCCUGAGACUUGGUAUGCUGCCGAAAACGGCAGCGUGCCUAGGAUCAUAAUCUUAGUUAUUAACUGUCGCCUUUCCUAUGCAGGUGGCGGAACGUUUGGUGGCCAGCCGGACGGAUGGAUUCGCCGAGCUGAAGAAGCAACUCGACGCUGCAGAUGCGGAUAUCUCGCUGGUCAAUAAACGACUUGAUGAGUCGCAAGGUAUGUGAUUGCGCCGCGGUCGCUUAGUAAGGGAGCUGAUGCCCAUUCCUUACAAGUUGUAUGCUUGAUGCAGAUGGUGCUGCUGUUGUGGAAGACCUUCGAGCAGAACUUGCUCGGGCCAAGGAGCAAGCCAGAAAAAGUGAGGCGGCUGCCUUGAAGGCAGCGGAAGAGCUAGAAGCCGAGAAGGCUGCUCACUGCCGAAGUAGGGAGGAGAUGGCCGGAAUGGCCAUCAAAUUAAAAGUUGCUACCGACCGCCUGGAGGUUCUUGAAGGAGAACGCCGAGCGGAGCAAGAGGACCUGAAGAAGGCCGAUGCCGAAGCCAAGGAUGCCCGCAGUGCGAUGCGGGCUAUGAAGGAGGAACUGCGUCAGGUCGGAGACAUUGUGGCUGGAAAGCCCUUUAUGCUGCGUAGGAAGUUCACGGAUCCGAAGUAUGCUCAGUUGGACCAAUUGUACGGUGCGGAGGAUCCUUAUCUGGACUUGGCGGCGAGUGCGGCUGACGCAGUCAUGCACUUUCGAAGCUAGGAGGAUCAUGAAAUGGAAGAGCUUUUCUGGUCUCAAUUCCAUAGUCCGGAGCGUCCACUUCCGUUGAGUGAUCGGCUGGUUGAGUGGGCUGAGCUGAGUAGAUUGUCCGGACUGGCCAUGACGGAUGUGGUAACUCAUCUGUGGCCGAAAAGGCCCAAGCCGAAGAGUUAUUUUGGCUUGUUGCAGCAAUUCCUUGGGGCAGUGCCGCAUAUUAAGGCGAUGAAGCGGUCGGCAUGCAUAGAAGGUGCGCGGAUGGCUCUCGCCCGUGGUAAAACAUACUGGGCGGAGAUGGAUGCCACCGCUGUUGCAUCCCGGGGUUCGGACAGAAGCCGAUUCCCCACCGAGCAUUACUUUGAGGAAGUCCUGCAGGGCGCUCGUAUAAUAGAGUCGCAGUGCUCGAAAGAUGUUAUGUUUGAAUGACAUGUAUGAUUUCUAAGGUCAUGUUUACAAUGCAAUGACUUUUUAUACUUCUGUGUUCAAGUAUUGAACUAUCUCCUGUGCGGCCGUAUAUGUAUGUAUAAUCUAAAAGAUGGCAGUCUUUGGCUUCAGCCCCCACGCACAUGGUGCGGGGGUGUUUGCAAAAAGAAAAACACUUUUUCACACUUAAUCCAACGUCUUGGUCCUUUUAAGGAGGUGAUAGCAUAGCAAACUAGGCAACCGGACUAUAAUGCUUUAUCACUUUCACCUAGCCAUAGGAGCUCGAAUGUGGGGCUACGAUAUAGCCCCUGAUGGCACCGCGCUUCUCCGAAGUUGGGGCGCGUAUGUGCCUGAUCGGGAAGCGGUCCUUCGUCAAAGUGGAGGAAUUCUAAACAUUCCAAUGGUCGAUCGAGUGGUUGACCAGUCUCUCGCUAUAUCAUGACAGUCAGUUUUCGGCUUUCUCUACUGAGGUGCUCUCCCGGCCGAACCGGGGCACAAUCGCAGUAGUUCUCCUGGUGCCGCGUUAGCCGAUGAUACGGAACGUAAGGCAGCAAAACUCAGGAGCCGGGCAAACCCAACAUUUGACCAAAGACAUGAUUCGGAGCUGAUGCAUAUAAGGCAUAACUCGAGACGCCGAACACUCCCUGAGGUGUUCGGUCUUUAUGAUAUCGGGCAGAAUAAAAGCCCUAAGCCCCUAGUGUCCAGGUACAGGCGGGAACUUCUGACGCGGCCGAUGCCAAAAUGCCAGCCUCCUCCUCCGCUCUGGUAAGAAACCGGGGGAUGUGUAUCAACAAGAGGCAGUGAGAAAGGUUUACGCAGGGUCUUAAUCUGAAAAGAAUCCUUGCAACGGGUCCCUACUGCACGUCUGCGCCUGUGUCUCCGUUGUGCUGUAUUCUAGACGGGCGUAGCACGUGCUUCAUCUGUAAAAGAGAAGGACUUAGUUUCUAAGAAAUAUCGUGCAAAAAGUGUAUCAAAAUAAAGUAUAAUUUGGAAGAUGAAAAAAGUUGAGCUUUAUUAGCUUUCAUCAUUUAUGCGCGCGGCCCCCCUAAAAAAGGGGUAUGCGGCUGAGAAGCCCCUUGUUAAGUUACGCCGGACUCGUCUAACCAUGUCCGAGGUCUAAAUGACCUGUUUUUAGGGGCUUUGACCUGCAAGGUCGGAAUAUUGUGUGGCUGUCUAGGCAGCCGCACAUUCUCCAUGGUCGAGAGACACGUGGAGUUUUAGGAAUAUGCCACGUGGACGGGGCUGUUUGAAGCGUAAGAGACGCAUAAUGUGGUAUUGCAUUAAAGCGCGCGAAAGUUGCACGCCCCAGUAGUGCUUAAGGGCUACUGCUAAAUGGGGCGAUGGAGGGUGAGCUUUUCGCGACGGAGGUUGUCGGAUGGACCGAACACGACCCCUAGUGGUACAGAGCCUGUAAAAUUAGCUAAAAAGGCAUGGCGUCACUCCUUUGAAGGAAGUGCUUGCUAUGGCGAAUUUUGGUGGGUUCUAUCCCCAGUCUGCGGACGGUGUCCUGGUAUAGCAGGGGCCGCGCUGCGUGUUAUCACGUGAAGUGAGUUCACUGUUUUGACUUCUAAUGGGAAAGUCUUUUGGUUUCCGGAGCGCUGCUUUUGGUUUCGUCACUUUCACUUGGUGUGUCGAGCCCUUUGUGUUCGGCGUUAAGUCGGCCGGACUGCUUGAAGACCCAGCAAUCUCUGUGGGUAUGGUUUGCAGGCUUCCCGGAGGUACCGUGUAUUUGACACAGUCUAUCCAGAAUCUUGUUGAGGUUGGAUAGCUCGUCACUGUUAUCCUUUAAGGGCAGUGUUUUGUUGUUCGGCCGAGAGCUUUUGAAUCCGGCGUUGACCGCCGUACUAUUUGGGCCAUUCUCCUUGUUCCGGCGCUGAUCUUUUUUGCGUCGUGAUUUCCCAUUUCCAUCCCUGAUUUCGGAUGUACUCGGGUCGCUGGUGCUGCAUCUAGCCAACCAGUUGUCUUCCCCCGCGCAAAAGCGGGUCAUGAGACUUGUUAGUGCGGCCAUUGUUCUUGGUUUUUCCUGGCCGAGGUGUCUGGCGAGCCAUUCGUCUCGGACGUUGUGUUUGAAGGCUGCUAAGGCUUCAGCGUCCGGACAGUCGACUAUUUGGUUCUUUUUAGUGAGGAACCUGUUCCAGAAUUUGUGUGCUGAUUCUCCGGGCUGUUGAGUUAUGUGACUUAAAUCAUCUGCAUCUGGAGGCCGGACAUAAGUCCCCUGAAAAUUUGCUCGAAACGCAUCCUCAAGCUCUUCCCAACUCCCAAUCGUAUUUUUUGGGAGGCUUUUAAGCCAAUGCCGGGGCGGCCCUUUGAGCUUGAGGGGAAGGUAUUUUAUGGCAUGGAGAUCGUCUCCUCUUGCCAUGUGUAUGUGUAGGAUAUAAUCCUCAAUCCAGACUCCGGGGUCUGUUGUUCCGUCGCAUGCCUCUAUGUUUAUGGGUUUAAAUCCCGCUGGAAAUCCAUGAUCUAGUACCUCGUCGGUAAAACAUAGUGGGUGUGCGGCGCCCCUGUAUAUGGGUGUGCCGUUGUCUUCAACUGCUCGGCUGGUUGUGUUACUUCCUAGAGUCUUCUUUUUUGGCCCAUAGAUAGACCUGGCCGGGUUAUCCUUUUUCUGAAGAUCUUUAUGCUGAUCAUGUGUCGGCUUGUGUGUGGCGCCCCAUGUUGCUCUUGGCCUGUUAUCUGGUCGUCUAUCCGGCCAGGCGGCCCCUUUAUUUUUUGACUGCGGGGGCUCGAAGGCCUCCUCGUCAAAUUCGGGCGACAGCUUGCGCUUCGGGUAGCUCUUUGUUUGGUGACUAGUGCCAUAUUUAUCUGCGGGGUUGAGUACUUUGCUCCAUCUCCUUCUGAGUGUGUCUUCCGUUGUUCUGAGCUUCCGCUUUUGCUUCUUCGAACUUCUUGCAGUGGCGACGAGCCUGUUAUGGAGAUUCCUAUGCUCUGGUGAUGUGAGAUCAUCUUCGCUGAGGAUGGGUUGCUUGUCCGGUUCCUGUCCGGCUGGCCACUUGUUGACGUGUGCGUCGUCCACUGCUUCGCCCUGCUCUAGGGCCGGGUCCAUAUGGGUACCGUUUUUGUCGAUGCCGGUCUUCGGGCGGCGCUUGCGUCGCCGCUUUGUUUGUUUGUUGCGGGAGUUGUCCUUCGCCACGUCCCGUUUUUCCUCAUUGUCGCUUCCUUUUGGUGUGUACACCAUGUAUACGUUGUGAGCUGGGGUGGCUUUUCCGUGCCCGUUAGGCGCUGGUUCUUGGUCAUCUCCGGCAUCGUCGUCCAUACCGUUGAUGUCUUCGGAGUCGUAAUCUAGCAUGUCGGUUAGAUCGUCGACAGCGGCUACCAAGUGGGUGGUGGGUGGGCUUUGAAUUUGUUCGUCGUCCGCAUCCCAACCUUCCUGACCGCAGUCCGGCCAGGGCUCUCCUGAUAACGAGAGAUACUUUAGCGAACUCAAGAUGUCGCCGAAAGGUGUGUGUUGAAAGAUGUCCGCUGCGGUGAAUUCCAUGAUCGGCGCCCAAUCAGAUUCGAUCGGGGAGGGCGCGAGGGGUUCGGAGUCCGGCGAGGAGUCCGGCACCUCAAAGUCACAAGCUUUAUGAGGGACAAAGUCAGUGUUCGGCUCUAUCGCCAUAGAGGUUGCAGCCCCCAAGGCGGUGUCUAGCCAUCCGUCCUCGAUCUGCACAGCCGGCUCCGAAUUGAAGAUCGGAGCGCGUUCGAGUGCGGCCUCCAGGGUAUUGUCCGGCUGCAGAGCUAAAUCAUGCUCGCCAUGACGGUGCGGCACGCUCGGCUGUGGCUCGAAUCCAUUGAGGAUCAAGUCCCCACGGAUGUCAGCCGCGAAGUUCAAACUUCCAAAUCUGACCUGACGGCCAGGGGCGUAGCUUUCGAUCUGCUCCAGGUGGCCAAGCGAAUUGGCGCAUAGUGCGAAGCCGCCGAAUACGAAGAUCUGUCCGGGGAGGAAAGUCUCACCCUGGACGGCGUCGUUGAUGAUGAUCAAAGAAGCCAUCGAGCCUAUCGGUGACGACACAGAGGAACUCUCAAUGAAAGCACCAAUGUCGGUGUCAAAACCGACGGAUCUCGGGUAGGGGGUCCCGAACUGUGCGUCUAGGUGGAUGGUAACAGGAGACGAGGGACACGAUGUUUUUACCCAGGUUCGGGCCCUCUUGAUGGAGGUAAAACCCUACGUCCUGCUUGAUUAAUAUUGAUAAUGUGGGUUACAAGAGUAGAUCUACCACGAGAUCAAGGAGGCUAAACCCUAGAAGCUAGCCUAUGGUAUGAUUGUUGUCCGUCCUAUGGACUAAGGCCAUCCGGUUUAUAUAGACACCGGAGAGGGCUAGGGUUACACAGAGUCGGUUACAAUGGUAGGAGAUCUACAUAUCCGUAUCGCCAAGCUUGCCUUCCACGCCAAGGGAAGUCCCAUCCGGACACGGGACGAAGUCUUCAAUCUUGUAUCUUCGUAGUCUUGGUGUCCGGCCGAUGAUGAUAGUUCGGCUAUCCGGACACCCCCUAGUCCGGAACUCCCUCAAUGAGUCUUAGACCUUAUGUUCAACUUCAUGACAAGCUUGAGUUCAUCGAAAACGGAGUUUGCAUGCGUCUUCUAUGAUGUUUUCGGUGUUGGAGGUUUUACCGGUCUUUUCCGAGGAAGAGUUCUCACCAUUUUCUUUUGGGCCUUUUCUCAUUUGCUUAUUAUUGUUAUUUCUAUCAAGAUUGUGUUAGCCCUUGUCGCUAGCUUUCCAACAAACUUGGUUUCGUCGAAUUCGGAGUCCGAAUGCAGAAGUUGUGGUAGUUUUGGUGUUCUGAAAAGGCUGCAGCGGUACUACCGCGGGUAGGAGCGGAAGUAAUUUUUUACUACCGCCCUUGGGAGCAGUACUACCGCUUGGAGCAGUACUACCGCGCCUACUUCCGUGGCUACUUCCGCACGGGACCAAAAACUCGUCACAAGUCCAGCGGUGGUAGGCACGGAUGUAAUUUUUUAGUACCACUCGCAAGCAGUAGUACCGCUACCCCUAUCGGUAGUACCGUGAUGUCAAGCGGUACUACCGCUCGGUGCGGGCUGUGAGCAUAACGGUUGGAUUUUUCCCCACCUAUAAAAGGGGGUCUUCUUCCCCAUUGAACCCUAUCCUUUGAGCUCGUGUUCUUCCCCCAUUGUUGACCUUCUUCGAGCUUGCUAACUCUCAAUCCCUCCAUGGAUUCUUGCUAGUUUUUGAGGGAAAAGAGAGAGGAGAUCUAGAUCCAGAUUUCCACCAAUCACUUUCUCCUCUAUGUGAGGGGAACCCCUUGGAUCUAGUUCUUGGAGUUCUUAGUGUUCUCCUUCUUGUUCUUCCUCUUAUUUUCCUCCCUAGCAUUAGUUGCUUCGGUGGGAUUUGAGAGAGAAGGAGUUGGGCACUCCGUGUGCCCUUGCCAUUGCAUUUGGUGCAUCGGUUUGAGUUCUCCACGAUGAUACGUGGAAGUUACAAGUUGAGAAGCUUAUUACUCUUGGGUGCUUGGUACCCUUGAGCUUGUUCCUCUUGGGUGCUUGGGCGCCCUAGACGGUUGGUGGUGUUCGGAGCUCAAUCAUUGUGGUGUAAAGCUCCGGGCAAGCGUCGGGGUCUCCAAUUAGGUUGUGGAGAUCGCCCCGAGCAAUUUGACGGGUACUGGUGACCGCCCCCAAGGGUUGCCAAAGUGUACGGGUUCGGUGACCGCCCCCAAGGGUUGCCAUUUGUACGGGUUCGGUGACCGCCCUCAAGGGUCCCUUAGUGGAAUCACGGCAUCUUGCAUUGUGCGAGGGCGUGAGGAGAUUACGGUGGCCCUAGUGGCUUCUUGGGGAGCAUUGUGCCUCCACACCGCUCCAAAUGGAGAUUAGCAUCCGCAAGGGUGUGAACUUCGGAAUACAUCAUCGUCUCCGCGUGCCUCGGUUAUCUCUUACCCGAGCCCUUUACUUAUGCACUUUACUUUGUGAUAGCCAUAUUGUUUCUUGUCAUAUAUCUUGCUAUCACCUAAGUAGUUUUUCUUGCUUAGCAUAAGUUGUUGGUGCACAUAGGUGAGCCUAGUUGUUGUAGGUUUUGUGCUUGACAAAUUAACCGCUAGGUUUAUUCCGCAUUUGUUCAAGCCUCAACCGUAAUUAUUUUAAAGCGCCUAUUCCCCCCCCCCCUUCUAGGCGACAUCCACGAUCUUUCAAUUGGUAUCAGAGCCUCGUCUCUCUUUGUUGGGCUUAACCGCCUAGAGAGUAAAGAUGUCGACUAGAGGAUUAGGAUUCUCUGACACUCUUAGUUUCGAUGGCACAAAUUUUGAUGUUUGGGUAAUUCGCAUGCUUAAUCUCUUUAGGGUCAUGGACCCAAAUUUAGAGCGAAUUGUAGAUAUGGGUUUUUCUCCUCCAAAGGAUCCCCAAAGAUUAUCUUUAGAGGAUGAGAAAAACUCUUAUCUCAAUGCUCAAGCCUCUAAUGUGCUUUUCGAUGCUUUGAGCAAUGUAGUUAUAUUUCAACUCAUGCCGUUCCGGGAUGCUCAUGAGUUAUGGACAAAGCUUCAAGAUAAAUAUGGUGUGUCCAAGAUUUGUGGGGAUGGUUGUUCUCCCUCCACCUCCGGUCAUAUAGUCUUCUCAACUUCUUCUACUUCACCUACAUGUGGUUUGCCACAAGGUAAUGAUAUGGUGAGUAGUGUUGGUCAUUGCAAUGAUAAUAGUAUGCUUAUUGUGGAUGAUCCUUCAUCACUAUAUUUUUGCAAUGCUCCCUCUUUGGGCUUUAACACUUCGAGCACUCCAAAUGUUUCACAUGUUUGUGUUGAUAGUCCUUGCAUAUCAUGUAGAAAUUGCUUGAUUAAAUAUCAUGAUGAUAUGCUUGCUAUGUUUUGUUGCCAUGAUAAAAAUGCAUCUAUUUCCUCGAAUUGUUGUGCUAACAAUGUAGAGGAAACCAAACACUCCAUGGAACAAGAUGUGGUGUUUAAUGGUGCCUCAAGGGAUCCUACAUCAUCAUCUAUUGCGUUUUGCCUUAUGGCUAAGGCGUCAAAGGUAUCUCCUACUUUGUACCCCAAUAUGUCUCUUGAUGAUGAUGUUGAUGCUAAUGAUGAUGAGGAUAAUGAUGAAGAGAAUGAUAAUGUUGCCUCCUUAAAAAUUAAGGGGGAAAUGGUUUUUAAAGCUCUUCAUAAAAAUAAAUUUGCUCGUUCCAACUUCAUGGAAAUUAUGUCCAUUGCUAUUGAGAGCAAGAAAUAUAUUGAUGAGUUGGAAACUCGUCUUGAGGAGCAUGAGGUCACCAUUGAUAAAAUGGAAGGUCAUGGGCGUGAUUACGCUAAUGAGAUUGCGGACCUCUCUCAAGCUCUUGAACUUGAACAAACCACCAAGGAAUCUCUUGAGGAGACGUUUGCUCUAGAAUUGUCUAGAGUGAAGGAAUCUACUGAUAGAGCUCUUGAGGUGGCCAAUGUUUUUGAAACUAAAAAUGCUAAGCUUGAAGUUGCUCAUGCUAGACUCCUUGAGGAUUUUGAGCACCUCAAAAAUGGCUCAAGGGUCAUCAAGGGUGAGCUCAUCAAACUCACCGAGUCUCAUGCUCAACUUGAAGCUUCUUAUUUAAAAGAGCUUGCCAAGUUGCCUUCUCCUCUUGUUGUUAAUGAUGAUGCUUGUGCUACUAAUUCUAAUACUUGUGAAGCAUCCAUUUUGAAGGAGAAUGUUGAGCUACGGGCUCAACUUGAGUUGCUAUCUAGCAAUUAUGGGAAAUUGGAAGAAAGCCAUGAAAAGCUCUCAAGCUCUCAUGACGAUCUUCUAGUAUCCCAUAAUGUGCUAAAGAUAGCUCAUGAGGCCAUGAUUGCUAAGGUAACAUCUAGUGAGCCUCAUGUUGAUACUAGCACCACUUCUAGUCAAAAUACUAUAUUGCCAUGUGCUAGUCCUUCUAAUUCAUCUACUCACAAUGUUGGUACAUCUUGUGAUGAAUUGCUUUCCUUGCCUUGUUGCUCUAACGAUGAAGCUUAUACUUCCUCUAGUACUUGUGUUGAGACUAACCAUGUAGAGGAAAUCAAAGAGCUCAAGGCCCAAGUCACUUCUUUGAAGAAAGACUUGGAAAAGAGUCAUGAAGGGAAAUCCACACUCAACAAUAUAUUGAGUGUGCAAAAAUCUCCCAAUGACAAAGGUGGACUUGGAUUCAACUCCAAUAAUAAUAAGAAGAAGUCCAAGAGCAACAAGAAGAAGGGCCAAAAACAAGUCAAGAAUUCGGCCAAGAUUAUUUGCUUCAAGUGCAAAAUUGAAGGGCAUCAUGUUAGAUAUUGCCCAUUGAAGAAGAAUGCCAUUGGUAACAAGCAACAAGGCAAGAGGCCACAAGUUCAAUCUCAUGCUCAACCUCAAGUUGAAGAAAGGCCACUUCCCAAGAAGACUCAAGUUAAUGCCUCUCUUGUUGAGAAAUCAAGUGAGAAGAAAAUGAAGAGUAGACGUUGCUACUUAUGUCGUGAGAAAGGUCACCUCGCUUCUUCAUGCACUAGUGGUAACUUAUCCAACCCAAUUAUUAUUGAUGAUAUCUAUUCUCUUGGGAAGGAUAAGGUUGGCAAUGUGUUUGCCAAGUUUGUUGGUACUCAAAGUGGUGUCAAGAAAAGAACCAUUUGGGUUGCCAAGCCUAUUGUGACUAACUUCUUAGGACCCAACUUGGUUGGGGACCAACAAGCUCAAACUUGAUCAAUAGGUGUUGUUGGAGGGCAUUGGAGACUUGGCUACAUUAUGAAGAAUUAAGGGGACUUCAUCUUUCUUGUUGUCUCAAGCCAAGUCAAUUGGGUUGUCAAGUUUCUAUCUUAUAUCCAAUAUGCCUCCUUGCGGUAACUUGUACUUAAAUUGUUUACAUUGAAAGUUACUUGCCCCUUUGCAUGAUUUGGUUUUGUUCCUUGCAUGUGUUUGUAUAUGAUGUGUCUCCAAAUUGCCGUUGUGUAUGUUGGUUUACACAUCAUGUACUUGUGUGUUGUUCAUUGAGCCUUAGUGCAUCUUGUUUAUUUCUUAGUUGGCUCUUGUGAGAGAUUAAUGGAAUAUCCAUUAUGGGGGAGUGGUGUGCUUUGUGCACCUCACAAUCCUAUAAAUGUGUGCACACGAGUAAUACCAUCUAGUAUUGAUAUUUCAAGAUUAUCUAGUCGCUAGGUGGUAUAUCUCUCAUGAGAAAUUCAAAUUCUAAAAAUUCCAUUGAUUAUCGCGUGUUGGAUCCUCUUAUUGCCUCUUGUUAAGUUUUCUUCAUUGGUAUCACAUUAUGGGGGAGUAAUAUGCUAUGUAUAUUACUAGCCUAGAAAAUGUGUACAUUUGAGAUGUUGUCACCUAGUGUUGAUAUUGUAGAUUAUCUUGUUCCUAGGUGGCAUGUUAGCUCUACAAGUUGCAAUUUGCUUGUGUGUGGUGUGAAGAUGAUGUUGGAUAUCCUUGCUAUCUACCACCGGGAAUUCUUUCCAUCUACUUCUUGUCUUUUGACAAUUGGUAGUCAUUUAUGUGUGGUAGAAUUUAUUGAUCAUAUUUACAUUGGCUUUUGUUUUACUUGCCUUUUCUCUUGCCAAGGAUUGUGUCAACUCCCGUUGUCUUCCAUACCACUUGUGGAUCUUGUUUAUUUCUAGUUCUUGUCUAGUGUUUUCUGGAUAUAGUGAAAGCAGUGAUCCCACCUUGUGCAUUUUGUAUUCAAAUACAAAUCCUAUAUAAUGCACAACUCGUGGGGGAGCUAUUAUAUUUUCUUCACUCUUCUUGUGAUCCUUAUCAAGUGUGUUUUGGUGGAAGGCAAGCCAUUUCUUUUUGGUACUUUGUGCCAUCAUGAUACUUUGUUGAGAGCUUGGUAUGUUUGGAACCAUCCUCUCUUUGGGAGUUUGACAUCUUUAGUUUAGUGUGUAUCAAUGGAUAUCUCAUUCCUUGAUGUAUCUUUAAUGAUAUCUUCCAAGUGAUGAUUUCUCCAUUUGGUAUCCUUUUCACUUGGCAUUUCUUUGUCUUUUGGUUUCGGGUUUUGAAAUUCUUGAGCAUGCAUGUUUACUUCAUGUAUUUCAUUUGGCAUGCUUUCUUUCUUUGACUCAAUAUAUAGGGGAAACUCCACCUACUCUCAAUUUGGAUGAGAUGUGCAUGAAAUUCAUUUUCAUAUCUAUAUGCACAUAUUUAUGUGGAGUUUGUCCUAUGUAUUGGUGUUUCUAACUAUUUGGUCCCGAUGAGUUUGGGUACCGUUUAGUUUGUGUUGUUCUUCUAGGAACAUUUGGAGAUGCAUUGGAUGCUCGGCUCACUCACAAAGGUGUUGUCACCAUGUGCAUAUUGGAGUCAAGCUAGGAUGAUCAAUGAACUACUAUCUACCUUCAAUUGGUAUCUACUACAUCCUUUCAAUGAUAUCUCGGUAACAAGUAUCUAUUCAUGCUUUCCCCUCUUGCAUUCAACCUUGUGUAGGUUGUAUCUUGGCAUGAUAUUCAUUUCAUAUCUUGUGAUACUUGUUUCCUUUCUCAAAGCAUCCCAACGAUGAUCUCUGUUGCUAGUUAUGAUGCCCUUGAUGGAUGUGUGUUUGGACUUCAUUUAUAUACAAUAAGACCAUAUCUAGCCAAGUUCUAUGCUUUCAAGCAAAUAUCUUAUUGGUAUAUUUAUGACUUCCUUAUGGAUAUCUUGUUCCUUCGUGUUGUAACUAUUUCGGGUGUACAUUCUUCUUUGUGGAUAUAUAUAUCAUCAUGAUUUCGUCUACAUAGAACCUUAUACACUUGAGAGAAAUUACAUCUCUAGUUGAUAUCCUUUCUUUCAUGUCCACCUUGUCUUUCUUAUGUUAUUUCUUUGGUGUCUCCGUGAAAGCUUUUGCCUUGAGUGUGUGUCCUCUAUCGUUGCAUCUUGAUGCACUCUUGUGUGGUGAAGAUUAUUUUCCUCAUGCUUAUCUUUACGAGGCUUUUGCCAUCUUAAUUGGUAUCCCUCGUCUUGAUGAGGCUUUCAUCUUCUAUCUUCACCACGGGUUGUCACAAGUAUAUGUUCUUUAUAUGCUUAUUAGUAAGCUUGUGAACCCAUUUGCUAGUUGUGUGUGGGAAUGAUAGGCCUUGCACCGUGUGCCUCUUUCUUUCAAGACUUUAUUGAUGCUUAAUGCUCAUCCGUACAUUAGUCUUCUCAAGUGCAUUGCCUUGACUCACACACAUCAUUUUGGUUGAGCCCAUUCUUAAGUUGCCUCUUUUACUUGUUGCUCAACCAUGUGUUUGUUGCAAGUACUAGGCUUUGUUUUCUAUAUGCUCACUUGCACUUGUUGUAAGUUUCUAUUGAUUUUAGGGGAGCUAUGAUCCUAUUUUGUGCACUUUGUAUCCAAAUACAAAUAUUCUUAUGUGUGCACAAAUCACGGGGAGCUUCUCUAGUUUCUUUAGAACACUCCUUUGCCCAUAUCAUAAUAUCCUUUAUUCAUGUGGCUCGUAGGAUCUUUGGUCUAGUUGUUUCAAUUGAUAUCCUUUGAUUGCUUGCUUCAAUUGGUAUCUUUUGAUUGCUUGUGUCUCUCUUUGUUAUGUCUUUGUGGCAUAUCUUUCUGUUGCAAUCUUUGGGCCUCAAUAUAGUUUGUCUUCCUCCAAGUACUGACAGUUGGAUAUGUAUAUGGCAUUCCACUCUCUUGUUGAGAAAUACACAACUUUUGGAGGAACACAUUUUAUAUUGGUCUUCUUAGCUUUUCGUUCAUUUUGGCAAUCGAUGCCAAUGGGGGAGAAGUUUCAGAGAGUUUUGUGGAGAAGCCUUCAGAGUUUUCUCCUCUUUGGUUUUGUUCCUAAGCAUUUGCAUCUCAUACGCAUGCAUUAUUGGUUGUUGCAUUGCAUGGUGAUGCAUAAUUCCAUAUAUAAACUCUCUUGAAAGUGAUUGUCAUCAAUUACCAAAAUGGUGGAGAUUGAAAGGACAUGCGGUGCCCCCAUGUGUGGUUUUGGUAAUUGAUGACAUUCUUUAUGGACUAAUGGUUGCAUUGAGUUAUAUUUGAAGGAUUUGUCCAUAGGCAUUUCUUGAAGUCCAUGUGUUGGUUUCAAGGAGUUUAUGUGUUGACCAAGGUGCUAUUAAGGAAUUAUCCAAAGAUUGGUCAUGUGAGUGUUGAGCUUAUUGCAAGCAUGUCUUGAAGAAGAAGAUUGUGUGAUCAUUCAUGUUUACCUUCAAGACAUCAUCCAAACUAAGAGAUUUGGAAAGAUUCAAGGUUGAUCAAGACUAAGUCAAGAAUGAAUCAAGUUGAUCAACUCACAAAGCGUAAAAGAUGUACCGAGAGGGAUCAAGUGAUCCCAUGGUAUGGUAAGUAUUGUCCAUUGCACUUUGUGUACUAACCCAUGGUCUAUGUGAGAGUUCUAUGUGGGGUUAGAUACAUGUCCAUGGGCUUGCGUCAAGAGAAAGAUAUCAUACAACCCAUGGAAAGGAUGACAUCAAGUAGUGAUCGUCAUCAAGAUUGUCAUGUGCAAGUUCAAGUGUAGCAUCACGAAGAGAUCAAGUGCUUGAAGCUUGCCAUCCAUUGUGGUGUCAAUGGACUUGUGAAGAUGUGCCAAAGAGUGGCUCACCCAUAGUGGAGUAUGGGGGAGCAACCAUCUAGCCCCAUCGACCCAACGCAAUCAAGAAAGGUGGUCCAUCUUGCGGAGGACAAGAUCGUCAUCAUCUAGCUCAAGUGGAUCAUGUGCAAGGCAAAGGUUUGCCCUUGAUAGGUUUUCUAUUUUACUGGUCUCAUGGUGGUAGUUGGGAGACCGGGUUAUAGGAUCAAUAACCGUACUAUCAAGGGGGGCUCUCAAGUGAGUAGCUUGAUCGUAUCGUUCGUCGAGAGCUCAAACCAUUGCAUCCUUGCAUCAUGUUUCUUGGUUCUUGUUUGGUUCUCUUUGUGAGUCUUAGAGCUUAUGGUCAUCUUGAUGACAAGCUUGAGUUCAUUGAAAACGGAGUUUGCAUGCGUCUUCUAUGAUGUUUUCGGUGUUGGAGGUUUUACCGGUCUUUUCCGAGGAAGGGUUCUCACCAUUUUCUUUUGGGUCUUUUCUCAUUUGCUUAUUAUUGGUAUUUCUAUCAAGAUUGUGUUAGCCCUUGUCGCUAGCUUUCCAACAAACUUGGUUUCGUCGAAUUCGGAGUCCGAAUGCAGAAGUUGUGAUAGUUUUGGUGUUCUGAAAAGGCUGCAGCGGUACUACCGCGAGUAGGAGCGGAAGUAAUUUUUUACUACCGCCCUUGGGAGCGGUACUACCGCUUGGAGCAGUACUAGCGCGCCUACUUCCGUGGCUACUUCCGCACAGGACCAAAAACUCGUCACAAGUCCAGCGGUGGUAGGCACGGAUGUAAUUUUUUAGUAUCGCUCGCAAGCAGUGGUACCGCUACCCUUAGCAGUAGUACCGCUACCCCUAUCGGUAGUACCGUGAUGUCAAGCGGUACUACCGCUCGGUGCGGGCUGUGAGCAUAACGGUUGGAUUUUUCCCCACCUAUAAAAGGGGGUCUUCUUCCCCAUUGAACCUUAUCCUUUGAGCUCGUGUUCUUCCCCCAUUGUUGACCUUCUUCGAGCUUGCUAACUCUCAAUCCCUCCAUGGAUUCUUGAUAGUUUUUGAGGGAAAAGAGAGAGGAGAUCUAGAUCCACAUUUCCACCAAUCACUUUCUCCUCUAUGUGAGGGGAACCCCUUGGAUCUAGUUCUUGGAGUUCUUGGUGUUCUCCUUCUUGUUCUUCCUCUCAUUUUCCUCCCUAGCAUUAGUUGCUUCGAUGGGAUUUGAGAGAGAAGGAGUUGGGCACUCCGUGUGCCCUUGCCAUUGUAUUUGGUGCAUCGGUUUGAGUUCUCCACGGUGAUACGUGGAAGUUACAAGUUGAGAAGCUUAUUACUCUUGGGUGCUUGGUACCCUUGAGCUUGUUCCUCUUGGGUGCUUGGGCGCCCUAGACGGUUGGUGGUGUUCAGAGCUCAAUCAUUGUGGUGUAAAGCUCCGGGCAAGCGUCGGGGUCUCUAAUUAGGUUGUGGAGAUCGCCCCGAGCAAUUUGACGGGUACUGGUGACCGCCCCCAAGGGUUGCCAAAGUGUACGGGUUCGGUGACCGCCCCCAAGGGUUGCCAUUUGUACGGGUUCGGUGACCGCCCUCAAGGGUCCCUUAGUGGAAUCACGGCAUCUUGCAUUGUGCGAGGGCGUGAGGAGAUUACGGUGGCCCUAGUGGCUUCUUGGGGAGCAUUGUGCCUCCACACCGCUCCAAACGGAGAUUAGCAUCCGCAAGGGUGUGAACUUCGGAAUACAUCAUCGUCUCCGCGUGCCUCGGUUAUCUCUUACCCGAGCCCUUUACUUAUGCACUUUACUUUGUGAUAGCCAUAUUGUUUCUUGUCAUAUAUCUUGCUAUCACCUAAGUAGUUUUUCUUGCUUAGCAUAAGUUGUUGGUGCACAUAGGUGAGCCUAGUUGUUGUAGGUUUUGUGCUUGACAAAUUAACCGCUAGGUUUAUUCCGCAUUUGUUCAAGCCUCAACCGUAAUUAUUUUAAAGCGCCUAUUCCCCCCCCCUUCUAGGCGACAUCCACGAUCUUUCAAUUGGUAUCAGAGCCUCGUCUCUCUUUGUUGGGCUUAACCGCCUAGAGAGUAAAGAUGUCGACUAGAGGAUUCGGAUUCUCUGACACUCUUAGUUUCGAUGGCACAAAUUUUGAUGUUUGGGUAAUUCGCAUGCUUAAUCUCUUUAGGGUCAUGGACCCAAAUUUAGAGCGAAUUGUAGAUAUGGGUUUUUCUCCUCCAAAGGAUCCCCAAAGAUUAUCUUUAGAGGAUGAGAAAAACUCUUAUCUCAAUGCUCAAGCCUCUAAUGUGCUUUUCGAUGCUUUGAGCAAUGUAGUUAUAUUUCAACUCAUGCCGUUCCGGGAUGCUCAUGAGUUAUGGACAAAGCUUCAAGAUAAAUAUGGUGUGUCCAAGAUUUGUGGGGAUGGUUGUUCUCCCUCCACCUCCGGUCAUAUAGUCUUCUCAACUUCUUCUACUUCACCUACAUGUGGUUUGCCACAAGGUAAUGAUAUGGUGAGUAGUGUUGGUCAUUGCAAUGAUAAUAGUAUGCUUAUUGUGGAUGAUCCUUCAUCACUAUAUUUUUGCAAUGCUCCCUCUUUGGGCUUUAACACUUCGAGCACUCCAAAUGUUUCACAUGUUUGUGUUGAUAGUCCUUGCAUAUCAUGUAGAAAUUGCUUGAUUAAAUAUCAUGAUGAUAUGCUUGCUAUGUUUUGUUGCCAUGAUAAAAAUGCAUCUAUUUCCUCGAAUUGUUGUGCUAACAAUGUAGAGGAAACCAAACACUCCAUGGAACAAGAUGUGGUGUUUAAUGGUGCCUCAAGGGAUCCUACAUCAUCAUCUAUUGCGUUUUGCCUUAUGGCUAAGGCGUCAAAGGUAUCUCCUACUUUGUACCCCAAUAUGUCUCUUGAUGAUGAUGUUGAUGCUAAUGAUGAUGAGGAUAAUGAUGAAGAGAAUGAUAAUGUUGCCUCCUUAAAAAUUAAGGGGGAAAUGGUUUUUAAAGCUCUUCAUAAAAAUAAAUUUGCUCGUUCCAACUUCAUGGAAAUUAUGUCCAUUGCUAUUGAGAGCAAGAAAUAUAUUGAUGAGUUGGAAACUCGUCUUGAGGAGCAUGAGGUCACCAUUGAUAAAAUGGAAGGUCAUGGGCGUGAUUACGCUAAUGAGAUUGCGGACCUCUCUCAAGCUCUUGAACUUGAACAAACCACCAAGGAAUCUCUUGAGGAGACGUUUGCUCUAGAAUUGUCUAGAGUGAAGGAAUCUACUGAUAGAGCUCUUGAGGUGGCCAAUGUUUUUGAAACUAAAAAUGCUAAGCUUGAAGUUGCUCAUGCUAGACUCCUUGAGGAUUUUGAGCACCUCAAAAAUGGCUCAAGGGUCAUCAAGGGUGAGCUCAUCAAACUCACCGAGUCUCAUGCUCAACUUGAAGCUUCUUAUUUAAAAGAGCUUGCCAAGUUGCCUUCUCCUCUUGUUGUUAAUGAUGAUGCUUGUGCUACUAAUUCUAAUACUUGUGAAGCAUCCAUUUUGAAGGAGAAUGUUGAGCUACGGGCUCAACUUGAGUUGCUAUCUAGCAAUUAUGGGAAAUUGGAAGAAAGCCAUGAAAAGCUCUCAAGCUCUCAUGACGAUCUUCUAGUAUCCCAUAAUGUGCUAAAGAUAGCUCAUGAGGCCAUGAUUGCUAAGGUAACAUCUAGUGAGCCUCAUGUUGAUACUAGCACCACUUCUAGUCAAAAUACUAUAUUGCCAUGUGCUAGUCCUUCUAAUUCAUCUACUCACAAUGUUGGUACAUCUUGUGAUGAAUUGCUUUCCUUGCCUUGUUGCUCUAACGAUGAAGCUUAUACUUCCUCUAGUACUUGUGUUGAGACUAACCAUGUAGAGGAAAUCAAAGAGCUCAAGGCCCAAGUCACUUCUUUGAAGAAAGACUUGGAAAAGAGUCAUGAAGGGAAAUCCACACUCAACAAUAUAUUGAGUGUGCAAAAAUCUCCCAAUGACAAAGGUGGACUUGGAUUCAACUCCAAUAAUAAUAAGAAGAAGUCCAAGAGCAACAAGAAGAAGGGCCAAAAACAAGUCAAGAAUUCGGCCAAGAUUAUUUGCUUCAAGUGCAAAAUUGAAGGGCAUCAUGUUAGAUAUUGCCCAUUGAAGAAGAAUGCCAUUGGUAACAAGCAACAAGGCAAGAGGCCACAAGUUCAAUCUCAUGCUCAACCUCAAGUUGAAGAAAGGCCACUUCCCAAGAAGACUCAAGUUAAUGCCUCUCUUGUUGAGAAAUCAAGUGAGAAGAAAAUGAAGAGUAGACGUUGCUACUUAUGUCGUGAGAAAGGUCACCUCGCUUCUUCAUGCACUAGUGGUAACUUAUCCAACCCAAUUAUUAUUGAUGAUAUCUAUUCUCUUGGGAAGGAUAAGGUUGGCAAUGUGUUUGCCAAGUUUGUUGGUACUCAAAGUGGUGUCAAGAAAAGAACCAUUUGGGUUGCCAAGCCUAUUGUGACUAACUUCUUAGGACCCAACUUGGUUGGGGACCAACAAGCUCAAACUUGAUCAAUAGGUGUUGUUGGAGGGCAUUGGAGACUUGGCUACAUUAUGAAGAAUUAAGGGGACUUCAUCUUUCUUGUUGUCUCAAGCCAAGUCAAUUGGGUUGUCAAGUUUCUAUCUUAUAUCCAAUAUGCCUCCUUGCGGUAACUUGUACUUAAAUUGUUUACAUUGAAAGUUACUUGCCCCUUUGCAUGAUUUGGUUUUGUUCCUUGCAUGUGUUUGUAUAUGAUGUGUCUCCAAAUUGCCGUUGUGUAUGUUGGUUUACACAUCAUGUACUUGUGUGUUGUUCAUUGAGCCUUAGUGCAUCUUGUUUAUUUCUUAGUUGGCUCUUGUGAGAGAUUAAUGGAAUAUCCAUUAUGGGGGAGUGGUGUGCUUUGUGCACCUCACAAUCCUAUAAAUGUGUGCACAUGAGUAAUACCAUCUAGUAUUGAUAUUUCAAGAUUAUCUAGUCGCUAGGUGGUAUAUCUCUCAUGAGAAAUUCAAAUUCUAAAAAUUCCAUUGAUUAUCGCGUGUUGGAUCCUCUUAUUGCCUCUUGUUAAGUUUUCUUCAUUGGUAUCACAUUAUGGGGGAGUAAUAUGCUAUGUAUAUUACUAGCCUAGAAAAUGUGUACAUUUGAGAUGUUGUCACCUAGUGUUGAUAUUGUAGAUUAUCUUGUUCCUAGGUGGCAUGUUAGCUCUACAAGUUGCAAUUUGCUUGUGUGUGGUGUGAAGAUGAUGUUGGAUAUCCUUGCUAUCUACCACCGGGAAUUCUUUCCAUCUACUUCUUGUCUUUUGACAAUUGGUAGUCAUUUAUGUGUGGUAGAAUUUAUUGAUCAUAUUUACAUUGGCUUUUGUUUUACUUGCCUUUUCUCUUGCCAAGGAUUGUGUCAACUCCCGUUGUCUUCCAUACCACUUGUGGAUCUUGUUUAUUUCUAGUUCUUGUCUAGUGUUUUCUGGAUAUAGUGAAAGCAGUGAUCCCACCUUGUGCAUUUUGUAUUCAAAUACAAAUCCUAUAUAAUGCACAACUCGUGGGGGAGCUAUUAUAUUUUCUUCACUCUUCUUGUGAUCCUUAUCAAGUAUGUUUUGGUGGAAGGCAAGCCAUUUCUUUUUGGUACUUUGUGCCAUCAUGAUACUUUGUUGAGAGCUUGGUAUGUUUGGAACCAUCCUCUCUUUGGGAGUUUGACAUCUUUAGUUUAGUGUGUAUCAAUGGAUAUCUCAUUCCUUGAUGUAUCUUUAAUGAUAUCUUCCAAGUGAUGAUUUCUCCAUUUGGUAUCCUUUUCACUUGGCAUUUCUUUGUCUUUUGGUUUCGGGUUUUGAAAUUCUUGAGCAUGCAUGUUUACUUCAUGUAUUUCAUUUGGCAUGCUUUCUUUCUUUGACUCAAUAUAUAGGGGAAACUCCACCUACUCUCAAUUUGGAUGAGAUGUGCAUGAAAUUCAUUUUCAUAUCUAUAUGCACAUAUUUAUGUGGAGUUUGUCCUAUGUAUUGGUGUUUCUAACUAUUUGGUCCCGAUGAGUUUGGGUACCGUUUAGUUUGUGUUGUUCUUCUAGGAACAUUUGGAGAUGCAUUGGAUGCUCGGCUCACUCACAAAGGUGUUGUCACCAUGUGCAUAUUGGAGUCAAGCUAGGAUGAUCAAUGAACUACUAUCUACCUUCAAUUGGUAUCUACUACAUCCUUUCAAUGAUAUCUCGGUAACAAGUAUCUAUUCAUGCUUUCCCCUCUUGCAUUCAACCUUGUGUAGGUUGUAUCUUGGCAUGAUAUUCAUUUCAUAUCUUGUGAUACUUGUUUCCUUUCUCAAAGCAUCCCAACGAUGAUCUCUGUUGCUAGUUAUGAUGCCCUUGAUGGAUGUGUGUUUGGACUUCAUUUAUAUACAAUAAGACCAUAUCUAGCCAAGUUCUAUGCUUUCAAGCAAAUAUCUUAUUGGUAUAUUUAUGACUUCCUUAUGGAUAUCUUGUUCCUUCGUGUUGUAACUAUUUCGGGUGUACAUUCUUCUUUGUGGAUAUAUAUAUCAUCAUGAUUUCGUCUACAUAGAACCUUAUACACUUGAGAGAAAUUACAUCUCUAGUUGAUAUCCUUUCUUUCAUGUCCACCUUGUCUUUCUUAUGUUAUUUCUUUGGUGUCUCCGUGAAAGCUUUUGCCUUGAGUGUGUGUCCUCUAUCGUUGCAUCUUGAUGCACUCUUGUGUGGUGAAGAUUAUUUUCCUCAUGCUUAUCUUUACGAGGCUUUUGCCAUCUUAAUUGGUAUCCCUCGUCUUGAUGAGGCUUUCAUCUUCUAUCUUCACCACGGGUUGUCACAAGUAUAUGUUCUUUAUAUGCUUAUUAGUAAGCUUGUGAACCCAUUUGCUAGUUGUGUGUGGGAAUGAUAGGCCUUGCACCGUGUGCCUCUUUCUUUCAAGACUUUAUUGAUGCUUAAUGCUCAUCCGUACAUUAGUCUUCUCAAGUGCAUUGCCUUGACUCACACACAUCAUUUUGGUUGAGCCCAUUCUUAAGUUGCCUCUUUUACUUGUUGCUCAACCAUGUGUUUGUUGCAAGUACUAGGCUUUGUUUUCUAUAUGCUCACUUGCACUUGUUGUAAGUUUCUAUUGAUUUUAGGGGAGCUAUGAUCCUAUUUUGUGCACUUUGUAUCCAAAUACAAAUAUUCUUAUGUGUGCACAAAUCACGGGGAGCUUCUCUAGUUUCUUUAGAACACUCCUUUGCCCAUAUCAUAAUAUCCUUUAUUCAUGUGGCUCGUAGGAUCUUUGGUCUAGUUGUUUCAAUUGAUAUCCUUUGAUUGCUUGCUUCAAUUGGUAUCUUUUGAUUGCUUGUGUCUCUCUUUGUUAUGUCUUUGUGGCAUAUCUUUCUGUUGCAAUCUUUGGGCCUCAAUAUAGUUUGUCUUCCUCCAAGUACUGACAGUUGGAUAUGUAUAUGGCAUUCCACUCUCUUGUUGAGAAAUACACAACUUUUGGAGGAACACAUUUUAUAUUGGUCUUCUUAGCUUUUCGUUCAUUUUGGCAAUCGAUGCCAAUGGGGGAGAAGUUUCAGAGAGUUUUGUGGAGAAGUCUUCAGAGUUUUCUCCUCUUUGGUUUUGUUCCUAAGCAUUUGCAUCUCAUACGCAUGCAUUAUUGGUUGUUGCAUUGCAUGGUGAUGCAUAAUUCCUUAUAUAAACUCUCUUGAAAGUGAUUGUCAUCAAUUACCAAAAUGGUGGAGAUUGAAAGGACAUGCGGUGCCCCCAUGUGUGGUUUUGGUAAUUGAUGACAUUCUUUAUGGACUAAUGGUUGCAUUGAGUUAUAUUUGAAGGAUUUGUCCAUAGGCAUUUCUUGAAGUCCAUGUGUUGGUUUCAAGGAGUUUAUGUGUUGACCAAGGUGCUAUUAAGGAAUUAUCCAAAGAUUGGUCAUGUGAGUGUUGAGCUUAUUGCAAGCAUGUCUUGAAGAAGAAGAUUGUGUGAUCAUUCAUGUUUACCUUCAAGACAUCAUCCAAACUAAGAGAUUUGGAAAGAUUCAAGGUUGAUCAAGACUAAGUCAAGAAUGAAUCAAGUUGAUCAACUCACAAAGCGUAAAAGAUGUACCGAGAGGGAUCAAGUGAUCCCAUGGUAUGGUAAGUAUUGUCCAUUGCACUUUGUGUACUAACCCAUGGUCUAUGUGAGAGUUCUAUGUGGGGUUAGAUACAUGUCCAUGGGCUUGCGUCAAGAGGAAGAUAUCAUACAACCCAUGGAAAGGAUGACAUCAAGUAGUGAUCGUCAUCAAGAUUGUCAUGUGCAAGUUCAAGUGUAGCAUCACGAAGAGAUCAAGUGCUUGAAGCUUGCCAUCCAUUGUGGUGUCAAUGGACUUGUGAAGAUGUGCCAAAGAGUGGCUCACCCAUAGUGGAGUAUGGGGGAGCAACCAUCUAGCCCCAUCGACCCAACGCAAUCAAGAAAGGUGGUCCAUCUUGCGGAGGACAAGAUCGUCAUCAUCUAGCUCAAGUGGAUCAUGUGCAAGGCAAAGGUUUGCCCUUGAUAGGUUUUCUAUUUUACUGGUCUCAUGGUGGUAGUUGGGAGACCGGGUUAUAGGAUCAAUAACCGUACUAUCAAGGGGGGCUCUCAAGUGAGUAGCUUGAUCGUAUCGUUCGUCGAGAGCUCAAACCAUUGCAUCCUUGCAUCAUGUUUCUUGGUUCUUGUUUGGUUCUCUUUGUGAGUCUUAGAUCUUAUGGUCAUCUUGAUGACAAGCUUGAGUUCAUUGAAAACGGAGUUUGCAUGCGUCUUCUAUGAUGUUUUCGGUGUUGGAGGUUUUACCGGUCUUUUCCGAGGAAGGGUUCUCACCAUUUUCUUUUGGGUCUUUUCUCAUUUGCUUAUUAUUGGUAUUUCUAUCAAGAUUGUGUUAGCCCUUGUCACUAGCUUUCCAACAAACUUGGUUUCGUCGAAUUCGGAGUCCGAAUGCAGAAGUUGUGAUAGUUUUGGUGUUCUGAAAAGGCUGCAGCGGUACUACCGCGGGUAGGAGCGGAAGUAAUUUUUUACUACCGCCCUUGGGAGCGGUACUACCGCUUGGAGCAGUACUAGCGCGCCUACUUCCGUGGCUACUUCCGCACAGGACCAAAAACUCGUCACAAGUCCAGCGGUGGUAGGCACGGAUGUAAUUUUUUAGUAUCGCUCGCAAGCAGUGGUACCGCUACCCUUAGCAGUAGUACCGCUACCCCUAUCGGUAGUACCGUGAUGUCAAGCGGUACUACCGCUCGGUGCGGGCUGUGAGCAUAACGGUUGGAUUUUUCCCCACCUAUAAAAGGGGGUCUUCUUCCCCAUUGAACCUUAUCCUUUGAGCUCGUGUUCUUCCCCCAUUGUUGACCUUCUUCGAGCUUGCUAACUCUCAAUCCCUCCAUGGAUUCUUGCUAGUUUUUGAGGGAAAAGAGAGAGGAGAUCUAGAUCCACAUUUCCACCAAUCACUUUCUCCUCUAUGUGAGGGGAACCCCUUGGAUCUAGUUCUUGGAGUUCUUGGUGUUCUCCUUCUUGUUCUUCCUCUCAUUUUCCUCCCUAGCAUUAGUUGCUUCGAUGGGAUUUGAGAGAGAAGGAGUUGGGCACUCCGUGUGCCCUUGCCAUUGUAUUUGGUGCAUCGGUUUGAGUUCUCCACGGUGAUACGUGGAAGUUACAAGUUGAGAAGCUUAUUACUCUUGGGUGCUUGGUACCCUUGAGCUUGUUCCUCUUGGGUGCUUGGGCGCCCUAGACGGUUGGUGGUGUUCAGAGCUCAAUCAUUGUGGUGUAAAGCUCCGGGCAAGUGUCGGGGUCUCUAAUUAGGUUGUGGAGAUCGCCCCGAGCAAUUUGACGGGUACCGGUGACCGCCCGCAAGGGUUACCAAAGUGUACGGGUUCGGUGACCGCCCCCAAGGGUUGCCAUUUGUACGGGUUCGGUGACCGCCCUCAAGGGUCCCUUAGUGGAAUCACGGCAUCUUGCAUUGUGCGAUGGCGUGAGGAGAUUACGGUGGCCCUAGUGGCUUUUUGGGGAGCAUUGUGCCUCCACACCGCUCCAAACGGAGAUUAGCAUCCGCAAGGGUGUGAACUUCGGAAUACAUCAUCGUCUUCGCGUGCCUCGGUUAUCUCUUACCCGAGCCCUUUACUUAUGCACUUUACUUUGUGAUAGCCAUAUUGUUUCUUGUCAUAUAUCUUGCUAUCACCUAAGUAGUUUUUCUUACUUAGCAUAAGUUGUUGGUGCACAUAGGUGAGCCUAGUUGUUGUAGGUUUUGUGCUUGACAAAUUAACCGCUAGGUUUAUUCCGCAUUUGUUCAAGCCUCAACUGUAAUUAUUUUAAAGCGCCUAUUCACCCCCCCCCCCUUCUAGGCGACUUCCACGAUCUUUCAGUAUGUUGUACUAAAGACUCAUAGAUGACAUAUCGCUGCGUCUCAUAGUUGGGUCUGUCCAACUUGGACCUUAUCUCGACUCGGAUCCGACUACGUAUCCGACCAGACUUUUCCAAGUCCAUAUUAUCCGGUUAGCAUCCAAUGUUCCAUGGCUAGUGAGACCGAGCCAUCGACCGUGUCAUAUGCUAGUCUAGUCGGCUGCGCGUCCACACAGCCUUUCGACUAGGGACCUUUUAGGACAGUCGUUAUACAAUGCAUAGUCCCACAAACAAGUCACGUACUUGCUGAUACACAUGAUUGAUAAAGUCCAAGGACUAUCUUUAUUCAUGAACACAUAGGAAAUAUCAUCAUACAUGAUUGCCUCUAGGGCAUAUCUCCAACAGCAACCCUUCACCGUCACCGUUCGCACUAUGACCCGCCCGUCGAUCUACGUCGGCUGUCACUGCCCUGCUCCGACCGAGACUCCUGCAUCACCCCGACCCGGCGGCCUCGUGUCAUGCGGCGUCCAAACAUAGCCGCCCUGCUGCCCGCCAUCGCCGGCUUCAUCUCGGACUCCGCCGCCAUCCCGCCUUCACCGGGCGACGUCCCGGCCUCCGCUCGGAUUGAUCACCCGCCCGCCGCCGUGAACCGCGUCAUCUACACCGUGCGACCAACCUGGCCCGUUGGUUGCGCGCACCUUCGCAGGCCCCUUGAAGACUGUCUCGAGUUCACAGCGCCCCUCCAUCGAUCGAGCAACGGGCUGCCACUGUGUCGCCCUGUCGGGCCGCAGUGCCACCGCCCCGUGGUUCUUCCCGGCUGCACCGACCCGCGUCACCGCUGCGUCGCUCCUUCGGGCCGUAGUGUCGUGGCGUGCGGUCCCCUGCCGCCCCGAGGCCAUCUGCUCCAGGCCGUCCCGUGGCUGCACCGACGCUCGCGUCGCUGCUGCGUCGCCCCAUCCGGCCGUAGCGAGCGUGGCACGCGGUCCACGCCGCUGUCCUAAGGCCGUCCCCACGGCUGCACCGACUCGCGAACCGCCGUUGCGUUGCCCUUCGGGCCGCAGCGUUGCGCCCCGCGGUCCCCGCCGCCCCGACCCGCCUACCGGUGUUGCGUCGCCCCUUCGGGCCCUAGCGCCGUGGCCCACGAUCUACUUCGCCGUCCCCGCGCAUCAACUUUCCGUGGUAUGCGUCGCACCUUCUUCCUUGGCGGGGGAACGCCGCCGUCCGCGCCGGUCUUCGUCACGCCAUCAGGGUUCUUCGCCUACUUCGAGCAUCGUCGCCGCGCUCCUAAGCUGGCCGCCGCCGCCGUCAGGCCGCCGCCGCCGCUCUUCUUCGGCCGCCUGCCGCCGCUACCCCCAUAGCCGCCGCAGCCGCCCGUCCACCCCCUUUGUCUUCGUCCAGCACCAGUCGGCGCCAGCGUCGCCGUCAUAUGCCCCGACCACUUCGUCUACUCUGACAACCGCGGGCGACAUCGGCCCCGCGCCGAUUGGCGCCGCGACCGUCUCGUUGAGUUCUUCUCUGCUAACCCCUCGGACUUCUUCGACAUGGAGUACAGCUCGUGCAGGUCCCUCGACUACGCAUGCCCGGUGCUGGCAACACUGAUGCGUGCCUUCGUCCACGACGUGUCCCCGGGCCUGGCAAGCCUGGUGCGACGCUUCGUCAACUUCGUCUUCGUCUGUCUACGUAUGCCCGAUACUGGCAACACCGGUGCGUGCCUUCGUCUAUGAUGUGUUCCCGGCCUUGGCAAACCCGCCGUGACGCGUUGUCAACAACAUCUCCUUUCCGACGCACCACUACUUCGACAUCACUGUGCCAAUGCUCACUCGGCGCCCCGUUGCGCCCGCGGCUCCACGGCGACAUCCUCGAGACCGGCUCCCUGACUCGACAUCGACCACGACAUUCUUCGCACGGCUACCUCAACCACGGCAACACCACCCUUCGCUCUCGGCUACAUCGACAAACGGCACAAAGGGCUAACGCCUUGCUUGAGCAACCUCAUUGGGUUCCACUCCAGCCACGACUUCCGCGAUGCAUCGACCGCUACCGUUGUGACUGCGGGGGAAUGUUGAGUAUAUUGAUCAUUAAGAAAGACGAGAUAGACUAGGAUUUGUUCUACCUUGUCUUGUACAAUUUGAUCAUUGUACUCCUAUAUAUAUAUAUAUGCCCACGAGGCUCAAGCAAUACAACAACUAUUCCACCAAAUUCAUCUCUCCCUUCUAACAGGUCCGACAUGAUGGGCGUGUCUGAACGCACACAUAUCCGUCAUAUAUUUGGGCUGGAUAUGAUGGUUGCCGCUCAGCCCAGGCAUUUGAGGCGCCCGUCUGGGUUAAAAUUAUAUGAUCAGACAUUGAUCUCGAUGAGACGAGUCUGAGGCGCCGGGCCGGAGAUGCUCUCAUACGAAGUAUUUUUGUUGGUCACACGAAGUUUAUCACUAUGCACAACCUGCCGCAACCUCAGGUUGGUUGGUGUAGAGUAGACUACGCUAGGUUGAUUCUCAGAAUCAUUGUAGCAUUGUAGGUUGAUUCUCAGAAUCAUUAUAGCGUCAGUAUCCUUUGGGGGCAAAAGGGCAUCAUUGUAGCAUCAGAGGGGUAUUGCAUUUUUUACUUUUUAUUUGCAGAUUUGAUACUCCAGAUCCAGAAUAAAUCCAUAGCCGUAUCCCAUUACACUCAGUUGACACGCAUCAUCUGGAAACCGAAGCAUGUAAACACUCACUCACAACACACACAUAUGGUUAUGGCGACAUACUUUUUUUCAGAUCUUCAGGGGGAUUUACAUGGAAACAUUUGCACAUAGUGUGUAAUUACAAAAGAGUAAAAGAGAAGAUCGGGGAGGGACUACAAUCCUAAAACCAGAUCCCUCCCGUAUUCACAUCUAGCGUCUCCUCCAUGAUUACAGCACGGCGAGAAACAUGGCUAUGUACAAGCGCGCUGAACAGCGGCUUCGUUGGUUGGUGGCUGGUUCUCCUAGGUGGAGCGGGCGAGGCGGGACGCGAUGGCGGAGUGGUACAUGGCGUCGUGGAAGCUCUCCAUCUCCGACAUCCGAGCCCGCAGCUGCCGCGCCUUCUCCUCCGUCAGGCCGACGAACGUCUUCUCCUCCUCCUCGACCACCGGCGUCGGCGCCGCGGCCUCCAUGUAGUCCGCCCGCCCGGACCACCCGACCAGCGGCGCCCACCACUUGCCUCCCUUGGGCGCCCCCGCGCGGACCCGCCCGCCGGCUCCCGCGGUAACGGAGGCGGCGCGCGGCCGGAGCGCAGCGGACGGGCGGGCGGAGAAAGAGACGACGGAUGCUGACGGUGCCAUCGCCAUUGAUUUGCUCGGCCUGCUGCUUUUCUCGUGAGCUUCUGCUGAGUUUGGACUCUCGAGUUCACUGAACGAACGGUGAGACGAGAGAUGUGCUUGUGAGGUCUGUGUUGCGCUGUGAGGGAGUGAGAUGGAGUUGUUGGUGCGAGGGGGUGGGAGAUUUAUACCGGCGCACGGCGGGAGAGGGGAGGGGUGGAUAGGGACGCCCCGUGGACGCGUGUGAGCGGGGGCGGCAUCCGCUAGGAGGGUGCGCGUGACGUGUGACCGCGUGGACUGGCCGUUCGGGUGUGGUGCGUUCAUUGCCACGAAGGUGACGUUCUUCGGGGGCGUCGCCGGCAAGGGCACAUACAAUGGAAGCGGCACCAUCGUGCUGCCCCGGCCCAUUCACAUCAGCGCAUGAAGUUGAGACCACCGCGCAGUUUUGAAUCCAUCCAACGCACCUAUGGCCAUGUGACGUGAGCCAUCUACCUUUCCCCAUUCUUUGGGUUUUCCAUCUCUUGCUCUUCCCCUUUUCUUCUCUCUCUUACUUUCUUUCCUCGAGAGACCGCCUCUUGCAGAGGAGUCCCUGACACCUGCGAGACACUCAUCUGAGCAGCCACGGUGGCAUCCGAGCCUACCUGGCCUGCGGGGCACCAGGCUGAGGCGACGCAUUGGCCAUGCCCCUAAUGAGGUUUUUCCAACCGGGACUCGCCCACGCACCUAAAUUCAUCACGAGCGCAAAUUCAUUAGGGUAGAAUACGUCAAGGCCGAUGAAGCUUUUUUUUUUUGCAAAAUCGAGCUGAUGAAGAUAAUAAGACAGGAAUUAGCAUCUCGUGAUAUCACGUCCAAAACUACACAUCCUGCCAAGAUAUGUCAUUGGUGAUUCGAUAUUAACCUAUGACAAAGCUUGCAAUGUUUUGUUUUGCACAAUACAAAGCUUGCAAUGGUUGAACCAACGCUGGCCCGCGUACAUGGGCGUGUUUGUAAUGCCACCUAUGUAUAUCUAUCAAUGACAUGAUANNNNNNNNNNNNNNNNNNNNNNNNNNNNNNNNNNNNNNNNNNNNNNNNNNNNNNNNNNNNNNNNNNNNNNNNNNNNNNNNNNNNNNNNNNNNNNNNNNNNNNNNNNNNNNNNNNNNNNNNNNNNNNNNNNNNNNNNNNNNNNNNNNNNNNNNNNNNNNNNNNNNNNNNNNNNNNNNNNNNNNNNNNNNNNNNNNNNNNNNNNNNNNNNNNNNNNNNNNNNNNNNNNNNNNNNNNNNNNNNNNNNNNNNNNNNNNNNNNNNNNNNNNNNNNNNNNNNNNNNNNNNNNNNNNNNNNNNNNNNNNNNNNNNNNNNNNNNNNNNNNNNNNNNNNNNNNNNNNNNNNNNNNNNNNNCAUGAUACGUAACAUUUUGUGUACUUGUGUGUGUGUGUUGGGGGGGGGGGAGGGAGGAGGUGCUUACGAUGAUAUUUGUGUGUGAUGAUGGCUUGAAAAGGUUAACUUCUAAGACACACAAUUGAUUAUUCUUAAAAACCUAACGAGGUUUGAUUUCAGAAACUUUAAUCACCUGAGCCUUUUCCCCUCUCUCGGGCAUAUCCUCCUUGAGUCUUUUCAUCUCCUCUCCCAAAGGACUCCCAUUUCUUCAACAUCUUCAUCGUCCCUAUCCUUCUCCUUGUCCGGAGGUAGUAUGUUGGGAGGGAUUUUUGGAUCUUGUUUCUCUAGUAUAUGCAUACUCAAUAUUAUACUUGUGCUUUAAGGCCUGAGACCUGAACUGAAUUUAUGUUCCUUGAGCUCCUAUUGUAGUCCAUUCUGAUGGUGUGACAGAGGAGUUACUAAGGACCCUCGCAAAAAAAGCAAUACUCCCUUCGACCCAAAAUAAGUGUCAUGAUUUUAGUUCAAAUUCAGAGGGAUUUCUAAGGAGGUCCUCUUGUUGCAAGUACUUUCUCGUCUCUAAAGCAAUGGGAAAUGUUAGUAUUCACAUAUUACUACUAUUUUUCCUUCUUGUUAUCCCUGCAUAGAUUAUUUUGAUUAUUUUAGGUGUUGGUACUUUGCUUCAGCUCAUUACUCUUAGCCUCAACUCGUGUCGCUCUAAUGUUUCUAUUUAUAGGGGUUCCUUGUAGUAUUAACUUCCUUUCCUAGGAGAAUUGAGCAAGUUGAUUCGAAAAAUAUACACGCUUCUUUAUUUUGUCUUUUGGUAUUUUUUUCCUUGUCUCAUUCACAUGAUGCUACUGCCACCUUAACUUUGUAUAGGGGCCUUCCAUAUCUUGUUGGGAGGCCCUUUUGGUGAUUUUGGAGAUGUUUGUCUAGUUUAGGGGUGUCUUUUGUGGGUCCUUUGCAUGUGCUCUUCCAACAUUGUUCUAGGAUCUACUCUACGCCGGAUAUUCCCACGACUCUCCAUUCCUAUGGCCUCGAAGUUUAACCCAACACUACUUUUUGUUGGUCGGUAGGCCAUCGACAUGUUUAUCAAAGAUUUUUCAUGUAUAUCUUUCUUGUAUUCGUAUUGCAAUAUCAGUAUCCGAGCAGCAAGUUAGUGUCGGGCUCAAGGACAAGAAGGGAUAGAAGGACACAAUGGCAACAAUACCGUUAGUGUGGGACUCAAGGAUAAGAGACUCAGUCGCUUUUAGAGCCACUUCGAGAACCCAGAGAGAUAAGAAGCAUAGAAGGGACCGAGAGUGCAUAAAAGGUUGUGUUGAGAAGUUUAACCUCAGCCUCAUGUUCAUAUCGCUAGCGAGGUUUUCCCGAGGUACAUGGCCAAAAUGCUAACCACUUCUCAUCGUACUGAGUUUGCAAGAGGGCUGAAGCUUAGACAGCUAAGUUGGGCGCUUAAGAAAAAUAAGAGCAAACUAAUCAUGCUUCGUUUUGCAGUUGUACUCCUCCUGAUCUACAUGCACAUACAAGCAACGACACGUCGGACGCGAAUGCGUGGCCACAAACACUCUUGCUCCUACCUAGGUCACUCGCAUGUUUCUCAAGCGUGCUCAUUCCUGCCCCACGUAUUUGCAACUUUGCUUAUACCUGGCCUUUGGCACCUUGCAAGGAGGCACUUGCACUGCAUGCCCCUCAUCUCCAGUCUUCACCUUUGCCUUCGGAAAUUUCCAAGGGCCAUACAAGGGGUUGCUUCGAAGAAGAAAAAAGUUCUUAUAUACAGCGAGAAAAUACUACUCACUAUUAAAGAAAACAGUUUAUGUAAGAGUAAAAUAUCCGUCAUUGUCACUUCCUCGUUCCUACAGUACUAGAUAUGGCCAGUUGUAUUUCACAAAAUGUCGCUUUCCACCAGCUAGGCAGCCGUCUCUAAGCGCUCUAGUUAACACAUUUUCUUAUCGUAGAUUCUAUCCUGCUAUGAGAUACUCCCUUGGCAUUACCCUCGUACAGGUUCAUGAGAAAAUCAUACAGAGAACGAUAUGGGAGGUGCGUGGUUAUUUCCUCUUGCUUCGCAGGUGUUCUUUCCUCAACAGCGCAACCAGCCGCCCNNNNNNNNNNNNNNNNNNNNNNNNNNNNNNNNNNNNNNNNNNNNNNNNNNNNNNNNNNNNNNNNNNNNNNNNNNNNNNNNNNNNNNNNNNNNNNNNNNNNNNNNNNNNNNNNNNNNNNNNNNNNNNNNNNNNNNNNNNNNNNNNNNNNNNNNNNNNNNNNNNNNNNNNNNNNNNNNNNNNNNNNNNNNNNNNNNNNNNNNNNNNNNNNNNNNNNNNNNNNNNNNNNNNNNNNNNNNNNNNNNNNNNNNNNNNNNNNNNNNNNNNNNNNNNNNNNNNNNNNNNNNNNNNNNNNNNNNNNNNNNNNNNNNNNNNNNNNNNNNNNNNNNNNNNNNNNNNNNNNNNNNNNNNNNNNNNNNNNNNNNNNNNNNNNNNNNNNNNNNNNNNNNNNNNNNNNNNNNNNNNNNNNNNNNNNNNNNNNNNNNNNNNNNNNNNNNNNNNNNNNNNNNNNNNNNNNNNNNNNNNNNNNNNNNNNNNNNNNNNNNNNNNNNNNNNNNNNNNNNNNNNNNNNNNNNNNNNNNNNNNNNNNNNNNNNNNNNNNNNNNNNNNNNNNNNNNNNNNNNNNNNNNNNNNNNNNNNGGCGGCCGCCUCUGCCUAGGGCGGAUGGUGGCGGGUGCGGCGGCUGGCCCUGCUUCGGGCAGCGGCCUUGGCUGCGUUCGGCGGCGGCGGCCGGGUCGGCGGCAAUGGACCAUCUGACCUCGGUUCGGCGGUGUCGGCAUGGAGGGCCUGGUGGUUGGGUCGGCGCCAUGUGUGGUUCGCCUUCCGGACAGAUCUGAUCUGGCCGGUGCGACCUGCUCAAUAUGCGGCGGCUCAGAUCGGUGGCGACCCGUGCACACGAUGCUUGAUGGAGGUUCCAUCAGCGGAUCCGGGUGAAAACCUAGUUCUCGGCUCGAUGCCAAGACCGGCGUUGGCGGCACUCUUUUGUGUCAUUACCUUCUUGAAGGCAUCGCCGUGGGGAAGCUCCAGACCUCUAUCCGCUACCUCCGGCGGAAACCCUAGAUCAGUAGAUCAGAUGACGGCGGCGCGUUGGUGUCGUUUCCUACUUGGGGGCGUCAUUCUUGGAGGCGUACACGGGUUCGAGGGACCAGUGGGCGGCUUUUUUGGUGGAGCGGUGCUUCAUCCUGCACAUUGAUGACGGCGGAUCUCGGCGGCGUGGUGCAGUGGAGACUCGGCGCCCGAUGCGCGGUGCUGGACUCGCGCAGGAGGGGGUUGCUGUCUGGCGUCAUGGUGACGUCGAUGGCAGAGUGGCUUGACAAGGUAGAAGCCUCAAUACCUGCUCUGAAGACGGGCCAGUGGAAGAUGGCGGCGAUGACACAUGUGAGUGCGUCAGACCAGUUCUUGCCCCAGACUCGGUAUGUGGCUCGGCUGGGGCUUCUGGCUUUUGAUGAUAGGCUUAGAUGAGUGGACUGGGUAUUUGGCCCAGCUAGAGCCCCUUCAUCAUAUGAAUAGGAGUAGUGGCAUAUGAUGACAAGAUGGCGCAUUCAGGCAUAUUGUUGUAAUACUUUGUAAGGUCCUCGAGAAUAAUCGAUAAAGUGGCCGCAUGCAUCUUCCAGAUGCAUAGCCCGGAGAUCAUCCUCCUUUUUUUUUAAAAAGAAGGCGAGUACUGACUGAACUAUUGAUGCGCAUGAAGAUUGUGUGUAUGUGUUUGUGAGGACUAGAUAGUUAAAGCAUGAUUUGGGUCUGGAUGGAUGCUGGCCAGGAGAUAGUUGAGCACUUAAUUUGCUGCUCAAAAGAUAGCAGCAUGCCUGUCACGGCCAUAACUGAACCCGCGCCACUGUCCCGCUCUACACUUCAUCAGUUAGCCAACGGCUCAGAUUAAAAGUGGUGAAGGAGGAUGGACCACCCAGAACUCACAAGUUACAGUUGCGCUUAAUAAAACAGAUGCAUUCAGCUUUACUCUGUUAGUCGAACCCUCCGUCCAAUCUCCAAUCGAUCUCCAAGUAUGAUUUCUACGGCCUCUUCACCGACAAUAAGCUUCAGUGCCGCGUUUUUCUGUAACAGGAAUUUUUUGACUGUCAUCAGGAUGACCAGUCUAUCGAUGACUACUGCCGUCGCCUGAAGACGUUGGCGGAUGAACUCCAUGACAUCGGCGCCAAGGUUGAUGACGACCUCCUCCUUAGCAUGCUCAUCGCCUGCCUCAACGAGGACUUCGGCAACGCCGCUUCCAACUUCACCUUGAUGCCGGAGCUCUUCUUCCCCAAGUUUGUGGCGUACUUGCAGUUGGAGGAGCCCCGGAUGAAGGGGAUCAAGAAGCGCGUGCAACACCAUGCCCUCGCCGCCAGUACCUCCCGUGGCACCCCGCCUGCGCCGCAGGAACAGCCGCCGCCCCCCGCGCCCCCGGGAUUUUUUUCCCUCCCGCCCGCGCCCCGUGCCCGCGCCCCCCGCCCCUCCCGCUGCCCCCUAGCAGCAGCCGCAGGGUGGCGGGCGGCGCGGAACUGCCGCGGGGGCGGCCGCAAGCAGCAGCAACAGGCGCACGGGGGAAGGGGGCUCAUCAGCAGCAGCAGGCCACCCUACCGUGGACUUACAACACCAAUCCGUGGAUGGGUGUCGUUCAUGCGUACUCGUUGCCGGUCCCUCGGGCUCCUACCCCGGGCAUUCUUGGGCCUCGUCCAGCGAGUCACCAGGCGUUCUCCGUUGCGCCAGCGCCGCCCCCUACCCUGCAUCGCCGGCCACGAGCGGCUACGGCGCAGCCCCCGCGCCUGCCUAGGACGGGUUCUACCCGCCCUAGGUGCCGCCGCCGUGGGAUCCCGCUCUACUCGCCGCCCUGCAUUCGGCGUCACCGAGUAACUAUGGUGGCGGCGGUGACUGCUACAUGGACUCGGGCGCCAGUGCGCACAUGACUGCUCAUCCCGGUAACCUCACAUCUUCCACUCCCGUUCAGACUCCUACUCGCAUCAUUGUUGGUAACGGUUCCUCUCUACCCAUUACACAUGUCAGUCAUAUAUCGUUUUCUUCUACCUCUACUCCUAUUAACAUGUCUAAUGUUCUCGUCUCUCCUGACUUAGUUACCAACCUUGUCUCUGUUCGUCACCUUGCUCGUGAGAACCCUAUUACUGUUGAAUUUGACGAUGUUGGCUUUUCUGUGAAGGACGCCCGUACACGGAUGGUACUCCACCGAUGUGAUAACCCGAAUGAGCUCUACCAGGUGCAUCCUUCUGCCGGCACCACCACCUGUCCCGCCGCCCUUGCUGCUAGUGUCGAUCUCUGGCACGCCCGCCUCAGUCAUCCCAACUCCAUAGUUUUACGUCUGAUUCUUUAGAGUUUUUCAUUCUCAUGUAAUAAGGUCGACGACCACUCUUGUGAGGCCUGCCGUCUCGGCAAGCACGUUCAUCUUUCCUUUAGCGAGUCUACAAACAUUUCCACUUUUCCGUUUCAGUUAUUGCAUAGUGAUGUUUGGACGUCCCGGUUGCAAGCAACAUGGGCUAUCUAUACUAUCUGGUGAUAUUGGAUGAUUUUCCCAUUAUGUGUGGACAUUUCCUCUUCAUCGCAAGUCUGAUGCUUUUGCCACACUCACCGCUUUUUAUUCAUAUGUCACCACACAGUUUGGUCAUCCUAUUCUUGCCUUGCAAACUGACAACGGAAAAGAGUUUGACAACGUUGCCGUCCGCAACCUCCUUGCAUCGCACGACACUUUUUUUGGCUCACUUGCCCCUACGCGUCACAGCAGAAUGGUCGCGCCGAGCGCGUCAUCCGCACUCUUAAUGACUAUGUCCGCACGUUGCUCUUCCACUCCAACGUGCCUCCUCGGUUCUAGCCGAACGCUCUCGCGACCGCCAGCCUUCUCAUUAACAUCCGCCCGUGUCGUCCUCGCUGGAACUAUUCUCCUCACCAUCUCCUCUUCGGUGCGGCUCCAUCCUAUGAUGGUCUUCGCAUUUUCGGGUGUCUCUGUUAUCCUAGCACCGCAUCCACCGCCCCUCACAAACUCGCUCCCCGGUCGGUUCCUUACAUCUUCCUCGGUUAUCCUCCCAACACCAAAGAUUACCGGUGCUAUGAUCCAGUGUCCAACCGCGUCUUCACUUUGCGGCAUGUGUACUUUGAUGAGCUGGUGUUCCCGUUUCAGUAGGUACCGUCCUCCUCGGCGUCUCCCGCGGUGCGGCUCGCCCCUGCCACCACCUAUGCCGAGUCACCCCUCCCACAACACCGAGCACUGGGCCUGGCCCUGCCCGCGCUUCCGGCGCCGGCCGCCCCCUCCCGCGGUGCUUUCAGGUGUGGCCGGCCCCUCGGGCGCCCCCGCCGCCAUGGCCCCUUCGGCCGUCCCCGUCGCCGCGGCCUCUGGCGCCGCCGUGGGUGGCCCCUUGAAGUCUUCAGAUACCGGCUCGACUUCCUCCUCGCCGAUCCCCCUCUCGGCUCCACCGGUUGCAGCCGCACCUCUCACCGGUGUGGUUACCCGGGCUCGGACUGGGAUGUUUCGUCCAAGCACGCGCUACACCUCCGACGAGUAUGCGUAUGUCGCGUCUACCUCGGCCCCGUACCCGUUCCCCACCUCCGCCCGCGCAGCCCUUCGGGAUCCGAACUGGCUUGCUGCGAUGUGUGAGGAGUUCGACGCCCUGCAGCGCAACAACACGUGGCAGCUUGUCCCGCGGCCUCCCCAUGCCAAGUUAUCACUGGCAAGUGGGUUUUCCGCUAUAAGACUCGCCUCGACGGUUCUCUUGAGCGCUACAAGGCGCAUUGGGUGGUGCGCGGCUUCCGCCAGUGCGCCAACGUGGACUUCACCAACACAUUCGCCCCGGUUAUCAAACCGGGCAUGAUUCACGCUGUUCUCCAGCUUGCUGUCUCUCGCGCCUAGCCAGUUCACCAGCUCGAUGUGUCCAAUGCUUUCUUGCAUGGCCAUCUGGACGAGUAGGUGUUUUGUCAGCAGACUACUGGUUUCGUCGACACCGACUAUCCGGACCACGUGUGCUUGCUCUCCCGUUCUCUCUACGGGUUGAAGCAAGCGCCUCGGGCCUGGUACCAGCGGAUCGUGACCUUCCUUCAGCAGGAGGAGUUCCAGUCCACACGGUCCGAUGCCUUCCUGUUUGUUUAUCACCUGGGUGCCGCCACCAUGUACCUUCUCCUGUAUGUCAACGACAUCAUCCUGACUGCAUCCUCGCCAACGCUACUUCAGCAGAUCACAGCUCGCCUCGGCACCGAGUUCGCCCUCAAGGACUUGGGGGCUCUCCACUACUUCCUCGGCAUCGAGGUUGUCCGCCGUGCCGCUGGCUUCUUCCUGCAUCUGCGGAAGUAUGCUUACGAGCUUCUGGAGCGAGCCGGCAUGCUUAACUGUAAGCCUGCUACCACGCCUAUCGAUACGAAGGCCAAGGUGUCUGUCGUCGAGGGAUCUCCGGCAUCCGACGCUCCCUUCUACCGCUCCAUCGUCGGUGCUCUUUAGUACCUCACGCUGACGCAUUCGGAUAUUCAGUAUGCUGCCCAGCAGGUGUGCCUUCACAUGCAUGCUCCUCGUGACACUCAUUGGGCUCUGGUGAAGCAUAUUCUUUGGUAUAUACGUGGCACCACGACUAUGGGUCUCACCCUGACGGCAUCACCUGACACCAGCCUCGUCGCCUACUCCGACGCUGACUAGGCUAGGUGUCCUGACACUUGUCACUCCACUUCCGGCUACUGCGUCUACUGAGGGAGUCCUUGAUUAAGGGGUCCUCGGGCGUCCGGGCUAUGUGACGUGGGCCGGACUGAUGGGCCAUGAAGAUACAAGACAGAAGACUUCCUCCCGUGUCCGGAUGGGACUCUCCUUUGCGUAGAAGGUAAGCUUAGCGUUCAGAUAUGAAUAUUCCUUCCUUUAUAAACCGACUCUGUACAACCCUAGGCCCCUCCGAUCUCUAUAUAAACCGGAGGGUUUAGUCCGUAGAGGCAAUCACAAUCAUACAGGCUAGACAUCUAGGGUUUAGCCAUUAUGAUCUCGUGGUAGAUCAACUCUUGUAAUCCUCAUAUUCAUCAAGAUCAAUCAAGCGAGAAGUAGGGUAUUACCUCCAUCGAGAGGGCCCAAACCUGGGUAAACAUCGUCUCCUCCGUCUCCUGUUACCAUCGACCUUAGACGCACAGUUCGGGACCCCCUACCCGAGAUCCGCCGGUUUUGACACCGACAUUGGUGCUUUCAUUGAGAGCUCCAUUGUGUCUUCAUCAGAAGGUCCGAUGGCUCCAUCAGCCAUCUACAGCAAUGCCGACCUGGGGGAGGUUCUUCUCCCCGGCCAGAUCUUCAUAUUCGGCAGUUUCGCACUGUGGGCCAACUCGCUUGGCCAUCUAGAGCAGAUCGACAGCUACGCCCCAGGUCACCAGAUUAGUUUUGGGAAUCUGGACUAUGUCGCCGAUAUCCGAGAAGACUUGAUCUUUCAAGAGUUCACGACCCCAACCUCCGCUCUGGACUUAGAGCCGGAGCGCAUCGCCAGGUCCGAAGACGGGAUUCCUGAGCCCGUCGGACUAUCUGUGGUCACUAAGCCCAGUACGGGAGAGCCGGAGGAAGUAGUGUCGCUGGCAACCAUCAUGAAGCCGGACUCUUCUCUAGACACUGGCUCCAAACCCUCUGAUUCAGCAUCGUGUGAGCUUGGCCAAGGAUUCCCCUUCCCGCCAUACUCCACGGACUCUCUUCUCCCUUGCCAAACCUUGCCUUUAAGCGAGGCUCUGGACUUGAUGCGAUCCCUCGUCAUUAUAGAGGAGCAACGUUCAAACUACGCCCAGCCCGGACUAGGGACUGAGAGCGGGGAAUUUUACAUCCCACCCACCACCCACUUCAUAGCCACUGUCGAAGACUUAACUGACAUGCUCGACUAUGGCUCAGAAGACAUCGACGGCAUGGACAAUGAUGCCGGAGAGGAGCAGGCCCAAAACCCGCCGUUUACCGGACGCUGGACGGCCACCUCUUCGAAUGAUGUGUACAUGGUGGAUACACCCAAAGAGGGUAACGGCGAUAACAAGAAGAAUGCAGUCGAGGAUAAACCUCCUGAGAUACAACCAAAGCACCGAUGUCAGCGACGCUGCUCUAAAUCCCGCCGUGGAAAAGACAGCAGUACCGGCACGAGAUACAACAAUACUUCGGACGAUGCCGAAGACCAAGAAGACCCUGUCGAGCGAACUUCCGAAUAGGACAAUCAGGAAGAUGGGCAAGUUAGCCCUGAUGAGCAGGCCAUAAACGAAGACUCGGAGGACAGUAAUUACCUUCCACUCUCCGAGGAUGAGGUGAGCUUUGGCGACGAAGACUUUAUCUUGCCUGAGGAACCCCUCGAGCAGGAGCGCUUUAAGCGCCGGCUAAUAGCCACUGCAAGGAGCCUGAAAAAGAAGCAGCAACAGCUUCAAGCUGAUCAAGAUCUACUCCACGACCUGGCAGCCGAGGAAUACGGCCUCGAGCGCCCAACCAAAGUUACCCGAAGCGUAAACUUCUACCUCAAUUUGACGACGAGGCACUGGACCCCGUACCAUCAGCGCGUAACGCGAUUGAUCGACCACCACGUGGCCGGGACAAAACGGCAACUCAAGCCGAACACCAGCCCAUACCACCUUGCCGUAAAGGUACAGACACAACAACUCGGGAAUAUACAUAUGACCUGCAGCAGGACCUGGAAAAUAGAGCAGGUCAGACCAAAUCGAUCUACGGGUCACAGGGGCGUGCUCCGACGUGCGACGACGGCUAUCUAACUGGACGUGACAAGCAUAACCACGUCCGGGCCAAAAACCACAGACGGACUCCAUCCGAGCUACGACGCGACUUGGCCCGAUAUAGAGGUUCCGCACACCGCCUCUGCUUCACUGAUGCAGUAAUGGAGCACGAAUUCCCAAAAGGGUUUAAACCCAUGAAUAUUGAAUCGUAUGAUGGAACAAUGGAUCUCGUGGUAUGGAUUGAGGACUUUCUUCUCCAUAUUCAUAUGGCUCGCGGCGAGGAUCUUUAUGCCAUCAAAUACCUCCCGCUAAAACUCAAGGGACCAGCUCGGCCCUGGUAAAAUAGACUGCCAGAAAACUCUAUUGGUAGGUGGGAGGACUUGGAAGACGCCUUCCGUGACAACUUCCAAGGUACAUACGUCCGACCUCCGGAUGCCGAUGACUUAAGUCACAUAGUUCAACAGCCCGGAGAGUCAGCCAGGAAAUUCUGGACCAGGUUCCUAACUAAAAAGAACUAGAUCGUCGACUAUCCGGAUGCCGAAGCCCUAGCAGCCUUUAAGCAUAGCAUCCGCGACGAAUGGCUCGCCCGACACCUCGGCCAAGAAAAGCCGAAGUCCAUGGCAGCCCUCACAACACUUAUGACUCACUUUUGUGCGGGCGAAGAUAGCUGGCUAGCCAGUAGCAAUAAUAAUGCAAGUGAACCUGGCACCUCUGAAGCCAUAAAUAGCAAUGGCAAGCCCCGACGCAACAGGCACAAGCGUCGAAGCAACGGUGACAAUACCGAUGACACAGCGGUCAACGCCGGAUUCAGGGCUCCAAGUCCGGCCAGCGGAAGAAGCCAUUUAAAAGAAACAGUCCGGGCUCAUCCAGCUUGGACCACAUACUCGAUCGUCCAUGUCAGAUCCACGGCACCCCAGAUAAACCAGCCAAUCAUACCAACAGAAGUUGUUGGGUCUUUAAACAGGCCAGCAAGUUAAAUACCGAGAACAAGGAGAAGGGGUCGCAAAGUGAGGACGACGAUGAGGAACCUCGUCCACCGAACACAGGGGGUCAGAAGAAGUCCCCCCCCCCCCAGGUUAAAACGGUGAACAUGAUAUACGUUACCCAUAUACCCAAAAGGGAGCGCAAACGCGCGCUCAGGGAUGUCUACACGAUAGAGCCAGUCGCCCCAAAAUUCAACCCAUGGUCGUCCUGCCCGAUCACCUUCGAUCGUAGGGACCAUCCGACUAGUAUCCAUCAUGGCGGUUCAGCCGCACUGGUCCUCGACCCAAUCAUUGAUGGAUUCCACCUCAUGGACGGUGGCAGCAGUCUCAACCUGCUCUAUCAGGAUACAGUCCGCAAGAUGGGCAUCGAUCCAUCAAGGAUCAAGCCCACAAAAACUACCUUUAAAGGAGUAAUACCAGGUGUAGAGGCCCGCUGCACGGGAUCACUCACAUUGGAAGUCAUUUUCGGAUCUCCGGACAACUUCCGAAGCGAGGACUUGAUCUUCAAUAUCGUGCCCUUUUGCAGUGGCUAUCACGCACUGCUCGGACGAACUUCAUUUGCUCGAUGCAAUGCGGUGCCACACUAUGCCUAUCUCAAACUCAAGAUGCUUAGACCACACGGUGUCAUAACAGUCCAUGGAAACGUAGAAGCUCCCUCCGUACCGAGGAGCACACCGCGGCCCUGGCAGCGGAAGUACAGAGCGGCCUUAUCAAGUAGAACAUUAAUUCAGCGGCCAAGCUCCCGGACACUGUUAAACGAGUCCGGACUACUCCGUAGCAUGAUAGUCUAGCUCUUCAGGAGUUUGACUAGCAAUUCGGCCUCCGUCUCAGUCCCGACCAAAUGGCGGCAUACGUACCGCGCGUACAUAACUACACACUCAAAAUACCAUGGGCAAAUACGGAGGCGUAACUCGAUUGUGCUCCAUAAUAUGGCUCGACCUUCCCUGGGCACACAUAUUUUUCCUUCUCUUUUUAUCAUUUUCAGGUUUCUUUUCCGCAGGCCCCUCACGACGACCUGGUCAUCGAUCCUUUCGAAGGAUGGAUAUACCAAGGCGACAAGUAGCAUAGACGUGUGGGGGAAUCUCUAGGUGGUCUUCUUGACGAUCACUCUACCUGCUUUCAGGACCCGCAUGCAGCUCCCUCUACAUGUUAAACAACCCUGUUGCUUAUCGCACUAUUUGUACAAAUACGCUUUAACGUAUUAAUCAAAUUAUAAUGAAAAUAGUUUGCGGCCCAACUUAUGUGUCACUGACUUACUACUUCAUUUUAUUUCGCUAUUUUUAUCAAUUGCACCCGUACACUUUGGUACGCUUUAAUUCGCGAGGGGCUUCAUUGCGCUCCAUACUACGGCAACAAAGUCUAAACACUUUUUGUAGUAUAGUUCGGCACUCCGAAUUUAGCAUUAUAUGCAUCGGCUCCGAAUCAUGUCUUUGGUCAAUAGUUGGGUUGCCCGACUCCUGUGCUUGCUACCUUACGUUCCGUUCUAUCGGCUAGGGUAGUAAAGGGAGAACUACUGCGAUUGUGUUUCUGGUUUAUCCGGGUAAACACCUCAGUAGAGAAAGCCGAAAACUAACUGUCAUGAUGCAGUGAGAGCUGGUCAGCUAUUCGGAGGUUUAAAUCUCUUGCGAUUUUUUGUCCCGCAUUAUGCAAUGGAUCGGCCUCCACCCGAUCAGGCGUCUACAACACCCUAGUCCGGAUUAACAAAUAUUAACUAGAGGUUGCGCCUACAUUUCUAUUGUCAAACUCCUAUGGCUAAGUGAGGGUGAUAAAGCCACAUAGUCUGAUUGCCUAGUUCGCUGCGCUAAACACCUCCUUCAAGGACCAAACUCUUGGAUCAAGAGUGUUUAGGUUUCAACCCGAAUGGCCCCGUACUACCUACAUGGGGGCUGAAGCCGAUGACUGGCCAACUCUCAGAUUUAAUAAAACGGCCGCACAGGAGGCAAAAUUUUCAAUAAACAACAAGCAUUAUAUUACAUAUCGGCUUUGUUUCAUAAUACAGGACGGGAUAACAUGAAUGUUUUCAUUCAAAGAUAAUGUCUUUUGCACACUGGCCCUCUAUAAUGCGGGAUCCCUUCAGGACAUCAUCAAAAUACCGCUCGGGCGUGCGGUGCUCCUUGCCUGCGGGCGGUCCCUCGAUCGCGAGCUUGACGACGUCCAUCUUCGCCCACUGCACCUUGACACGGGUGAAGGCCAUCCGCGCACCUUCGAUACAGACCGACCGCUUGGUGGCAUCAAGCCGAGGGCAGGCAUCGACCAGCCGCUUCACGAGCCCUAAGUAACUGUUGGGUAUGGCUUCGGCAGGCCAUAGACGGAUUAGCAAAUCCUUCAUGGCCAAUUUAGCCACCGUAUGCAGUUCGGUAAGCUAUUUCAGUUGAUCGCUAAAGGGCACCGGAUGCUCUGGCGCAAGGUAUUGCGACCAGAACAGCUUCUCCGUUGAGCUCCCCUCUUCAGUCGGAAGAACUCCGCAGCAUCAGCAACACUGCACGGCAGAUUCGCAAACACUCUUGGAGAACUCCAAAUCCGGGUCAGUAAGAGGUACCUUUUCUUCACAAAUUUGCUCUGCAUAAUAAAGGCCUUACCCGCUGCAAUUUUCCUGGCCUCCUGGAUUUCCUGGAGGGCGCCCUGGGCUUCAACUCGGGCUUCUUGUGCACUUUGGCGAGCCUUAGCAAGUUCGGACUCUUGGUCCGCCUUCUUGCGCUCCAAGGACUCACAUUUCUUCAUGGUGUCCUGGAGCUCCUGCUGGACCUCCCCGACCCUGGCCUCGUGUUUUUCGCGGGCGGCUUGUUCCUUUGCCGCUCUCUUCUGGGCCUCGGCUAGCUUGAGGGUCUCCACCUCGGUCGCAACUCCUAUGACAUAUCAUGAUACCAUGAUCAACACAAACAAUUCAUAUCUUUUUAGAUCUGAAUAGGCCAUUGCAUACCUUGCUUGUCCUCUAGUUGUUUUUUCACAUGGCCGAGCUCUUCCUCGGCCCGCUCCAGACUCUGCUUCAGUUUGGAGACUUUGCCAGAAUGGGAGGUCGCAGCCAGCAUCGACGCCUGCUUAUUCACAAAGACAUGUAUGGUUAGUCUCCUGCGAAAAUUAUUUGAUCCUCUGUCUGGCUUCUCUUUUCGAGCACGAGACAGUGUCUCAGGGGAUACUAUCUAUACUAUGACAUUCUUUUACAUAAUAACGUCACAUACCUCAAAGCCUGUUAGAAGGCUGGUGCAGGCUUCGGUCAGCCCGCUCUUAGCGGACUGAACCCUCUCAACCAGCGUACCCAUAAGGAUACGGUGUUCCUCCAUAAUGGAAGCACUUUGCAGCGCUUCCAGUAAAGUAUCUGGUGCCUCUGGAUGGACAGAGGUCACCGGCAGAAUAGGUGCACCUCCUUCUUUUCGAAGGAGGCUUCUUGCCUGAUUCCGGAGCCGUAUGGGCCUCCGGAAUAGUAUUCGGCUGGGGGCCGAAUUGGAUAUGGCCCCCAUCACCAGUCUCCGAGGGGGAUUUGCUCCCCCAUGUGUCAGGCGGCCGAGGUAUCACCCUCUGGCGCCACCUUGACGGCCUCUUGUAUCUCUCCCAGCCUGGGGAGGUCCUUCGGGACAACACCUCGGCAUCAUCCAUGGCCUUGGGAGAGGAGGCCACCGGAAGUGACCCGCUGUCCAUCACAUUUGGAUCCAGCGAAUUCCCAAAGAUGAGGAUUGCUGUGGGCGGGCGUGGGCCAGACUGCAGUUCAUGAUUUGAGAUAUUAAAACCACGAAGUAAAAAAGUUGGAUAUAUGUUUGUAUAAGUGCCUUUAAGUACUUACAAUUAGGCCAUGGGCUUCUCCCUGGGGCGCCACUCGGAGCUGCUAUCAGUGCCCAACGUGGAGUUGUCCGUGAGGGAGACCUUCCCCUUCUUGGACGCCUCUCCCUCCAGAUCCAUGGAGGCUGCCCUUUUCUUCCUUCCCCCCUCGGGGGGAGAGUUGCUUUCCUCCUCCUCCUCCUCGUCCUUGGCGGUGAAGGAGGAGUGGGUUUUGGCGUCUUCGGACGUCAUGUCCGAAGUGCCUUUACGGCGGUGUCCACUUCUGCUCUCCUUGGCCUUCUUCUUGGCCUUCUUCUCCGACGCCUGGUAGGGCACCGCAACCAGCAUCUUCGUCAAAAGUGGGAUUGCUGGGUUUUCGGGCAGCGGAGCCGGACACUGGAUCCACUCUGCCUUCUUUGUCCAGCCCUGAAAAGACAGAUAGGGAAGCUCAGUCAUCUUCCUUGAAUGUGCAGGUGAAGGAUAUGCCUCGAAAUAUGAAAAACUUACCGAACUGGCGGGAUGGGUUAGGUUGUACCCACGAUCCUCGGUCGUCUGCGGCCACGUCUCAUUGACCUUAAAAAGCACCUUCCAGAUGCCUUCGUGCGUGGAGCCGAAGAACUGCUGCAAGGUCUGGUGCUUGGCUGGAUCAAACUCCCACAAAUUGCAAGUCCGGCUUUGGCAAGGAAGGAUCCGGCGAAAAAACAUCACCUGGAUCACAUUGACAAGCUUGAUGUCCUUGUCCACCAUGCUCUUGAUGCGCAUCUGCAGCGUUGACACCUCGUUCGACGACGCCCAGUCUAGGCCCUUUUCUAGCCAGGAGGUAAGCCGCAUUGGGGCCCCGGACUUGAAUUCGAGAGACGCAACCCAGGUGGUGUCGCGGGGCUCUGUGACGUAGAAUCACUGCUGCUGCCACCCUUUGACAGUCUCCACAAAGGUGCCUUUGGGCCACGUGACGUUGGACAGCUUGCUCACCAUAGCGGCUCCGCACUCUAUGUGUUGAUGACCCACCACCUUCAGUUUCACAUUGAAGGUCUUCAGCCACAAUCCGAAGUGGGGUGGGAUGCGGAGGAAGGCCUCGCACACGACAAUGAAUGCUGAGAUGUUGAGGAAGGAGUUUGGGGCUAGAUCAUGGAAAUCUAGCCCGUAGUAGAACAUGAGUCUGUGGACGAAUGGGUGGAGAGGAAAUCCCUACCCGCGGACGAAGUGGGGGAUGAAUACCACCCUCUCAUGGGGCUUCAGGGUGGGGACGAUCUGCCCCUUGGCCGGAAGCCGGUGGGUGAUUUCCUGGGCCAAGUACCCCGCCUCCCGGAGCUUCAUGAUGUCCUUCUCCGUGAUGGAGGAGGCCAUCCACUUGCCCUGCGCUCCAGAUCCGAACAUGGUCGGAGUGUUUUUUUUAGACGGAAAUGAUGGAAGCUUGAGUGCUGGAGCUCAAGAAUGGGUGGGCAGAGAGAAAGAAGGUGUGGGUGAAAAAGUGAAUCCUUAUCUCCUUAUAAAGGCAGCGAAUAUCAAGCGCUUCCCCAUUCGCCUUAAAACUCACCUAUUCCCCAAGGGUCGUGUAGACGGCGCGGCUGGAUUACCCACGCCCGUAUUGAUGAGAAUCCCGCAAUAAGGGGACACGAUCUCUGCUUCGACAAGACGUGCCAAUGGAAACCGCAUCUCAAAACACGGAGCAGGAGGCUAAAAAAUGGUUCGAAAUAAUGACCGGGCGAAGACGUGGCGUCUCACUACAGAAGAUGUCAGUAGAUGGGACUUGUUAAAUAUUAUACUCAUUGCGGGGCUUAUUUUUGCAGAGCCGGACACGUUAUCUGUGUUCGAAGACUACUUUUAAAUAUUCGGAGGAGGAACCCGCUGUAGGACCUUGAAGUAUGUCUAGAGGGGGGGUGAUUAGACUACUUGACCAAUAAAAACUUAACCUUUUCGCAAUUUUAGAGUUUGGCAGAUUUUAGCUACUUUAGGACAAGUCAAGCAAUCAUCACACAAUCCAAGCAAGCAUGCAAAAAGUAUAUAGGCAGCGGAAAUUAAAGCAUGCAACUUGCAAGAAAGUAAAGGGAAGGGUUAGGAGGAUUCAAACGCAAUUGGCGACACGGAUGUUUUUGGCGUGGUUCCGAUAGGUGGUGCUAUCGUACAUCCACGUUGAUGGAGACUUCAACCCACGAAGGGUAAUGGCUGCGUGAGUCCACGGAGGGCUCCACCCACGAAGGGUCCACAAAGAAGCAACCUUGUCUAUCCCACCAUGGCCGUCGCCCACGAAGGACUUGCCUCACUAGUGGUAGAUCUUCACGAAGUAGGCGAUCUCCUUGCCAUUACAAACUCCUUGGUUCAACUCCACAAUCUUGUCGGAGGCUCCCAAAUGACACCUAGCCAAUCUAGGAGACACCACUCUCCAAGAAGUAACAAAUGGUGCGUUGAUGAUGAACUCAUUGCUCUUGUGCUUCAAAUGAUAGUCUCCCCAACACUCAACUCUCUCUCAAUGGGUUUGGAUCUGGUGGAAAGAAGAUUUGAGUGGAAAGCAACUUGGGGAAGGCUAGAGAUCAAGAUUCAUAUGGUAGGAAUGGAAUAUCUUGGCCUCAACACAUGAGUAGGUGGUUCUCUUUGCAAUGCCGAAGACAAUCUGCGCGCCGGACACAUCGUCAUUGAAGCCUGGUUCAGGGGCUACUGAGGGAGUCCUCGAUUAAGGGGUCCUCGGGCGUCCGGGCUAUGUGAUGUGGGCCGGAUUGAUGAGCCAUGAAGAUACAAGACAGAAGACCUCCUCCCGUGUCUGGAUGGAACUCUCCUUUGCGUAGAAGGCAAGCUUGGCAUUCAGAUAUGAAGAUUCCUUCCUUUGUAAACCGACUCUGUACAACCCUAGGCCCAUUCGGUGCCUGUACAAACCGAAGGGUUUAGUCCGUAGAGGCAAUCACAAUCAUACAUGCUAGACAUCUAGGGUUUAGUUAUUACGAUCUCGUGGUAGAUCAACUCUUGUAAUCCUCAUAUUCAUCAAGAUCAAUCAAGCAGGAAGUAGGGUAUUACCUCCAUCGAGAGGGCCCGAACCUGGGUAAACAUCGUGUCCCCCGUCUCCUGUUACCAUCGACCUUAGACGCACAGCUCGGGACCCCCUACCCGAGAUCCGCCGGUUUUGACACCGACAUCUACCUCGGGCCCUCUCUGAUUUUGUGGGUCUCACGAUCGAGCGCCGAGGCCGAGUACAGGGCAGUGGCCAACGCCGCCGCGGAGUGUUCCUGGCUACGACAGCUACUUCAGGAGUUGCUAUGUGAGGUUCCCAAGGCCACACUUGUCUACCGUGACAACGUCUCCGCGGUCUACGUCGCUGCCAACCCUGUCCAUCACCGACGGACGAAGCAUAUUGAGCUCGACAUUCACUUCGCCAAGGAGCACGUCGCACUUGGUCGUGUUCGAGUUCUGCAUGUGCCCACCUAUCAGCAGUUCGCCGUCGUUAUGACGAAGGGACUACCUACCUCGACUUUCGAGGGCUUUCGAUCCAGUCUUUGCGUCACCAACGACGCUUCGACUGCUGGGGGGUGUUGAGCAUGUGUACAUGUAUAUAGGUCCGGGUUUUGUAGGCCGCACCUGUAGUGUCUCUCUCCCUCUGUAUGUUCCUGUAUGUUGAGAGACAAGACAUCGGUGGCACCCCUUGUACCUAUAUAUAUGUGUCUAGUGCAUGAUCAAUCAAUUAUCGAUGAACCAAAUCAUUCUCUACACCAAAACUGUAGCCAUUUCCGAAGUUCUUCAGCUGAGCCCUUUACUAGGAUGCUUCGCGAGACAGAAGAAAAUAAAACACCGGCGCACAACGGUUAACACCACACGGUUUAGCAAGUGCCAUCGUGCGUUGCCGGUCGUCCGCACGAAUGAUAUGGCGCAGCCCACAGGUUCAGCCACUGGAUCGGCUAAUGCCAUUUGGGAAUAGUAUAUCACGGCAACAAAGCACACUUGCUUUAAAUUUAAGGUAAAGCUGCCGGCCUGCCGGGCACUUGAUACUACUACCGGGCAAACAAUUGCGUAACUGGUCGACUGAUUGAAGGCAGAGUACUUUGUGUAAUUAAAUACGAAGAUCUGGAGAUCGUUGCGUAUCAUGGUGGGUGGUAAUGGUUCGUCAGUUCGUAGUAUAUAAUGUAACGCAAGCGACAAGCGAGGAGUUCCUUUCACAUAGACAUAGUCCACCCACCCCAACCCAACCGAACACAAUCAACUUGUGAAGGUUGGUACAGAUCCUGCGUAGCAGCUAUAAUGUUUUUGAUUCAUAGGUGCAUCAUACUGUUAGGGUAAAUAACACAGAAGCAUGCUAGUAUAGUUUGUUGAGGAGAAGACAGCAUGGAGCGCCAUAAUGUUCAGAUCCAGAUUUAAUCGGUUUUCAGAUACAGAUUUAAUCAGUGUUCAGAUCCAGAUUUAACACAGAAACAAUGCUAGUACAAGUACCACAGAUCUGGGACAUGCGGGGAAUCAUAUUGAAACAUCUGCGCCUCUAAAACAAGCAGACCGACGAGCGUCGCGGUGGCCGGAGAAGAAGGGAAUGGAUCAACCCUAAAACAAGAUCUCAUUUCCGACUUCUCUCAUCUAAGCUCUAACACAGAAAGGACUGGGUGAUGCCCAGAUCGAAAGAGGGAACAACUAGGUACACGCACGGGCACAGCAGCAUGUCUGGUUGUGUCGGCGAGUUGGCUGGCGGCCUAGGUGGAGCGGGCGAGGCGGGAGGCGAUGGCGGAGUGGUACAUGGCGUCGUGGAAGCUCUCCGUCUCCACCAUCCGCGCCCGCAGCUGCCGCGCCUUCUCCUCCGUCAGGCCGCCCACGAACGACCUCCCCGCCUUCUCCUCCUCCUCCUCCACCACCGCCAUCGCCGGCGCCGGUGCCGCGGCCUCGAUGUAGUCCGCCCGCCCGGACCAGCCGAGCAGCGGCGCCCACCACUUGCCUCCCUCGGGGGCUCCCGCCGCGCGGACCCGCCCGGCGCCCACGGAGCUAGAGGCGGAAGCGGCGCGGGGCCCGAAAGUCGUUCCCGUAGAUGGGCGGGGGGAGAAGGAGACGGCGGAUGCUGACGGUGCCAUGGCCAUUAGCUCGGUCGCUUGCUUGGCUCGUAAGAUUCUACUACGGGGUUUCUUUGCUUUCGGUUUGGUGAGAGAUGGUGAGGACUGUUGUAAACUGUGAAUGCUGGUUGAGCUUGCGAGAUGGAGAGCUGGAGAUGGUGGGAAUUUAUAACCAGGGCAAGAGGAUGAAGAGUGGAUAGGAACGGCGCGUGGGCGCGCGGUGUGGGGGUGCGCUUUUCCGUUACGCGUGACGCAUGAUCGCCUGGACUCAUGCAUUUUCCACAUAAUGUACAAUCCACCGCUCCACCUACAAACGCCGCAGUCGGGACUACUCACUCUCUACCCAUCCUACCAGAAGAUCGAGCAUGCUAUCCACUUCGCCCUUCGAUAAGCUCGCCUGCUGCCAAGCCUUGCCUUCCGUGAUGAUGUGCCCAACUACCUGCUGUAGUGAUGGAGCAGCGACGUCGAACACAAUUGCAUUCCUAUGCUUCCACAACUCCCAAAGCCCUAGGGUGAGGAGCGCCCGUAGCUCCUUCGGCUUGCGGACACUCGACGUUCGCGCAACACACCAAUCCUUUAGGUUGUCUUGGGCCGUUGGGGACCACUGCGGCUUCCCCAGGGUCGAGCACAGAGUUCUCCAAACUGUUCUAGCGAACACACAUGUCAGCAGGAUGUGGUCAAUGAUUUCGUCCUCCUGGUCGCAGAACGGGCAAGCAUCUUGAUGCGGGAGACCGCGACGGGCAAGUCUGUCUGAAGUCCAGCAUCUGUUUCGCAUAGCUAGCCAGGUGAAGAAGCGGCACCGGAGAGGAGCCCGAGAUCGCCCGGAAAAGUCCGCCGUCGGCGCCACCUCCCUACCAACGAACCGUGCCGCAUAGGCCGACCGAACCGAAAAUUGGCCGUUCGUUUCCCAGGCCCAAGUAAUGGCGUCGGGGACGUGCUCCCGGAGCUGGAUCCCAUGUAGUCGGGGCCAUUUCACUGUGUCGAACGCUUUGGAUAUGUCCAACUUGAUCAUCAAAGCCGGCUGCUUCAAGGCAUGAAGGUGGCGGGCCGUACACUGCGCAAGCAUAAAGUUGUCGUGAAGGAGCCGUCCCUUGACAAAAGCGCCUUGAUGCCGGCCCACCAAAUGUGGUAGGUCCUCGAAAAGGCGGCACGCCAACACCUUGUCGAAAAUUUUCACCGCACCAUGUACCAAACUCACCGGGCGGUAGUCCUUUAACUCCUCGGCUCCCUCUCUCUUUGGCAACAUAGCCACUAGAGCUUUGUUGAGUGAUGCUAAUCCACGCAUGUCCCCAUGGUAGAAUGCCGUAAGGGCAUUCAUGAAGUCGUCCUUGAUGAUAUUCCAGCACAGCGCAUAGAACCGGGUCGUAAAGCCAUCCGGCCCGGGUGCCUUGUCAAGGGGCAUGGUUUUGAUCACUUUGAAAACUUCAUCAGCCGUGAACGGUUCCUCCAAGUGAUGCAAGUCCAUGGAGGGUAGAUCAAGUUGUGCCAGAUCAAUCGUGAUUUGGCGACCCGUGGUGGAACCAAACAAUGCCCCGUAAUAUGUAUCCACAACUUCCGCAAUCCUCUCUUGGCCCGAGAUAACCCCGUUGUUCUGCCGGAGUGACAUGAUCACAUUCUUCCGUUGUCGGUGCCUGGCAUGGUGAUGAAAGAACUCCGUGUUGGCGUCCACCUCCUUCAGAUGCAACAACCUUGAGCGUUGCCUUGCGAUCGACCGUUGUAAGGAGGAGAUACACAAGAGCUUCCUUUUCAGAAGUUUACGAAGCACAAACUCCUCUUGGCUCAGAUGUCUAGUCUCCAUGGCCACAUCUAGACGUAGGAUCAACUCCAGGGCAAUUGCGAUCUGCAUGCGUAUAUUGCCAAUCCACUUGUCAUUCCACCGUUGGAGGUGCUUAGCGGUGGCCCUCAAUUUAUUGUUCAACACCAUGUAGGGGUUGCCCUCCGAUGAUAUGGAGUGCCAUGCCUCCUGCACCUUUUCUAUGAAGACCGGAGCCUUGGGCCAGAAGGCUUCGAAUUUGAAGCGUUUCCCAUAUUGGAAGUCCGCGUGCAGGUCCACCAAGAGUGGACAGUGGUCCGAGAUCGCCGAGCUCAACGCCAUUAGGAAGCUGGAAGGGUAAAGAUCCUCCCAACAGUUUGUCCCGAACACGUGAUCAAUCCUUUCCAACGUGGCCCUAGACAUCUCGUUGGACCACGUAUAGUGUCUCCCAUUCAAAUAUAUCUCCUUGAGCUCCAACCUAUUCAGUUUGGAUCAAAAACGGCUGAUCAUGCGGCGGUUAACAGAGUCAUUGUUCUUAUCCUCUGGAUUGACUAGGAGAUUGAAAUCACCAACACUACAAAAAAAAUAUACUUCCGUGAUGAUACAUGUUUGUCACAGUAGGUCGUGUUUUUUGUCAUGCAUGUACAUCCAUGACAAAUUUAUGACAGCAUCAAGAUAGUCAUACCUGUGCUGUCGUAGAAGUGUUCCAUGACAUUACCAACAUUAUCAUCACGGAAGUGUCCACUUCCAUGACAAUAAAUCGCGCGUCACAGAAGUGCUUUCGUCAAGGGUGACUGACACAUGGCAUCCACCAUAAUGGAACGCCGUUAAGCUAUCGGGUCGGAUUUUAGAUCUGAUAACCCGUUAACAGCCACGACCAACGCCGAUUUUCCACGUGUAAAAUUCUCAUUGGCUGACGGAUCCACGUGUCAGCUCCACGUUGGCACAGGUGUCACUCAUCCAAUGGUUGAGAUGGGCCUAUGAUAUGUUAACACGUGGACCGACACAAAAGUGGCCCACAAAGUUUAAGUGGGUCGGCCCAACUGAAGGCCCAUAAGAUUUAGCGGACUAUAAUGGGCCGGCCCAGCUAAAUGCCCACAAAAUUUAGCGGACCAUAAUGGGCUGGCCCAGCUAAAGGCCCACAAGAUUUUGCGGACCACAAUGGGCCGGCCCAGCUAAAGGCCCACAAGAUUCUGCAGACCAUAAUGGGCCGGCCCAGCUAAAGGCCCAACAUUCUCUGUCAAAUCGGCCCGUCAACGGCCUGUUCUAAACUUGUCAUCAAUGUGGUUCAUGGUCACUUCUAGCCCGUUAACAGUCCGCUAAGUAAUUGGACCGAAUUAUGGCCCGGUGUAUUUCCGGCCUGUUAAAGGUCCGGCUUCAUUUGGGCCCAUUUACAGGCCAUCAAAACUUUUGGCCCAUAAACGGCCGUGAAGGAUUUGGGUCAUAUUCGGCCAUGUCUGUCAUUCGGCCUGUUAGAGGCCCACUAUAGAUUUGGGCCACUUGCGGCCUGUUGUCAUUUUCGGCCUGUUAAUGCCGGACGUAAACCAUGGGCCAUAUGUGGCCCAACGUCAUAUCGGGCCCAUUAACGACCCAUAUAAAAAUGACGAUAAUCUAGCCCGACCGAAGUUCCGGCCUAUUAAAGACCCGUGUAUUAGGUCAGCGCAUUUACGGCCCGUCCGAAUUUCGGCCUGUCGAAUAUCCGCAUAGUAAAUGGGCCACCAUUUCGGCCUGCUAAGUCCAGUGGGUUAUUUGGCACAAUCAGGGCCCAAUCUCACUUUCGAUCUAUUAAAGGCCCAUGUUUUUAUGGGCUCAAGAUAUUUACACCUGUAAACGACCUAUUUUUACUAAGAGCCCAAAUUAUGUUUAGGCCUGUUAAAGGCCCACUAUGGGCACAUGCCUACUAGAAAAAUUUGAAAGCUUAUGCUAAUUUAAGCCCAGAUAUUUUUAGUGUGCUACAUGCCAAUUUCGACCCGUAAUCGUUUUUAGCCCAAUUGGAAUGGGCCCGACGAUUGUUGGCAUGUUGGGCUCCUACGAAGCUUUCGUCCGAAUACAUUACUAAGAUAAACCUACACUAUACAAAAAUAGCGUCAUAAUUACUGCAGCCUAUGGCAGCAUCAUAAAUGUUGUAUCACAACAAAGUAAAUUCCAAUCAUACAACAAAAGGCCUGUUGGCAUAAAGUUUACAGUCCUUCCAGAUAAAAGCACCAUCAGAUGUAUAGAAGCACAGAUCAUUUGACCUGAGUGCUAAUGUUUCAAGCUGUAGAAUCUGAUGGAGCAGCACGAUCUCCACCUUUUUUUCCGCCAUUGCUCUUCAACAACGAAGCGAGUGUCUGAUAGUCUGGUUUCAAAGCCAUUCAUAUCUUGACGACAUUUCUCAACCACUAUUCUUGUUUCCGAAACAACGUUCAUUAGGGAUUGGACUUGUGUGUGGAGCACAGAUAUAUCACUCUGUCUAGCAGGAAGAUUUUGUUCAGUAGGCGAUUUGGACGAGGUUACCAUGACAACCAACCCGGAAUUACGCAGGAAGGUGCUUUUUGCACUGUUAGUGGAGAGAUACUGACGCACUGCAGCAAGAGGUGACAUUGUGCCUGUAGUAGCCUCGUCACCUUCAGGUGGUUGUGGCUGUUCAAUCAUUUGUUCCAUAGCUUUCUGAAAGUUUGAACUUGUAGAUUAGUGUACCAGUGAGUUACUAAUGAGAUAAAAACAAACAAAGUAGGUUAAACGUUUAUACACAACUUAUUUUGAUGAACUACUGUAAUACAUUAGCAUGUAUUGUAGUGCCAACUACAUAAUAAAAUCACUUUCGGAACAUAUGUCCAUGUAGCAUGCCUACUGUAUUGUAUAUUUCCUCACAUUCGUUGACAUCUAAGGAUAAAGAGACAUGGUUUAAAGUAGGAUGAACAUAGUAUGACAUCAUUCAUAUCAUGGGCAAACAGAUAUAAAACAAACAGGCUAUUUUAUCAUUGCGUGUGCACGUGAACAUAACAACUAUAUUACAGAUCAAGACCAAAAGAAUAUCCUUCAUCUCUUUUAAACCAUGUAAGGUGAAAUGAUACGUUAAGACAACUGUGUAUAAAAAUGAACAGAGUAACUGACAUUGGCUGCAAACCAAGUAGUUAAAUGAACACAUCACAGUACCAAUCAGUUCAAGGCAGGAGGAGUAAGAACUUACAACAACGGCUUGAACUGGUGUGCUCAUGCCCUUCAUCUUGCUGGUGUGGCAAUCCUUGAAGAUUUGCACUGCAUUCGGUUCAGGUCCUUUUUGGUCCGCACGGGCUUUCCUUUGUAUUUGGAACAAGUCAAUAUAGAUACGAUAAUAUGGCACAAAAAAGAAGGAAGUAGCAGCUAUUUAUAAGAGCCUCGCAGUGUGCAAUAUAACUACGAGAUCAUGUUGUCUGUUGGAAUUUCACUUUAGAACGGUUGGUUUUGUUCUUCAAACAGUUAGCCUAGAAGAAGAUACACUAGUAAGGCACAUACAUAAAUACAAGUUCAAUAUGUGGUCUGAUCAAAUACAUAUAGCCUACCCGAUACUUUGGAUCACACCAGUGUUUAACGAGGGCUGUCCAGUCUUCAUCUAUAAUAUAUUCCAUUGGAGAUGUUUGGGCGAUUUCAUUGUUAUCCUUGCCUUCAAAGUGAGAUUUUCUAAGGUGGUACCGAUACUGUCGCAGAGCAGACUGAAAAACAUGAGUGCAUGCUUGUUUAGAUGCAUCAUCUUUCGGAUCCAACUUGAACCUCAUCUGUUGAAAAAAGAAUGUGAGUCUUAUUAGGAGGAAGCUAGAAAGUAUGGGACAGAGCAAGACAAUAUUACUAAUUGCGAUGAAUAACAUUACUUACGGAUAAAUGGUCAAGGAAGGUGUUAAACUGGGUAUUUUCUUUCUUAUUCCUGUAUUGGAUCCACGUUGGGAGGAUACGCGCAUGACACCUAACGGCAACGGCUGCCUAUGAUACUAACUUGGCUGACUCUGUAGCAUCACGUGGCCUUUUUAAACCUACCUCAAAAUGGAUCUCCAUUCUUCCUCCUUUAGAUUUUGUUAAUCUGUCAAGCAUUAUCCCUGAUGUCUAUUUCCGCUUGCACCGUGGUGCUAGUUCAACAACGAAUAUGGAAAGUGUUAGUGUACAUCAAACUGUGAGAGUACAUAUAAAGGAGCAUGCAACUGCAACUUGACUCGGUCAGGUACCGUCUUGGUGUUGAUGCUCAUGAGGUUCAUCUGAUCUUGCCAAGUCCUGUUGUGUCAGCCGUGCUUCGGAAGUAGUGUUAGGUGUGAAGGCAGCUUGGGAACUGGCCAGUUCCGGAGCAAACGAACGAGUAACUGGUUGAGAUGCUGGUACAGUUGAAGCGGAUGCUGCAGCUGGUGGAGCAGGUGAUACUGUGUUUGUAGAUUUAGCCGGUGGACUUGGAACUUCUACUGCACUAUAAGUACCAGCAGAAUCUCGAUGGCAGAACCUUUUUCGUUUCACCCGACGAGUAACAGCACUCCCUACUAUAUUAUUUUCCUUGCUCUUUUUUGACUUUGCCAUGUCAAGCUGUACCCACAACAUAAAAGAAUAAAAUCACUCUUCAGAACUCAUUGAUGCAUGAUACAGACAAGCAAUACUUUGAUGUAAUACAACCGUAUGAGGAUGGAAUAUGUAAGAAAAACAAGAUGGCAUGACAUAUUCAUAGCUACGAUGUGCAAACUAAGCAGAAGGAUUCUCAAGAAAAUAGAAGUAAUGCAAGCUAGACACCAUAUGAAAGAUGCAACCAAUAUUACUCUGCCAAGUUAAAAGUGUCUUGUCAUAAGUGGCAACUCGAAAAAUUAGAAGCAGUACAACAUAGAAAUCAAUGCAAGAUGCAACCACUAUCAAACUGCCAUGUUAAAAGCGUCCAAUCAUGAGUUACUGAUGCGGGAUACACAACAAUAGUACUUUGAUGUAAGAACAUGGUAUGAUAGAUAGAUGCAGUGUAUUCUAGACACAGAAAACCAUGUCAUAUGCACAUGUAUAACAUAUAAGCUCAGCAGGUGCAAUUUAAUCAAAAUAGAAGAAAUAUAGGCUAGACAACAUAUGCAACAUGAAACCAAUUAUCACACUGUCAACUUAGAGCAAGCACCUACGAUGGUGGAGUGCGGGAGAUGAACUCAUCAUGUAGACUUGGAACUUCAACUUCAUUAGCAGUAGCAGUAGCAAAUCUAGAGAGUCUCUGUUUGCGUCGGUGCAGAGUACCACCAACAUCCCCUAACUUACUCUUUUCCUUCCUAUUUUCUGAUAUUGCCUUAUGAAGUCAAAACCACAAGAAGAUGAAUAAAAUUAGCUCUGCAUAACUGGUUGAUGCAUGAUACAGACGAACACUACUUUGAUGUACGGCAAGCGUAGGAUAGGAGGAUGGAAUAUAUACAAAAAAGACAGUGUUUCAUAUUCACACGUACGAUAGGAGGAUGAAAUAUGUAUGAAAAAACAGUAAGCGGAAGGUAUUUCAACAAAAUUAGAAGAAAUGAAAGCUAGGCACCAUAUGAACAUGCAACCAAUAUCACUCUAUCAGGUAAAAAGUGUCUCGUGUAAGUGCCAUUUCAAGAAAUUAGAAGCAGUACAAGCUAGAAGACUAUGCAAGAUGCAACCUACAUCACAGUCCCAAGUUAAAAUGUGUCUUACGGGUAAGUGAUCGUUGCAGGUAUAAGUUGUAAGCUACGCAGAUGCAAUUCUGCAUAAUCAGAAGCAAUACAAACUAGACAUCAUACGGAAAAUGCAACCACGUAUAACAGUUCCAAGUAAGAGCAAGCACCUGUGAUGGUGGAGUAGGGGAGAUGUGCUCAUCAUGUACAUGUAUGUUCUAGAAACAGGAACACGUGUCAUAUUCACAGGCAUUAUGUGUAAAGUAAGCAGAUGCAAUUGAAGUUAGAAGCAAUACAAGCUAGUCAUCAACAACAUGCAACCACAUAUAAUAGUGUCAAGUUAGAGCAAGCACCUGUGAUGGUGGAGUAGGGGAGAUGUGCUCAUCAUCUACACAGCUAUGUUGACUGUCCAGCCUUGUGUUGUCUUGCGAAUCUUGUUGGGAGGAUGGCGGAGUAGAAUCUGUAGAGACCCCCUGUUUGAGUUGCUCCGAAGGACCACCAUCAUCCAAUGCCGGACUAAUUUCCUUCAGCUGUAAUGAUUUUGCAUUGUGAAGUCAAACCGAUAAGAAAAAGGAAUAAAAUUCGCUCUUCAGAACUCAUUCAUGCAUGAUACUGACGAACACUACUCGGAUGAAAGGCAAACACAUGAUGCGAGGAUGGAAUAUGUAUGAAAAACAGGAUGGUGUGACAUAUUCACACCUAUGAUGUGGUAACUAAGCAGAAGGCAUUUCAACAAAUUAGAAGCACUGCAAGCUAGACACCAUAUGAAAGAUGCAACCAAUAUCACUCUGCCAAGUUCAAACUGUAUGGUGUUUCAACAAAUUAGAAGCAGUAUAUGCUAGAAAUCAUAUGCAAGACACAACCAAUAUCACAGUGGCAACUUAAAGGUGCCUUAUCAUAAGUGACUGAUGCGGGAUAUGCAAGAAUAGUAGUCUGAUGUAGAAACAGGAACACAUUGUUGGGGAACGUUGCAUAAAAUAAAAAAUUUCCUACAUUCACCAAGAUCAAUAUAUGAGUUCAUCCAGCAAUGAGAGAGGGGAGUGCAUCUACAUACCCUUGUAGAUCGCGAGCGGAAGCGUUCAAGAGAACGGGGUUGAGGGAGUCGUUCACGUCGUGAUCCAAAUCACCGGAGAUCCUAGCGCCGAACGGACGGCACCUCCGCGUUCAACACACGUACGGUCAGUGUGACGUCUCCUCCUUCUUGAUCCAGCAAGGGGGAAGGAGAGGUUGAUGAAGAUCCAGCAGCACGACGGCGUGGUGGUGGAUGCAGCAGGGUUCCAGCAGAGCUUCGCCAAGCGUCUGCGGGAGGGAGAGGUGUAGCAAGGGGGGGGGAGGGAGGCGCCAAGAUGCAGGGUGCGGCUGCCCUCCCUCCCCCCUCUUUAUAUAGGGUGCCCAGGGGGGGCAGCGGCCUUAGGAGAUGGGAUCUCCUAGGGGGCGGCGGCCAAGGGGGGAACUUACCCCCCAAGGCAAGUGGAGGCGCCCCCUCCCCUAGGGUUCCCAACCCUAGGCGCAGGGGGGCCCAAGGGGGGGGCGUACCAGCCCACCACGGGCUGGUUCCCCUCCCACUUCAGCCCAUGGGGCCCUCCGAGAUAGGUGGCCCCACCCGGUGGACCCCCGGGACCCUUCCGGUGGUCCCGGUACAAUACCGAUGACCCUCGAAAAUCUCCCGAUGGCCGAAACAACACUUCCUAUAUAUAAUUCUUCACCUCCGGACCAUUCUAGAACUCCUCGUGACGUCCAGGAUCUCAUCCGGGACUCCGAACAACUUUCGGUUUGCUGCAUACUAAUAUCUCUACAACCCUAGCGUCACCAAACCUUAAGUGUGUAGACCCUACGGGUUUGGGAGAUAUGCAGAGAUGACCGAGAUGCCUCUUCGGUCAAUAACCAACAGCGGGAUCUGGAUACCCAUGUUGGCUCCCACAUACUCCUCGAUGAUCUCAUCGGAUGAACCAUGAUGUCGAGGAUUCAAUCAACCCCGUAUACAAUUCCCUUUGUCAAUCGGUACGUUACUUGCCCGAGACUCGAUCGUCGGUAUCCCAAUACCGCGUUUAGUCUCGUUACCGGAAAGUCACUUUACUCGUACCAUAAUGCAUGAUCCCGUGACCAGACACUUGGUCACAUUGAGCUCAUUAUGAUGAUGCAUUACCGAGUGGGCCCAGAGAUACCUCUUCGUCAUACGGAGUGACAAAUCCCAGUCUCGAUUUGUGCCAACCCAACAGACACUUUCGGAGAUACCCGUAGUGCACCUUUAUAGCCACCCAGUUACGUUGUGACAUUUGGUACACCCAAAGAACUCCUACGGUAUCCGGGAGUUGCACAACCUCAUGGUCUAAGGAAAUGAUACUUGACAUUUGGAAAAGCUCUAGCUAAACGAACUACACGAUCUUUGAGUUAUGCUUAGAAUUGGGUCUUGUCCAUCACAUCAUUCUCCUAAUGAUGUGAUCCCGUUAUCAAUGACAUACAAUGCCCAUAGUCAGGAAACCAUGACUAUCUGUUGAUCAACGAGCUAGUCUACUAGAGGCUCGCUAGGGACUUUGUCGUGGUCUAUGUAUUCACACGUGUAUUACGAUUUCCGGAUAACACAGUUAUAGCAUGAAUAAUAGACAAUUAUCAUGAACACAGAAAUAUAAUAAUAACCAUUUAUUAUUGCCUCUAGGGCAUAUUUCCAACAGUCUCCCACUUGCACUAGAGUCAAUAUUCUAGUUACAUUGUGAUGAAUCGAACACCCAUUGCAUUCUGGUGUUGAUCAUGUUUUGCCCUAGGGAGAGGUUUAGUCAACGGAUCCGCUACAUUCAGGUCCGUAUGUACUUUACAAAUAUCUAUGUCUCCAUCUUGAACAUUUUCACGAAUGGAGUUGAAGCGACGCUUGAUGUGCCUUGUCUUCUUGUGAAACCUGGGCUCCUUGGCAAGUGCAAUAGCUCCAGUGUUGUCACAGAAGAGUGUGUCCGGCCCCGACGCAUUGGGUAUGACUCCUAGGUCGGUGAUGAACUCCUUCACCCAGAUUGCUUCAUGCACUGCCUCCGAGGCUGCCAUGUACUCCACUUCACAUGUAGAUCCCGCCACGACGCUUUGCUUGCAACUGCACCAACUUACUGCCCCACCAUUAAAAAUAUACACGUAUCCGGUUUGUGACUUAGAGUCAUCCAGAUCCGUGUCGAAGCUAGCGUCGACGUAACCCUUUACGACGAGCUCUUCAUCACCUCCAUAUACGAGAAACAUGUCCUUAGUCCUUUUCAGGUACUUAAGGAUAUUCUUGACCGUUGUCCAGUGUUCCUUGCCGGGAUUACUUUGGUACCUUCCUACCAAACUUACGGCAAGGUUUAUAUCAGGUCUGGUACAGGUCAUGGCAUACAUGAUAGACCCUAUGGCUGAGGCAUAGGGGAUGACACUCAUCUCUUCUUUAUCUUCUGCCGUGGUCGGGCAUUGAGCCGAGCUCAAUUUCACACCUUGCAACACAGGCAAGAACCCCUUCUUGGAUUGAUCCAUAUUGAACUUCUUCAAUAUUUUAUCAAGGUAUGUGCUUUGUGAAAGACCUAUGAGGCGUCUCGAUCUAUCUCUAUAGAUUUUGAUGCCUAAUAUGUAAGCAGCUUCUCCAAGGUCCUUCAUUGAAAAACACUUAUUCAAGUAGGCCUUUAUGCUGUCCAAAAGUUCUAUAUCAUUUCCCAUCAAAAGUAUGUCAUCCACAUAUAAUAUGAGAAAUGCUACAGAGCUCCCACUCACUUUCUUGUAAACACAUGCUAAUCCAUAAGUCUGCAUAAACCCAAACGCUUUAAUCAUCUCAUUAAAGCGAAUGUUCCAACUUCGAGAUGCUUGCACCAGCCCAUAGAUGGAGCGCUGGAGCUUGCAUAACUUGUUAGCAUUCUUAGGGUCGACAAAACCUUCCGGCUGCAUCAUAUAUAGUUCUUCCUUAAGGUGACCGUUAAGGAAUGCCGUUUUGACGUCCAUUUGCCAUAUCUCAUAAUCAUAGUAUGCGGCAAUUGCUAACACGAUUCAUACGGACUUCAGGUUCGCUACGGGAGAGAAUGUCUCAUCGUAGUCAAUCCCUUGAACUUGUCGAUAACCCUUAGCGACAAGUCGAGCUUUAUAUAUGGUAACAUUACCAUCCGCGUUCGUCUUCUUCUUAAAGAUCCAUUUGUUUUCUAUUGCUCGCCGAUCGUCGGGCAAGUCUCUCAAAGUCCACACUUUGUUUUCAUACAUGGAUCCUAUCUCGGAUUGCAUGGCUUCAAGCCAUUUGUUGGAAUCUGGGCCCGUCAUUGCUUCUUCAUAGUUCGAAGGUUCACCAUUGUCUAACAACAUGAUUUCCAAGACAGGGUUGCCGUACCACUCUGGUGCGGAACGUAUCCUUGUGGACCUUCGAAGUUCAGUAGGAGCUUGAUUCGAAGUAUCUUGAUCAUCAUCAUUAACCUCCUCUCUUUUCGGUGCAGGCGCCACAGGAACAUCUUCCUGAGUUGCGCUACUCACCGUUUCAAGAGGCAGUACUUCAUCAAGCUCUACUUUCCUCCCACUUAAUUCUUUUGAGAGAAACUCUUUCUCCAGAAAGGACCCGUUCUUAGCAACAAAGAUCUUGCCUUCGGAUCUUAAGUAGAAAGUAUACCCUAUGGUUUCCUGAGGGUAUCCUAUGAAUACGCAUUUCUCCGACUUGGGUUCGAGCUUCUCAGGUUGAAGUUUCUUGACAUAAGCAUCGCAUCCCCAAACUUUUAGAAACGACAGCUUAGGUUUCUUCCCAAACCAUAAUUCAUACGGUGUCGUCUCAACGGAUUUAGACGGUGCCCUAUUUAAAGUGAAUGUAGCUAUCUCUAGAGCGUAUCCCCAAAAUGAUAGCGGUAAAUCUGUAAGUGACAUCGUAGAUCACACCAUAUCCAAUAGAGUGCGAUUAUGACGUUCGGACACACCAUUUCGCUGAGGUGUUCCAGGCGGCGUGAGUUGUGAAACGAUUCCACAUUUUCUUAAGUGCGUACCAAAUUUGUGACUUAAAUAUUCUCCCCCACGAUCUGAUCGUAGGAACUUUAUCUUUCGGUCACGUUGAUUCUCUACCUCAUUCUGAAAUUCCUUGAACUUUUCAAAGGUCUCAGACUUGUGUUUCAUCAAGUAGACAUACCCAUAUCUACUCAAGUCAUCAGUUAGAGUGAGAACAUAACGAUAUCCUCCGCGAGCCUCAACGCUCAUUGGACUGCACACAUCAGUAUGUAUGAUUUCCAAUAAGUUGGUUGCUCGCUCCAUUGUUCCGGAGAACGGAGUCUUGGUCAUCUUGCCCAUGAGGCAUGGCUCGCAUGUGUCAAACGAUUCAUAAUCUAGAGACUCUAAAAGUCCAUCAGCAUGGAGCUUCUUCAUGCGCUUGACAGCAAUGUGACCAAGGCGGCAGUGCCACAAGUAUGUGGGACUAUCGUUAUCAACUUUACAUCUUUUGGCAUUCACACUAUAAAUAUGUGUAACAUUACGCUCGAGAUUCAUUAAGAAUAAACCAUUCACCAGCGGGGCAUGACCAUAAAACAUAUCACUCAUAUAAAUAGAACAACCAUUAUUCUCGGAUUUAAAUGAGUAGCCAUCUCGAAUUAAACGAGAUCCUGAUACAAUGUUCAUGCUCAAAGCUGGUACUAAAUAACAAUUAUUGAGGUUCAAAACUAAUCCCGUAGGUAAAUGUAGAGGUAGCGUGCCAACGGCGAUCACAUCGACCUUGGAACCAUUCCCGACGCGCAUCGUCACCUCGUCCUUCGCCAGUCUCCGCUUAUUCCGCAGCUCCUGCUUUGAGUUACAAAUGUGAGCAACCGCACCGGUAUCAAAUACCCAGGAGCUACUAUGAGCACUGGUAAGGUACACAUCAAUUACUUGUAUAUCACAUAUACCUUUGGUUUUGCCGGCCUUCUUGUCCGCUAAGUACUUGGGGCAGUUCCGCUUCCAGUGACCACUUCCCUUGCAAUAAAAGCACUCAGUCUCAGGCUUGGGUCCAUUGCUUGACUUCUUCCUGGCAACUGGCUUACCAGGCGCGGCAACUUCCUUGCCGUCCUUCUUGAAGUUCUUCUUACCCUUGCCCUUCUUGAACUUAGUGGUUUUAUUCACCAUCAACACUUGAUGUUCCUUUUUUAUCUCUACCUCUGCUGAUUUCAGCAUUGAAUAUACCUCAGGAAUGGUCUUUUCCAUCCCCUGCAUAUUGAAGUUCAUCACAAAGCUCUUGUAGCUUGGUGGGAGCGACUGGAGAAUUCUGUCAAUGACCGCGUCAUCCGGGAGAUUAACUCCCAGCUGAGUCAAGCGGUUGUGCAACCCAGACAUCUUGAGUAUGUGCUCACUAACACAACUGUUUUCCUCCAUCUUACAGCUAAAGAACUUGUCAGAGACUUCAUAUCUCUCGACCCGGGCAUGAGCUUGGAAAACCAUUUUCAGCUCCUCGAACAUCUCAUAUGCUCCGUGUUGCUCAAAACGCUUUUGGAGCCCCGGUUCUAAGCUGUAGAGCAUGCCGCACUGAACGAGGGAGUAAUCAUCGGCACGAGACUGCCAAGCGUUCAUAAUGUCUUGGUUCUCUGGGAUUGGUGCUUCACCUAGCGGUGCUUCUAGGACAUAAUCUUUCUUGGCAGCUAUGAGGAUGAUCCUCAGGUUCCGGACCCAGUCCGUAUAGUUGCUGCCAUCGUCUUUCAGCUUGGUUUUCUCUAGGAACGCGUUGAAGUUCAGGUGGACAUGAGCGUUGGCCAUUUGAUCUACAAGACAUAUUGUAAAGAUUUUAGACUAAGUUCAUGAUACUUAAGUUCAUCUUAAUCAAAUUAUUUAAUGAACUCCCACUUAGACAGACAUCCCUCUAUUCAUCUAAGUGAAACAUGAUCCGAGUCAACUAGGUCGUGUCCGAUCAUCACGUGAGACGGACUAGUUAACAUCGGUGAACAUCUUCAUGUUGAUCGUAUCUUCUAUACGACUCAUGCUCGACCUUUCGGUCUUCCGUGUUCCGAGGCCAUGUCUGUACAUGCUAGGCUCGUCAAGUCAACCUAAGUGUAUUGCGUGUGUAAAUCUGGCUUACACCCAUUGUAUUCGAACGUUAGGAUCUAUCACACCCGAUCAUCACGUGGUGCUUCGAAACAACGAACCUUCGCAACGGUGCACAGUUAGGGGGAACACUUUUCUUGAAAUUAUCAUGAGGGAUCAUCUUACUUAGUACCGUCGUUCUAAGUAAACAAGAUGGAAAAACAUGAUAAACAUCACAUGCAAUCAUAAUAGUGACAUGAUAUGGCCAAUAUCAUAUAGCUCCUUUGAUCUCCAUCUUCGGGGCUCCAUGAUCAUCUUCGUCACCGGCAUGACACCAUGAUCUCCAUCAUCGUGUCUUCAUGAAGUUGUCACGCCAACGACUACUUCUACUUCUAUGGCUAACGCGUUUAGCAAUAAAGUAAAGUAGUUUACAUGGCGUUCUUCAAUGACACACAGGUCAUACAAAAAAUAAAGACAACUCCUAUGGCUCCUGCCGGUUGUCAUACUCAUCGAUAUGCAAGUCAUGAUUCCUAUUACAAGAACAUGAUCUCAUACAUCACAUAUAUAUCAUUCAUCAUUCAUCACAACUUUGGCCAUAUCACAUCACAAAACACUUGCUGCAAAAACAAGUUAGACGUCCUCUAAUUGUUGUUGCAAGUUUUUAUGUGGCUUCUAAAGGUGAUCUAGCAAGAAUGUUUUCUUACCUACGUUAAAGCCACAACGUGAUUUGCCAACUUCUAUUUACCCUUCAUAAGGACCAUUUUUAUCGAAUCCGCUCCAACUAAAGUGGGAGAGACAGACACCCGCUAGCCACCUUAUGCAACUAGUGCAUGUCAGUCGGUGGAACCGGUCUCACAUAAGCGUACGUGUAAGGUCGGUCCGGGCCGCUUCAUCCCACAAUACCGCUGAAGCAAAAUAAGUCUAGUAGUGGCAAGAAAGUUGACAACAUCUACGCCCACAACAAAUUGUGUUCUACUCGUGCAAAGAGAACUACGCAUAGACCUGGCUGAUGAUGCCACUGUUGGGGAACGUUGCAUAAAAUAAAAAAUUUCCUACGUUCACCAAGAUCAAUCUAUGAGUUCAUCCAGCAACGAGAGAGGGGAGUGCAUCUACAUACCCUUGUAGAUCACGAGCGGAAGCAUUCAAGAGAACGGGGUUGAGGGAGUCGUUCACGUCGUGAUCCAAAUCACCGGAGAUCCUAGCACCGAAUGGACGGCACCUCCGCAUUCAACACAUGUACGGUCAGCGUGAUGUCUCCUCCUUCUUGAUCCAGCAAGGGGGAAGGAGAGGUUGAUGAAGAUCCAGCAGCACGACGGCGUGGUGGUGGAUGCAGCAGGGUUCCGGCAGAGCUUCGCCAAGCGUCUGCGGGAGGGAGAGGUGUAGCAAGGGGGAAGGGAGGCGCCAAGAUGCAGGGUGCGGCUGCCCUCCCUCCCCCCUCUUUAUAUAGGGUCCCCAGGGGGCGCCGGCCCUAGGAGAUGGGAUCUCCUAGGGGGGCGGCGGCCAAGGGGGGAACUUGCCCCCCAAGGUAAGUGGAGGCGGCCCCUCCCCUAGGGUUCCCAACCCUAGGCGCAGGGGGGCCCAAGGGGGGGGGGGGGCGCACCAGCCCACCAGGGGCUGGUUCCCCUCCCACUUCAGCCCAUGGGGCCCUCCGGGAUAGGUGGCCCCACCCGGUGGACCCUCGGGACCCUUCCGGUGGUCCCGGUACAAUACCGAUGACCCCCGAAAAUCUCCCGAUGGCCGAAACAACACUUCCUAUAUAUAAUUCUUCACCUCCGGACCAUUCCGGAACUCCUCGUGACGUCCGGGAUCUCAUACGGGACUCUGAACAACUUUCGGUUUGCUACAUACUAAUAUCUCUACAACCCUAGCGUCACCGAACCUUAAGUGUGUAGACCCUACGGGUUCGGGUGAUAUGCAGACAUGACCGAGACGCCUCUCCGGUCAAUAACCAACAGCGGGAUCUGGAUACCCAUGUUGGCUCCCACAUACUCCUCGAUGAUCUCAUCGGAUGAACCAUGAUGUUGAGGAUUCAAUCAACCCCGUAUACAAUUCCCUUUGUCAAUCGGUACGUUACUUGCCCGAGACUCGAUCGUCGGUAUCCCAAUACCUCGUUUAGUCUCGUUGCUGGCAAGUCACUUUACUCGUACUGUAAUGCAUGAUCCCGUGACCAGACACUUGGUCACAUUGAGCUCAUUAUGAUGAUGCAUUACCGAGUGGGCCCAGAGAUACCUCUCCGUCAUACGGAGUGACAAAUCCCAGUCUCGAUUCGUGCCAACCCAACAGACACUUUCGGAGAUACCCGUAGUGCACCUUUAUAGCCACCCAGUUACGUUGUGACGUUUGGUACACCCAAAGCACUCCUACGGUAUCCGGGAGUUGCACAACCUCAUGGCUAAGGAAAUGAUACUUGACAUUUGGAAAAGAUCUAGCUAAACGAACUACAUGAUCUUUGAGCUAUGCUUAGAAUUGGGUCUUGUCCAUCACAUCAUUCUCCUAAUGAUGUGAUCCCGUUAUCAAUGACAUCCAAUGCCCAUAGUCAGGAAACCAUGACUAUCUGUUGAUCAACGAGCUAGUCUACUAGAGGCUCACUAGGGACUUUGUCGUGGUCUAUGUAUUCACACGUGUAUUACGAUUUCCGGAUAACACAAUUAUAGCAUGAAUAAUAGACAAUUAUCAUGAACACAGAAAUAUAAUAAUAACCAUUUAUUAUUGCCUCUAGGGCAUAUUUCCAACACACAUAUCAUAUUCACAGGCAUUAUGUGUAAAGUAAGCAGAUGCAAUUCAACAAAGUUAGAAGCAAUACAAGCUAGACAUCAUACGCAACAUGCAACCACAUAUAAUAGUGCCAAGUUAGAGCAAGCACCUGCGAUGGUGGAGUAGGGGAGAUGUGCUCAACAUCUACAUAGCUACGUUGACUGUCUAGCCUUGCGUUGUCUUGCGUAUCUUGUUGGGAGGAUGGCAGAGUAGAAUCUGUAGAGAACCUCCGUUUCAGUUGCUCGGAAGGACCACCAUCAUCUAAUGCCUUGCCAAUUUCCUUUAGCUUUAUUGAUUUUGCAUUGUGAGGUCGUACCGACAAGAAAAAGGAAUAUCAUUCGCUCUUCAGAACUCAUUCAUGCAUGAUACUGACGAACACUACUCUGAUGAAAGGCAAAGUCAUGAUACGAGGAUGGAAUAUGUACGAAAAAAUGGACGGCUUGACAUAUUCACACCUAUGAUGUGGUAACUAAGCAGAAGGCACUUCAACAAAUUAGAAACACUGCAAGACACCAUAUGGAAGGUGCAAUCAAUAUCACUCUGCCAAGUUAAAACUGUCUCGUCAUAGGUGACGUUCAUCAAAGUAGAAGCAAUACAUGCUAGAAAUCAUAUUCAAGAUGCAAACCAAUAUCACACUGCCAACUUAAAGGUGUCCCAUCAUAAGUGAUUGAUGCAUGAUACACAAGAAUAGUAGUUUCAUGUAAGAACAUGGUGUGAUAGACAGAUAUAGUAUGUACCAAAAACAGGAAAGCGUGUCAUAUUCACAUGUAUCAUGUGUAAGCUAAGCAGAUGCAGUUUACACUAAUUAGGAGCAAUACGAGCUAGACACCAUAUGCAACAUGCAACCAGAUAUCACACUGCCAAGUCAGAGCAAGCACCUUGGAUGGUGGAGUAGGGGAGCGGAGACUUGGACCAUGUAAUGCACUAUCAGUACAAGGAGAAUCGGUACAGAUGCUCCGUUUACGUUGCUGCAGAGGACCACCAUCAUCGCCUUCCUUACUCUUUUCCUUCCUCUUUCUUGAUUUUGCCUUGUCAAGUCAAACCCAUAAGAAAAAGGAAUAAAAUUUUCUCUUUAGAACUUAUUGAUGCAUGAUACUGACGAACACUACUUCCAUGUAAGGCAGCCGCAUGAUAGGAGGAUGGAAUAUGUAUGAAAAACAGGACGGCAUGACAUAUUGACAUGUAUGAUGUAUAAAGUGUAAACUAAGCACAAGGUGCUUGAACUUGUUAGAAUCGAUGCAAGCUAGAAACCAUAUGAAAGAUGAAACCAAUAUGACUCUGCCAAAUUAAAAGGGUGCCCUAACAAAUGUAUUUGUCCAAAUUAGAAGCAAUACAUGGCAACAUGCUAGAAAUAAUAUGCAAUAUGCAACGAAUAAAGGUGACUCAUCAUAAAUGAUUGAUGCAUGAUAUAGAAGAGAGGUAGUUUCAUGUAAGAACAAGGUUAACACAGAGAUGUAGUGUGUACCAAAAAUAGGAAGGCAUGUCAUAUUCACAGGUAUAGUGUGUAAACUAAGCAGAUGCAAUUUACCCUAAUUAGAAGCAUUACAAGCUAGACACCGUAUGCAACAUGCAACCACAUAUCACACUGCGAAGUUGGAGCAAGCACCUGUGAUGGUGGUGUAGGGGAAGUGCUGUCUUCAGGUACAGAGCAACAUUCAAUAUCUUCAUUUAGGCUUGCUGUUUCUUGAGAAUCAUGUGGAGAGGAUGAAAUUGCAUUCUUUAUAAGAGUAUUGCGUCUCAUAUUAACCCACGCGCGUGACUGUCUCAUCAUAAGCGAUAGACGUAUGAUACACAAGAACAGUAGUUUGAUGUAAGAACAUGGUGUGAUAGGCAGAUGUAGUAUGUACCAAAAACAGGAAGGCGUGUCAUAUUCACAUGUAUAAUGUGUAAGCUAAGGAGAUGCAAUUUAACAAAUUAGGAGCAUUGAUGAGGGAUACACAAGAGAAGUAGUUUGAUGUAAGAACAUGGUUAAUAGAAAGACGUAGUAUGUACCAAAAACAAGAGGGCAUGUCAUAUUCACAGGUAUAAUGUGUUAACUAAGCAGAUGCAAUUUACCCUAAUUAGAAACAUUACAAGGUAGACACCAUAUGCAACAUGCAACCACAUAUCACACUGCCAAGUAAGAGCAAGCACCUGCGAUGGUGGUGUGGGGGAAUUGCGGUGAUCAACUAGAGAGCUAUGUUGACUAUCUUCAUUUAGCCUUGCUGUUUGUUGAGAAUCAUGUGGGGAGGAUGACACUGCACUCUUUAAACGAGUAGGGCGUCUCACAGUAACCAACCCGGGUGACUGUCUCAUCAUAAGUGAUUGACGAGGGAUACAAAAGAGCAUUAGUUUGAUGUACGAACAUGGUUAAUAGACAUAUGUAGUAUGUAUCAAAAACAGGAAGGCAUGUCAUUAUCAAAGGUAUAAUGUGUAAAGUAAGCAGAUGCAAUUUAACCAAAUUGGAAGCAAUACAAGCUAGACACCAUAUGCAACAUGCAACCACAUUUGACAGCGCAAAGUUAAAGCAAGCACCUGGGAUGGUUGUGUGUGGCAAUUGAGAUCAUCAACUGCAGAGCUACGUUUACUGUCUCCAACUACUGACACUGCGCCCAUUAGAGCGCUGAAAUGCUUACUGCUUAUCUUCGAAUUACACUGGAGCGACUUCUGUCUUUUCUUUUCUGCAUUCAUCAACACCGCGUCAGAGUCUGAAAUACCCAUGCAUAAAAAAACAAUAGUGUGAGUAUGGGUAAAGUGUGUGGACAAUUAGUAUAGUGUAAAGGUAGCAGAUAGCAGGUCGGUGAGAAAUAAAUGACGGGAGACAUAUGAUAGCUCUACAACAUGCAUGGCACACUCAAUUACUACAGGAUUCUAUGAAAAUAACAGUCGACUGAAAGCAAAUAGGCCAGUCCAUUUUUUCUGCACCGUCCGAUGUACAAACAACGGGCAGAUCGCCAUCAUCUACCUCCAGCCAGUCAGUGUUGACGAUCUUCCUCGAAACGCUAGCGACCAUCAGCCCAGUAUUCCUCCCCUGCCUGCGCCCUCCCGUCGACCUCACCGCACCGCCGUGCUUGGCACCGCCCCCGGCCAUCCAUUCAAGCCCCGCCGACCUCCAGAUCGGGCGCAAGCAGCUCCUGCACCCCACACCCCUAUGAUAGACACUGAUGCACCGCUUCCCCGGAGAACAGGCAGACUAGGUGCUCCGCGUGCCUAAGCGGGUGCUGCUUCUUUUAAUUGCGGUUCGACUGACCCUGAAUUGAAAUCCAGGCGGGCUACUGACCUCUAGCAAAGGUGAAAUAGUAAAAGGGAGGAAACCUUGUGCAUUUAGUAUCACGAAGAAGAUGCAGUAAGAAGAUCUCAACUAGUUUCUUUCGUGGGAUGAAUACGGUGUGAGCGGAGACGUAAGAUUUGCACGAAUAAGGGAAGAUGAGUACCUCUUUCUGCUGGCAGUGUUGUGUCCUCCUUCUGUUUUUCCGACGAUCUUGUUGUUCUCCGGAAACUAGAAGUUGUGGAGGACGGUGCAACCUUGGACGAACCCAUGGCCAAGUUGUUGAGUGUGGUGCGGUGGCCGUCUGUCGGCGGCGGGGAAGCAGAUCCGAGGCGGCGAACGACGGCGUAGUAGGAACAGCUCUAGUGCGGUGGAUGGUUGCGACAGUGGAGCCGCAGUAGUGAGGCGUAGGACGACGUGGUCGGAGUGGUUCUGGUACGGCGCACAUCGGCGUCGGCGUCGUGGAGGCAGCUCUGCCUCGGCUUCAGCUGCUAAGUCCUUGAGGGCGUUGCGGUUGCGGUUGCGUUGGAUGAUGACGUUGGGGUACCGGCUCCAGCGUGAUGGAGGAGGGCGGUGGUGGAUUGGCCGCUAUGGGGUGGAGGACGGAGGAGGCUGGCGUUUCGCGGCUGGUGGAGAGGGCGUUUUCGCACCCACGGAGUAUGAAUGGGGAAAUGGGGGGAGGCGGGGAACUAAGGGGGAACAAUGUUUCGGUUUGAGACGCGCUUGUUUGAAAUUUGGGGAAAGUUACAAACUUUGCCCCCAUCUAAAAUUUCAGACAUAUUGCGGGUUGGGGGUAGGACAGUCAUGUCAGGUGUCCCAAAUGUGGGUGGGAUAGAUUUCGGCCGAGCACAUGGGUGUUUAGGCGCCCACGGCGUAUGAAUGCUUCUCGGAGGCAGUUGAGACUGACGUCUUGGUGAAGUUACAAACCUAUCCCGGUUUAGACCUUUGGACAUCGGGCCGAUAGGCUACACGGGCCAGAGUUAGGACAAUAAUUUCCUACCACCAAAACAUUAGUCUCGCGUGGUUUCGGGUGACCAGAGGUCUAUUUGGCGUUUCAUUCAAUAUUUGGGAGCAGAAGCAUUAACGUUUUCGGUUCUCUCGAAUUGAACUUUCAGGAUUUUUCAAACUUCACAAAUCUUUACUCUUGAAAAUCCUAAAGCUACGAUUAUUUUGGAAUGGAGGGGUACAUUUUAAUAUACAUUGUACACGAGUAUAUAUUAAAAAAUAUGCAACUUACCUCAGUUCAUGCAUGGUUCCAGGUAUAAUCUCCUUGGUUGCAAAAAAAAUAGAUAUGCGUAUGAAUAUAUAUAGCAUGUUCAAACUCACAACAAAGAUUGAUGCCCCCUUUUACAUCUGAUUUACAAAUGCCAUUAUCUCGGGUUCAAAUAGAUGAAUGCACUUCCUAUGAAUUCGAAUCUUCGAAACCCCCUUUAUGUUGAAUUCGACAUGUAUUUUAUUUUGUAGCUAGCAAUUUGGAAUGUAUCCAUGAAAAUGACAAAUGUAUAAAGUGCUUCACACUAACAACAUGGAGUGCACUAAUUAAUGUUUAUAUAUGAAUUGCAAAAGCAUCCAUUGCCUGUAUUUCAAACCGCUCUCACUCUAUGGAUCGAUAAUAUGAAAUAAACACAUGCACAUGCUAGAAUUCAAUAGAGUAUGGGUGUCUGAUAGACCGAUUUUCGUCCAUACGCUAUUUUGCAAAAUUCAUGAUCUCAUCCAAAAAUAAUAAUGCCAUUUAUAUUUUAAUUUAAUGCGUAGAACCGCCUUUUACACGUAGAUGCACUAUGCCUCGCCCCGUUCUCACAAACGCGUUAUAUAUCUCUCUAUCUAACGCAUAAGUGCACACACUUUAUAUGCAUCGGCAUUUCUCUUUCACACAUGCUCACAAUCUCUCUCAGGGUGUCGGGGUGUCUCACGCACAUGCUCUCUCUGUUUCUCUCUCUCUUUCUGACUACUAUCUACCACUCUUUUCACUAAUCUCAGUUGGAAAACACUAUUUCUCUCACAUGCAUAUAUACACAUGCAUAGUCUCUACUAGCCCUCUAUACACACAUAUAUGUGCCUACGUGUCUCCCGCAUGCACAUUAUCUUUAGGCCUCUCUCGCACACAUUGCCCCCCCGACACACCUCUCUAAUAGUAGUUGGCAGAUAUGAUUUCAUCAUAUCAUUCGGUAGGAUAUCCCUGGCUGUUAGGCUGGAUGGUAAUACGAGGCAAAGUUUUACCCUAGUUCGGAUCGGACCCUUGCAGUUGAAGAAAGAGCCUCUACUGGUACUGUAUAUUAGUGAUAGGGGGUGUGUACAAAGUACACGUGAAUACCAGAGAUUAUCCGUGUGUGUAUACUAUCGACGAACUAGGCCCCAAGGUUGUAUAACAUACUAAGGGCCUAGGGUUACAAAUCAUAUAUAGUGAGCUUAUCACCAGUGGGGAUAGAGUCCUCCGCGACUCUGGUAGCUUCGUGUUGUACGACGAGUCCUCCACAUGGGUCUCCGUAUAACACGUCUCGGUCGAACCUAUAUGUGGCGCAGGAUGGAACCGACCCAUGAGUCUUCAUGUUGACCCACCACAACUAGAAAUGAUGUGCCCACCACACCACACACGUAAUCGGCCACUAAGAAAAUGAGAAUAUACAAUAGUACAACGAUAUCUAGCUCCCGAUACAUAUCCAUAUUUUGUUGAUGACACUGACGGACUUUGCAUUUGAUGCGUGCUCCGUAUUUUGUUGACGACACUUACGGUCAUUGUAUUUGAAUCAAAAACACGAUAUGGUCACUGGACUUCAGAAUAAGCUCAUCACGGUCACCACAUACAUUUUGUCGUGCUAACCAACAUGUGGUUGGAUGGUUAGAGGACAGUGGUUUCUCGAGCCCACCAAGGUUAAAGUCCCGGUGCUCGCAUUUAUCUUGUGUUAAUUUCAGUAUUUUCCGGCGAUGUACAUUCAGUGGGAGGAGACGUUCCACUCGACUACGAGGCACCUAUGGUGACUUCGUAAAAUCUCAAGAUCAUAUAUGCUAGCCCACUCUCUCGAAGGUGCUCAUAGGGGUAGGGUUCGCGUGUGUGCGCUUAUAGCGGUGAGUGCUUGCGCGUAUAUAUGAGCCCUUGCGUCUGUACCAUGUUAAACAAAUACAUGUCAUGAUUAUACUGUCACUGGCUCACCCGUACAACUCCAUAUUUUGUUGAUGACACAAUCAAUUGACAGUCAAACGACACAACUAGUGUUGCACCAUCGGGGCGCGUAACCGUGGGGCCCACCUGUCAGCCCGUAUAUGAAAGAAAGGAAUGAUAGUUUGAGUCUGUACCGUCUUAACAAAAUAGGAGUACAUUUUAGGGUGAUCAUACGAUCACUGGCUCACCAUACAGCUCCGUAAUUUGUUGAUAACACGAUCAAUUGACCAGUCAAACGGUCCACAUUCAGCAGCGCACAUUACCAUAGGGCCCACCCGUCAGCGCGUAUAUGAACGACAGAAAUGGUAAUAAACUAGUGGUCGGUGGGUAUUCGAAGUCGUGAGACCUCUGGUUGGCAGUCACCAGCGAUUGGGGGGGGCAUUCAUUGGGCGGUGGGGUGGGGAUCCCCNNNNNNNNNNNNNNNNNNNNNNNNNNNNNNNNNNNNNNNNNNNNNNNNNNNNNNNNNNNNNNNNNNNNNNNNNNNNNNNNNNNNNNNNNNNNNNNNNNNNNNNNNNNNNNNNNNNNNNNNNNNNNNNNNNNNNNNNNNNNNNNNNNNNNNNNNNNNNNNNNNNNNNNNNNNNNNNNNNNNNNNNNNNNNNNNNNNNNNNNNNNNNNNNNNNNNNNNNNNNNNNNNNNNNNNNNNNNNNNNNNNNNNNNNNNNNNNNNNNNNNNNNNNNNNNNNNNNNNNNNNNNNNNNNNNNNNNNNNNNNNNNNNNNNNNNNNNNNNNNNNNNNNNNNNNNNNNNNNNNNNNNNNNNNNNNNNNNNNNNNNNNNNNNNNNNNNNNNNNNNNNNNNNNNNNNNNNNNNNNNNNNNNNNNNNNNNNNNNNNNNNNNNNNNNNNNNNNNNNNNNNNNNNNNNNNNNNNNNNNUGAUAAACUGGAGGCCCUUGAUUUCAUAUCCAAUGGCUGGAAAAUCUAAUGACCAGAUAUGAAAAAGUCAGUCGACUGACGUGUAGCCUCACCCCGCACGUACACAUGCACGCACGCAAGACACGCACGCAUGUAGGCGUGCAACACUGACACGUACACAUAACGUACACACGCACGCAUGCUGGCGUGCAACACUGACACGUACACAUGCACUCACAAACACACGCACGUACGCACCCAUGCAUGCAACACUGAAACGCAUCCUUGCACGCACGCAACACUCGCACGCCUGCAUGCACACAACACAUGACACAAGACACACGCUCAACCUAUACGUGCAUGCACCCUUUGUUAAGGACAUGGAUUGUUACGGGUAUUAAUCAAUCUUAUCUGUGAUAAGCAGAACAUUGAUGUUUGCAUUGGUCUUUAUGAAUCACAAUGUAUCGAACGGGCUAUCAACAUAGUAGGCUUAACUACAUGAAAAAGAUGACGUCACACUCAAUAAACAAUCAUCAAUUUAUGAAAUGCCCGCUUCUGACCGCCCUGGCCCACCAAAGGUUCCUCUGCUGUGCGCUGCCUAUGUUAGGUCACUGACAUGCAGGCCAUGCACCCAAAGAGCCCACACGUCAGUGGAAGAACGGCGCGGUGUCCUAGGUGAGAGUCGAGGGCGCCACUCGCGGCACGCCCGGCUGAACACGCCUCCGUGCCGCAUUCAAACGCCUCCAUGAAAUCCGCCCAUGUGGAAGCCGAGAAACCCACUCUGGACACACGUCCGUUCAUGACCGGGCCGGCAUUAAACGCAACGCCGGCCGAGCUCCUCCCAUUCGCCGUCUAUUUAAUCUCCUAUUUAAACGAGGCCAAACAUCGGCCAAGAAUCGCACACCUGUGCCGCUCCCCUAUCUCCUCCACCAUUCUGUCCACUCUUACAAUGUCUUACGAAGAGUAGUUAUUCCGCAUCCAAGCCGGCUGGGUAGCCCGCCGGAUACGAGCUAUGCAGCUCGCUGAUCCACCUCCCUCCCCUCGCCCGACGGAGCCAGUUGCCGCCCCAAGCCGGCGCGCGGUUCAGCAACUCGCCGCUCCAGGCCAGCUCGACGAGGAGCAGCGCACGGGCGUCGUUGCUGCCGUCCAAGCCGCCGCCUCGUACUGCGUCUCCCGUUUCUGUGGCCGAGACUCCCAUGCCGGCGGCCGCGCCAUGCAAGCAGCGACAGAAGCUGGGUGCGCGGAGAGCGACGAUUCGGUGGCCAGCGCCUCCGCGUCCGCCGCCAUCAUCGAGGAGAAGUAGAACACGGGAGGCCGCCGCCGCUUGGGUCCCAUGAAGGCCACCGCGGAGGCAACGCCGGUGUACACAGCAGGUGUCUUGACGGAUCCUUUUGUUGCGAGGACCUUCGUCGACCCCGCAUGGGCUCCACGGAAGAGGUCAAUGUUAGGAUGAACUCGAGCCGGUGCCGGCCAUGGCAAAGUAGUGGACGGUGAGGAACUCGAACCGGUGCCGGCCACCAUCAUCUUCGGCACCAGCCAAUGAUAUCAGUUGGGCAGUGGGGAAGUGAGCCGUCCUUUGCGCUGAAGCAUAUACCUCCGGGGCUCCCGGUAGUCCGGUGAUCGUGCUGCCAGACAUGAGGAACACAAAUCGAUUGGCGGGCGACCAUUUAGGCCAGGUAUUAUAUACCUGUGCUAUCCAGAACUAGCACCGCGUAGUUCAUUUGAAUGUAAUGAAAUCCGUCAUGUUUGUGUGAAAAUCCGGAAUUUUAUAUGAUUUCCGUCAUUGUUUAUAUGAAAUAUCAGUUUGUCUACGUGUUUGCGUGAAUUUCGUCCGGUUGGUUGAGUUGCUGUCAUAAUGUGUGUGGCUACGGUUGGAUGGCGUAAUUUGCGGGUCGCCGGUCGGUCUGUGGGCGGCUCGGGCGGCGUUGUGGGACUUUUGAUGAACUAACGUUAGGCAAUCUUGGCAAAAAUGUGUGGCAAAGUGUGGCAAUGCUAGGCCUAGAACCAAACAACCCCAAAAAAACACAGCUCAUGCGAGCUCAUCUCCAACGUGCGCGCUAGAGGAUGCAUGACAACAUGAGCACCCGAGCCGUUCCUCGUUCAUUGGUGGCAAAGGCACCGGUGGACAAAAGGGUCGCCAAUAUUUUGGCUACCCCGGGUAAGAUCCAAACAGCCCCUCCCAACAGAUUCAAAUCCCUCGUUCGCCGUGGAAUUUUGCCAUGUGUUGUUUUCAUGGACUAGCAAGAUGCCCGUGCAUUGCACGGAACAUCAAGAUGCAUUUUUUUACAAACUCCCGCAUGCAUGCCAGGGAUAAUUAAUGUCCUCCUUUGCUAGUACCACGAGGCAAACACCAUUAAUAUUACAUUGCAUCGUUUAGUGUUAGUGGCCUUGUAUAUCUGCAAAUUGUAAUUUUGAUAGUGGCCUCUUGUAUAUAAAAAUGGAGGGAGAAAUAUGAGAGAUAAGGUGAGGAGGAGUGGGGCGUGGUGCCGUGGUGGUGACUGGUGGUCGGACUGGGCGGAGGCAUGGGGAUGGACGGCGCAUUAUGUCUAGGUUUGUAUCUCUCUCACACACACCCACGUAGGUGGGGGACGUGCACGAAGAGAAGAGGUGCGCGCACGGCGCACGUACUCCCGUCUCUUUCCCAACCACACCCGUGCGGGCACACAGUGGAGUUCAUUUCUGUACGAAAAAGGCAGCUCACGUGGUAAUUUGGCACGUGUACUGGUUGUCCACUUGGUGGAGGAAGGAUCGUCUACCACGGGUGAACAAACAAAUUGCGACUUGACGCGUUAUGUUAAAUUAAAAAAAGAGGCAAACCAUGUGGGGCCUACCUUAGAGGCAAGGCUCUAUACACUGGAGUACUUUUGAUGUGUCCCGUCAACUCACAGAACGAGGAGAAACUUGCUUAGUACGCCGUCUCCCCCGCCCACGGGCGCGGUGGCUUGCAGGAUGAGGUGAAGCUUACUACUACUAUACACCUUUACGCCCGCUCCCUCACCCACGCGCAUGGUGGCUCGUAGCACGAGGAGAAAAUUUUACUAGUCCCUCCGUUUACUCCUCGUCCCUACUACGUACUUUGGUUAGUACUCCCUCUAUUUACUUAUACAAGGCCACUAUAAAAAAAUACAUUUUGCAUCUAUACAAGGCCACAAAUAGUAAUCGAGACAAAAGUUACUACUCCCUCCUUUCCAGUUUAUGGCUCAAUUUCAAAAUCUCUCCAACCAAGGUAGAUGGUGAGUGGUCGAAUUAAUUUCGUUGUUUGCACAGUACACUCGUUUUUCUCAAGAAGUUAUGUUUACCGAGGCAUUAAUUAGAACGAAUGCAUGAAUGACCACUAAAUUUCCAUGAACUUGUACAUGCAUUGGUUAGUUUCCUCUUGACACUGCUUGCGUCGGGUGAUCUAACGCACCUCGAAAUCCAACAUGUAAUGGUACUACUACUAGUAUAGUAGAAUUGAGACUUAUCAAACGGAAAAAUGAAUGUUUUUUAUAUGAGCCCUAUAAACCCUAGUGGGUACGUACUCCGUAAAAACAGAUUUUUCCAAAACUAAGUCGCUCCCUUUCAUGAAUUCUGUAGUAUACUCUUCCGUUGAUGCUCCCUUUCAUGAAUUUUGUACUUCCUGUCGCCGACAUGUGGGACAUAUAGCAACCGGGUCGACGUGUCAAGCACCAAAUAACAGUGCAGAACAACAGGGGGACGCACCCCACUCGUACCGGCCCAAUAGUAGUAAUGAGCAAUGAGACAUCAAAUCACAAUACCACACCUUCCCAGACGGACGAAGCAACCAUUAUUUCACACUUUGGUUCAACAUCAUCUCAAACCACAUACUAGUAUUGCUUCUGCCUCAAGAGGGACACGCGCAUCGCCUUGGUACAUCAUGACACGUGGGACCGCAUGACAGGCCAUGCUCCCCCGCUGAUCGCUCGGUAAGUCACCUCAUUUUUACUACUCUACUUCCUCCGGAUCGGUUUACUACAUGGCAUGCACGUCGUUCUAGGUUGAGAAUUUAACUAGCUACAUAUAUAUAUAUAUAUAUAUAUAUGUAAUGAAUAGUACGCUAGCCUUUUAAAAAAUGUAUACUUUUGUACAGUAAUACUCCACUAUUGAUGGAUUGCGCCAUGGAGCAAAAAUUGAAAUUUUAAAAAAGGUGGUACAUAUAGAGAGCGGGCGUCGCCAAAUUAUGCAUAUAGUACUAUUAAAAAAGCUAGUACGUGCUUAAUUGGGGUGCUAAAUUCUAUUAAAGAAAUACUAGUACUAGUAUGUACAUACUAAAGAGUUAAAGUAACGAGAAGAAACAUAACAUAGUUCUGCUGGGGGCUCAGCACAACACACCCCUCAAAUUAAACUAAGCACACCUGAAAUUAAACUAUGCAACUAAUCUAGUAGACACUGCAUUAGAAGUUUAGAACCACCAUGAGCAACGACACUGCCACCUUACUCGGAGUCCUCGUCCACGUCCUCGACUUCGUCCUUGUCCCUCUUCCUCUUGGCCGAUACUUCUUUGCUUGAACCGCCAACUUAGUUGUUGCUCUUCAUCCAACCCUUGUAGAUAUUGAAACAAAGGUAGCCAUCCAUUGCAACAUACUGGAUGUGGUCUAUAUCUAGUACAUUCCGCUGCCAUGCAUGACGAUGAAACGUGUAAUGAGGUUUCUCCAGUUUACCGUACGAAGGAUGAACCAUGGCUCCUGCCAGGAUCAGCAUUGAAGGCUAACGAGAGGGCACCAGCCGAUUCUUCUGGAGGUCGAAGGGGUUGCCUACAAUGAUGCCUAUCUGACGCAGGACUUCUUAUCGUUCUUAAAGUCUACAGUAACGAAUUUGACUGUUUUGUCCUCGAGGAAGUUCUUAAAAUCCUAGCACUCAACAUCGGCAUGGCAUAUGUGGUAGACCAAGCAAACGUUAUGUACGCAAACCUAGAUCACGGUGGGCUUCUUCCUCUCUUCGUCCUUUAGAUCCUUCUCUCGUCCCAUGACUGUGGUGUACUCAACAUCUAGCCCAGCGACCCACUCAUCAUGUGAGUUUUCGAACAUGCGUCUGAAGCGAGAAAGGCAUCCUUUCACCGUCAUGGAAGUACGGGUGUAGAUGAUGUCGAACUCAUCGCCGGUGAUGGUUCUAACCUUGUAGUAACCGCCGAUCGGGGAGAUUUGGGACGCCAUGGAUUUGGGAGGAGGGUUAGGAUUAGUGGAACUGCCGUAAUGUGAAUGCACGGGACGACUAGGAGCGAACCGCCGUAGUAUUAAAGGAUGUGCGGGGACGAGUAGGAGCGAACUGCCAGCGUGCGGACGGCAGGGUAGUGGCUUUCCAUUCUCCCAUGAUACGGGCUUCCGAGAGCCCUUGAAUCUGAGAUCGAACGGUUGCAUGGCGUGAUUCUAGACCUAUGGGUGAAUAUCCUAUCCUGGAGGGUUAUUCUGCAAAUUUUCAGCAACUUAGCAUGCGACCAUUUGAUCUCAGAUCCAAGGGCUGCCAGCAGCCCGUAUCAUGGUCGCGCCUACCACGGACGUCGCGUCGCUCGCGCGGUCGUGCCCUUGGAGAUUUAACACGGUGCGUUAGGCUAUCGGAUGUUGGCAUGUCAUACAUAUUCAUCACUUAGUCACUCAUACUACAACAAGGUUGGCUAUAAGGUUGGCUAUAAGUGUAUUUUUUUACUCCUCUCUAUCUCUUUCUUCGUACUCCCUCCCUCCCAUAAUAUAAGAACGUUUUUGACACUAGCUAGUGUAGUGCCAAAAACGUUCUUAUAUAAUGGGACACAGGGAGUACUAGUAUUUAUUGCAUUUGCCAAGGAGUGACCUCUUCCAAUGAAAUGUUGUUGCUAAGUUUUCUUCAUUUAAUUAGCUAUAGACUCAAAAUUGUCUUUUCACCUAGGUACACGCGCU
rnacentral:lncRNA from 1 species